rnacentral:lncRNA from 1 species
UCACAUUAAAUCAUAUCAAAGAAAAUUAGCAUUUUUAAGGGUAAAAUUGAUUAAAUUUUCUAUUUUCUAGGCCAUAAUAGCAUUAGUUGAAAAAUUAGGGGUUAAAGUGCAAUUUUCGGAAGUUUCAUGCAUCUUGUUCGAAGGAGUCUUCUUCCUCACUGGUUUCUGCAAUUUUUCUGGUUUUUGCAGCUAUUUCUCUUCGCUAAACAUGACAAACAUCAAGGCUUUUGAUCUUAACAACAAACAUCAGAGAGAUUCAAUCAUUUCAACAUACACAAAUUUCAAUCACCGAAAUGUAAUCUUUUGGGUUUGCUUGUUCAGCACACUCAAGCAGCCAUAAACUCAAUCAAAAAAAAAAAAAACUCACGGCAUCAUCUGAUAAAGCCCCAUAGAAAAACCCCAAACUUCUGUCCCCAAAAACCAAGCCAAACCCCAUGAAUUCCUCAACGAUAAACCGAAAGAACAGGAACAACAGGAAACCCAAAACUCAACAUGAGUUUUGGCCUGUUAAAGAUGCAACAGAGAGAGUCGAAUAAGGAGCAACAAAGAACAGACGGAACAAACUCUCUUUACACUAAUUAUGAGUCAUUAAAACUGACUUCCUGGAAACAAUAGGAAGCACAAAAAGAAAAAUAAAAGUCCCAUAUGAAAAUCAUUUAUCAGUCCAAAGAAAUUUCAUGGAAGAUGUUAAACUAGCUAAUACAAGAAACUAUCGUUACCUGUAAGUGAUUGGAGAUUAAUUCAACGUGAAAAGAUGUGAAAUGUUUGUCUGAAAAUGUUGGAAGACGAAGUAAGAGCUCUCUUUUGCAUCUCCUCGAGUAUAAUGAAAGUAGCAGAUUUGGGUUCCAAGUCAAGGAUACUGCAACCGUUUUUCCCAAAGAUCUCAACACCAGCGUUGUUCAGCAAUGGAUCAUCAGCCUUGCUUUUCCUUUUUUUAUUCUUGGCCCGAAGCCAGUUCCUUUUCCUCCCCAGUUUCUUCCCUUCUCUCUCUUUUUCUCUUCUUUCUUUUCUGGUCUUUUGCCCGCAGCCUUCCCAGAUUUCCCAGGCUCCUGGUUUCCUCUCUAUCUCUCUCUAUAUUCUCCUCCUACCUUUCUUGCUCUCUCUUUUGUUUACCCACGAAACUCUCUUCCCUAAUUUUCCAGGUUCCCUUGCUCGAAGACCACUUUUUUUUCUCCUUUCUUGCUGUUUCUUCAGCCCCUUUUUUUUUGCUUGCUUUUUUCUCCCCCCUUUUUCCGUCCGCCGCCUCCCUCUUUUUUGCUUUCUUCCUCCCCCCAAAACCCUUCUCCCUUUUGCCGAAGCUUUUUCUUUUUGUUUUCCUUUUUUUGUUUUCAAAUUUUUCCUAUGCUUCCAAGUGUCCUAACCACCUAUCAUUUAGAUGUUAUGCUGUCAAAAGAAAAAUAGAAACACUUGUCUCAUGCUCCCCUAACAUGCACACCAUCCACUUGGCCCUAUUGCAUGUGUGCCACAUAAUUUUAUUUUAUACUUUUCUUUUCAAAACCAAUUUUUCGAUAAAUAAAAUUCUAAUUUCUAAUUACCUUACAAAAAUUUUAUUUGGAAGAAACCGAGUUUUGAAAAAGAUUAAAAUGGAUUUUUUUCAUUUUGAGAAUUUUCUUCUUCUUCUUUUUUUUAGAAAUUUAAUAACAAUAAUAAUAAUAAAAAUAAAAAUAUUUUUAAAAAGAAUGAUGAACCUAAUUUGCUACUACCAAUUUAAUCAACUAAAAUAAAGUAAAAUAAAACAAAAAUAAAGCUAAAAUUUAACUAAACCAAAUUGAAAUUUUGGUGUCUACAAGAUCAUAAGGAAAAUUAGGUCGCUGACCAGCAGUCAUGAUGAGAUGGUUAGCAGGAGAUGAAAGAAGUGUCACCAAUCCAACCUGUUCCCAAUAACUGCUUGGCAGAAGUAUCGGGAUUUAGCUUGAGGGGACAGAGAUGAGAACGUGAAUCAAGGUGAAGAGGAAGAAAUGUAAAGAUGGUAGAGGAAUUCGCAGAGGAAGGAACUAUUCCUUUCACUCAGGAAAUCUGUUUACAAAUCAAUCAAGAGUCUGUUUUUUCUCAGUGCAGAGUCCACUAAUUAAUACUAGUGCUUGAAGGUUGCAUGCAAUGCAUGCAUGUUGCACAUAACUGAAUGCUGCAUGGACCAACUCCUGAAGAUUUCUUCUAACAACCUUGCUACGCGACAAUUAUGAAAAACGAUACCGUACCACUAAUUCUGCUAAAUAAGUAAAAAUGACACAGUUUACAACUAAUUCUUUUAAAUGAAUGGAACGACACCGUGUGACGCCCCGAAAAAAAAAUGAGUUUGAGAACCCGGAAAUUUUCUAAAUUUCUAGGGUUUAUUUUAUUUAAUCGCCCGCCUUUUCUACAGUUUCUUUAUUGGAAAAAAAUUUUUCAGAUAAAGUUUAUGAGCAAAGAUAGUUUUAAAAUGAUUUUUCUAGUAUCGGUUAUUUUUGAGAAAUUAAGAGCGUAUUUUGGACGUGGGACCCGCUAGUGCGGUAAAUGCAUUAUAUUUUUGACAACUUGUUGGAAUUUUGUAUUAAGUGAUAUUAUUUUACAAGGUCUUAAGAUAUUUGUAUUGGAGAGACAAAAAGAUAAGUUUUGAACCAAAAGGUGACAAGUGUCACCAUAAGAUUUAGUCUUGAGUUUGACUACUAUUCAUAACUUUACCAUUUAAUUAAAAUUGACCAAAAAUCUCUUCAUUUUGCAAGCUUCUUGGCCGAAUUUAUUGGAGAGCAAAAGAAAGAAAAGCUAUCAAUUUCUUCCUUCUAUUUCUUGCUCAAUCUUCAAAUCCAACCAAUAAAACUCCAAAUCAUUCCAUAAAAUCUCUUUGCUAAGUGAUCUUGAGGUGUUUUGUGGAGUUGUUUGGAUAGUUAAGGUGACUAGUUGCUCUAUCUCUUGUAUUGCUAAGGUGAGUUGUGAAGGACCCCUCUCCUUCCUCUAAUGAUGUUCAAUUGAUGAUUGGUGGUGGUAUAAGAUGCAACUUUAUGGAUUAUAUUGUGAUUUUUGGUUGAAUUGAUGAAAUUUUAUAAAUUUUGGGGAUUUUUCUGUUUUCAUAUGAAUAUGAUUAUGUGGUCAUGUAUGAUGAUUGGAAAUGAUGUUUAAGGACUCUAUGAGGUGGAAAAAGUGGUUAAUUGCAAACAAUUUCUGUUUGGGAAGAAAUUUUGGAAAGUUAGGGUUCUAAUGAUAACAUUCUGCCCGAAUUUGUAGCUCCUAGUUAGAGGCCGAAUUGGCCUUGGCUUAAAACAUGAAAGUUGUAGGGAAUGACAUUUUAGAGGUGCCUACAAAAUUUCAGGUCAAUCGGAGUAGUGUAGAAUGAGAAAAGUUGAAAUUACUAUUGCUGUCCUGGUUUUACCCGAAUUUGGGUAUUGCUUCUGUAAUUGGUUGUUUUGGUCAGGAAUGCUUCCGAAUUGGUUGUUGAGGUCUUCUGAUGAAUUGUAUCCGUGUUUCUUAGCUUUCAGCUGGUUUUAGAAUUUCUGGAUUUGGACUUGUAGAGCCUGAGUUAUGAUGUUUCCGCUAGAAUGCGUUUUGGUGAAUCUGUUUUUGUGAUUCCGGUGUAGUAUCUUGCAUUUUUGACCUGGUUACACUCGAAACUGGGUUGAGUGACCUUCUGUAAUAUUGUAGCCCUGUCCCUUAGCUUCGAAACGGUGGGUCUUGUACCUUCAUCCGAAAAUCGUAGUGCCUUUGGUGCCAUUACCGCAAAUGGAUGUCAAAAGCUAUUUUUCUGGUUUUGAGCUUAACUUUCAUUUCCAAACUUUUCCCUAGCUUGACUUGUACUAGUACUACUUGGAGCUUGCUGAAUGACUAUUGGAUAAACUUGUUGUUGUGUGUGUACCUUUGGGACUGGCUGAGGAAAUAAUGAAGCCAUGAUGGCUGGAAAAGUAAGCAAAUUUAGGGGAGGUGCUGUCCGAACUUUUAAAGGACUUGUUUGCAUUGAGUUUGUGAUCUAAGACUGGGAUUUGAGCAAGGCAAUGAUAUAUGAUGGAUGGUUUCUGAGCCAUGGAGGUGAGUGACCUCAAACAAUUUCUGAAGUUAUUUAUGAACCGUUUCCUGCAUUAUUUACUUUUGAGUUGUUUCCAAAGUUACUUUUGUACCGCUUUCUUGCAUUAUUUACCUUUAAACUGUUUCCAAAGUUACUUUUGAACUGUUUUCUUGCAUAUCAUGCGUGCUUGCAUGUGAGUGUUCCUUAUUUGCUAUAUUUUCUUGACUUCAUGACUUGUAUUAUUGAUUGAUAACGUGUUAAGUGCUUUGAAUGAUUUCCAAAACGAGCUUUCUAGGCGAGUGUGUACUUUAUCGCACUCGACCUAAAUAACUGUGCAAUUUUCAAGGAUUUAAUUAUUGAAAUGCUAGUUGCGCAUGAAUGUAAGCCGUUUGGCUAAAUUGGCCACUGCCCUUUGUUACCGAUCGACUCGAGCCAGAAGCGGACUCGGUCGGGCGAUAUGGUGACUUGGGUGAAUUUGGUAUACUCGAGUAUUACUUUGUAGUCCGGCUACGUCCGGAUGGGUGGAGUCCGGCCAAUGGUCGGAUGGGUGGAGUCCGGUCAACGUCCGGAAAAGGGGAUGAACGAACAAAAGGAUGAACGAGGGAUUCUACUUACAAAAAAAUAUAUUUUCAAACGAUUGGAGGAAUAAGGGAAAAUGUCAGGGGAACGAACGAACAAACGAAUAGUUUCAUGUGAGCCCGUAUCCUUUUAAUGAAUGUUACUAUCGCUUUCCAUUGUAAAUGUUCCUUGAAUUAUUGAUACUCCAUUUUAAUGUAUUGUAAAUGUUCAUUUGAUUUAUGACAUCAUUGAAAUGAACUAUUGUGAAACCGAUUUAUUUACUGAUUUUAAUGGUUACUCGCUGAGUUUCUAGCUCACCCCAAAAAUAUUUUAUUCCCCUCCACAGGGCUCGUGGCGAAGGAAGGACUUGUAGUACUUGUUCACGUGACUGGAUGGCAUAUAUCUUGUAUAAUUUGCAUUUGGAAUCAUUUUAUGUAUAGUUGAGAAUUGUUUCCGCUUCGCUUAUGACAUGUAAAUAUUGGAGAUUUAUAUUGUAAUAUUUGAGGUUUAUUCUUGUAAUUCAUUUGAGGACUGUAGUGAACGACUGAGUCCCGGCGAGAGCUGGGCAGGCGACCCGCCGAACCCUCUAGUUCGCCUUAGGGGAAGGUGGGGCGUCACACACCGUGACUGCUACACCCUACUCCAGCUUGUCCUGUGACAAGAAGUUUGCUGUGUGAGUAGCUAGAGAAAGACCAGUAAAUCAGUUUGCUCUGUUUUUCGCUUUGCACGCACUCUAGUAUAUAAAGAGCAGUUCCAGUUGUUGAUUAAUCAGCUUGGGAAGAAACAUUAAGUUCAAUAGGUACUAUUUUGAUGUGGAGAGAUUCUCCUGCUGACUACUAGCUUUCAACUUUCGCGGUUUGGAUAGAUUCUUAUAUAGAUGGAAAACAAGGCCCUUGCCAAUUUGAUGUUUUUUCCAUUUUGAUUUCCCUUUGUACAUUCCUUUUCCGGGACCGCCCUCUGCAUCAAAACCUUUUUCCAGCUCCUCUCCCUAUCCACAUUGAAUCCAAUUUCCCUCAAAAUAUCUGUGCUUCUGUCAAUGAUGGCUACCACUCUAAAGAAUGGUUGGGUUUGAAGGCGAGGAGCUGCAAGACACGGUACAACUUAUUAUCGGAUUCUUGGUUUGUGAAAUUUCGGGGGUUUAAAGGUACAAAAGAAUUUCAUUUCUUUUACGUAGCAGAUGUAGCAUGUGCUCAUGAUAGAAGUAGCUGAACCCUUCAAUUUACAUCCGCAGAUAAAGAAGGCUGUAGCUAGUAUUGUGCAAGAAUUCACUAAGGUAAAUAUUGCAUGGGAUGCGUGGAUGUUACAUCAUGUUGGCCAUUUGCAAUGGCCUUGUAUGUGCCUACAAAAAGAGAAACUAGGCCUCUUUAUCUAUGUAACGUUCACAAACUUGCAACCCUCCCAGAUAGCUCUCAACAAACAUGUGGUCUUGCAAUUGGAUUGGGCAUGUACCCUUCACAGGAGUGUAUUUACCCCGCAAGGUGCGUAUCAAGGCGAUACAAACAUUAAUUCAUGUCAGUUGUGAGAUGUUUAACAUUCGACUUGAAGGCGAUAAAUAUUUCCCUAUGUUGGACAAGGUGGAGCAGGGGGGUCUGGAGAUGAUAAUUAGUGAAGUUUGAAGCUAGUAAGUUUUGGCUUUAGCUAUUUAAGGUAAUGCCCUUUUUUUUUGUCAUAUUGACCAAAGGACCGAACUGACAUGGGGGCAAACUUGGAACCAUUGGCGCACCUUCUCUUCUAAGAACAUAAGGAAGGUUUUACACCUGAUUGCAUCGGCAACCGUUUGUAGGCGCAUGUGGGUUAGAAACGCGAAUAAAUAAUCUUUCGGAUCCGUAGUCACGGUAGGAUUUCAUAGUAGGGAUUUUGAACUUAGCAGGCGGAGGGUAGUUCUCGAUGUCCGGUAUGAAGGGGGAGGCAGAAUAUUUAUCCGCCUUCGAAUCUAGCAACAGAUCCAGUUCGUCAUGUAUCUAGUACUCUUCUCUCCUUGGAGAGUGCUCCCUCCGCGGGAUCUCCCAAAAGGGCUCAGGGUGCUCUGUUCGGGAGUUCCCGUGAGAGGGCUCCAGAAUUUCUAUCUGUUCAUGCAAGCGCUCCUUCCGUGCUCGCUUUUGUUGGGGGCUGGGGCUUCCAGUUCUAGAUUCUGACGGCUCCAAUCUUCCCACCUUCUUGCCCCUAGACUCCGAAUCUCGCAGAUCUCUGGUCCAACCCUUCAAGUAGUUCAUAAUAGCCUCGAAAGUGGGUAGGUUUUCCGCCACCACCUGUACCAGCUGUUCAGGUGGAAUUCGCGAGGGCUCCGUCCCCUAUUCACCAAGAGUUCGCCCCUGAUAGGGAUUUUAGGGGUCGCUUCGCUCGUUCCCCUUGGAUUCAUCAGUGGUCCUCCGAGAUCUAGUCCUCGGCAUUUUUCACAAGGGAAGAAUUGCAUUCCCACAGAUAGCGCCAAUUGAUGCGACUGUCAAGAAUACGAUCCGAACAGAGCAGCCGUGGGCUGAGUGAACUAAGAGGGAACGAACUGAUGUCAACGAGGGGUAGCCCGAACUGACCUACAAAGAGAUGAACAGCGGGACUAGCUCCCCGCUGUUACUCCGACUAUCAAGUCAGUUAUGGUUACAAGUAGAGCAACGGUAUUGAGUAUUGUAAAAAGCGUACCUUGUCUUGUCUUGUUUUGCUAGAUUUAUAAGGCUCUUGGUAGUAGUUUUCUUAUAAGAUUAUGAGCCCUACUAGAGAGGGAUUCCACUUAGGGCUCCGUCUGCUGGCUCCGAAAGGCUCGGGAUCUACGGCCCGCCAGGCCCAUCCAGCUGGGGGGCGGUGGCCAUGCGCGAACGGGCACCCAUUCCUGUCUGAGCUAAUCUGGUCAAGCUGACAAGUCACAUGUCUGAACUGACCCAUGGCUCCGUUGGAUUGGCCCCACUACAAUUGACAUUAAUGUCAUCUUCAACUUUAAAUAUGAUGAAUCCUUCCAAGUUCCAAAGGCAUAUCAUUGGCUUAGCCUACAUGUGAGAGAUAAUUAGAUGAUUAAGAGAUCAAAAGUUUUUCUAACCAUUAUGAUCUUUGCGUAUACAUGUUGUUUAGGAAUAGCCUAGAAAGUGAUAAAUGUCAUGUUUUUGGUUACAUAUUUGCAUGCACAUGGUCAUCGAUGAUAGAGGUAAAUCUGGUUCUUAACAAUACUUGAAAGGCACUGAAUCUGAAAGGGAUGCGCUUUGGAAACGUUCGACCUUGGUUCAUCUGGUAAAACUUCAUCUUCCAGGAUGCCCUUUGAGAUCCCGCAAAAGGCCAAAUAUAGGCCAGGAAGGCAGCAACAGUUUUGCCGAUUUUCAGUAAUAAAAAAUGCAAAUUUGCUAACCGGCCUGAGGGGCACAGGGAUAUAUGAUCAGAGGCAAAGGAAGGGAAAAUUAACAAAGGCAACAACUAUGUUAUAAUCACUUACAAGUCGGGAAGAGCAAAGCUUCAGUCCACCACCAACCAACCAAUGAAAUUUUCUGGGGUGCUUUUCCCCACAGAAAGCUCAGUCACCUCAAGAAACAGAGCGACGAGGAUAUCCAAGAAUUUGCAGCGUUUAUGAAUUCACCUACCAAGAGAAAUCAGUGGUGUAGAUACCCAUCAUAUUAUUCUUUGCAUUUAACUGUCUAGAGAAAGCCAACCAACCAAAUUCCCUCUGCCGCUAUGACUAAACCAUCACGAAAGCUACCAUUGAGAGCACUAGAGGACCAUUUUUCUAAGGUUCCUAUGAAACAUAAUGAAGAAAAGGGCACCUAAAGUCCCAACAAUUACUAACCAAGAUUCGAUAUUCAUUUACACUGAUUUAAGCCUUGGCUUUUAUUAUAGUUCGGAUAAGAAUAAGAUAUGCCCUUUUCCCAUAUUACUUCUUGGAUAUCUUUGAUUAGUAUUCUUUUUGGUCACGAGUCCAGUUACAAUAAUUAGUCAUGUCACAAUAUAAUUUAUGUCCUUGACGCAGUUAUAUUUAUUGCCAAAAAUUAAGCAAACAGCAAAAAGAAUUGGAGCAGAAAAUAGACAUUAAUUAAAACCACACUUGAUAUUGUCCAUACAAUAGCAACCCAAUUAAGAACAAAGUGACUGAAUCUUGGACCAAAUUACUCAAAAUAGUUUCUUUUAUUUUUUUUCUUCCUAAUAUAGGGCGUCCACCGGAAACUCCACCAGCCACACUUGCUGCAAGAAAAUACAAGAACAGGGCAUCAAGCUUUAACCAAUAACACCAAAAACAACAAAAAAUGCUGCAUUAUCUUAAACGGUAGAAUCCGAAACUUACUAACUUCAGUGUUCACCAGCUGCUUCACUAGCCCCACUAGCCGCUCCAGCUGCUACACCUUGUCCAUCCUGGAGAAAUAUAAUUUGAUAAGAUUUUCAACCCACAAGAAUGAGAAAGCGUAAGAAAUGUAGAGUUGAUAUUAAUUUACCCGCACAAUCACCAGCACACUUUGUAUUGGUGCAUGGUAGCCGGAGAUGUUGAUCGUCGAACCCACCUCCACACCAAAGGCAUCUCUCACGUGCGGCCAACCAAAAAUCAUCUUGCACCUCAGAUCACCUCCCUCUUGCAUCACAUAGUUGAUAUUUCCUGCCAUCGUUUGAAUUAAAACAGGAAUUCCGGUGUCGGAGAGAGCAUCCAUAUCAAAGUUGGGAGAAAGAUAAGUGAGAAACACUCUAGCCUCCCUAGGAAUUAAUAGUCAUUUUCGUCACUCAUGCGCAACGUCUUUCGGGCCAAAAAAUAUGGGGGAUUUCCCAUAUAGUCCCCCACUUGAAAGAGAUCAUAAGGAAAAUUAGGUCGCUAGCCAGCAGCCAUGAUGAGAUGGUCAGCAGGAGAUGAAAGAAGUGUCACCAACCCAAAGUGUUCCCAAUGGCUGCUUGGCAGAAGUAUCAGGAUUCAGCUUGAGGGGACAAAGAUGAGAACGUGAAUCAAGGUGGAGAGGAAGAAAUAUAAAGAAUGUAGAGGAAUUCGCAGAGGAAGGAACUAUUCCUUUCACUCAGGAAAUUUGUUUACAAAUCAAUCAAAAGUCUGUUUUUUCUCAGUGCAGAGUCCACUACUUAAUACUAGCGCUUGAAGGUUGCAUGCAAUGCAUGCAUGUUGCACAUAACCGAAUGCUGCAUGGACCACUCCUGAAGAUUUCUUUUAACAACCUUGCUACGCGACAAUUAUGAAAAACGAUACCGUACCACUAAUUAAGUAAAAAUGACACAGUUUACAACUAAUUCUGUUAAAUAAAUGGAACAACACCGUGACUGCUACACCCUACUCCAGCUUGUCCUGUGACAAGAAGUUUGUUGUGUGAAUAGAUAGAGAAAGACCAGUAAAUCAGUUUGCUCUAUUUUUUGCUUUGCAUGCGCUCUAGUAUAUAAAGAGCAGUUCCAGUUGUUGAUUAAUCAGCUCGGGAAGAAACAUUAAGUUCGAUAGGUACUAUUUUGAUGUGGAGAGAUUCUUCUGCUGAGUACUAGCUUUCAACUUUUGUGGUUUGGAUAGAUUCUUAUAUACAUGGAAAACAAGGCCCUUGCCAAUUUGAUGUUUUUUCCAUUUUGAUUUCCCUUUGUACAUUCCUUUUCCGGGACCGCCCUCUGCAUCAAAACCUUUUUCCAGCUCCUCUCCCUAUCCACAUUGAAUCCAAUUUCCCUCAAAAUAUCUGUGCAUCUGUCAAUGAUGGCUACCACACUAAAGAAUGGUUGGGUUUGAAGGCGAGGAGCUGCAAGACACGGUGCAACUUAUUAUCGGAUUCUUGGUUUGUGAAAUUUCGGGGGUUUAAAGGUACAAAAGAAUUUCAUUUCUUUUACGUAGAAGAUGUAGCAUGUGCUCAUGAUAGAAGUAGCUGAACCCUUCAAUUUACAUCCGCAGAUAAAGAAGGCUGUAGCUAGUAUUGUGCAAGAAUUCACUAAGGUAAAUAUUGCAUGGGAUGCGUGGAUGUUACAUCAUGUUGGCCAUUUGCAAUGGCCUUGUAUGUGCCUACAAAAAGAGAAACUAGGCCUCUUUAUCUAUGUAACGUUCACAAACUUGUAACCCUCCCAGAUGGCUCUCAACAAACAUGUGGUCUUGCAAUUGGAUUGGGCAUGUACCCUCCAUAGGAGUGUAUUUACCCCACAAGGCGCGUAUCAAGGCGAUACAAACGUUAAUUCAUGUUAGUUGUGAGAUGUUUAGCAUUCGACUUGAAGGCGAUAAAUAUUUCCCCAUGUUGGACAAGGUGGAGCAGGGGGGUCUGGAGAUGAUAAUUAGUGAAGUUUGAAGCUAGUAAGCUUUGGCUUUAGCUAUUUAAGGUAAUGCCUUUUUUGUCAAUGUUAUGGUUCAAAGCUUGAUGCUCUGUACUUAGUGUUUUCUGCAGCAACUGCAGCUGAUGAAGUGUCUAGAGGAUGCUCUAUAUUUGGAAAAAGAUUAAGAAAAAGGAUAAGAAGUGUUUCCAGUAACUUUGGUUCAAAUCUAGUCUAGCUUCUUGUUACUUUGUUGCCAUUGUAAGGACAACAUCAGUAGUGUGGUUUAUAAUUAGAACUAGUUUUUAAUGCAGGACUACAAAUUUGGCUAAAGAAAUUACUGCGUGAUUCUACACAGAGAAAUAGCAGAUAUGUGAUUAAAGGGAAAAAAAGACAUAGUGAAUUUAUUUAACUUAAAAAAUGAAAGUAGAUAUGUGAUUAAAUAACAAAGGAUUCAAAUAACAAGGAAAAAAAUUGGCACUUCCACCAAAAAUUUUGUCUUGGGCUUGGUAUCCAUUUGUACACACAAGACCAUUUGGACGUAUAAAAAACCCGACUUGCCAAAUCACAUUUCACCUUGUGUGUCCCAAUAGAGCUCUCUUUUUGUACCGAUCCAAAAUAAAUUUUUGGGUAAAUUAUACUUUAUCUCCCUAUGGUUUAGUGCUUAUUUACAUAACCCCGUAUGAUUUCAAAAAUUAUACAUAAUCCCCAUAUAGUUUGGAUUAAAGUGUCAAAAUGACAAAAUUUGCAGUCCAUAACGGAGUCAGUCAAAAAUAUCUUUAUUUAAAGUUAAAAAUUAUUUAUUAACCACAGUGGGAUUAUGUAUAUAUAUUGACCAGAAGGAGGUUAUAUGGUAAAGUACUAAACUAUAUGGUAAAAUAAAAAAUCAUACAGGGUUAGAGUGUCAUACAUAUUAUAUUUAUAUAUUUUGAUCAUUUCAGCCAUUUUAGUUUUUACAUAAGGGUAAUUUUGAUAUUUUAAUAGGUUCCGUUACUUUGACACUUUAAUCCAAAUUAUGAGGGAGUUAUAUAUAACUUUCAAAACUAUAAGAGAUUAUGUGAAAAUUAGCUAUACCACAGGAGGGUAAAGAGUAAUUUGCCCUAAAUUUUUUCCACAUUUACUUUAUAAUGGCAAUAUUAUUAAGUGAUACUCAGAACCCUAUAUUAAUCGAAACCCAGUCCCAAGCCCAAAUAGUAAUUGUAGACUAGUAGUGUACCUUAAAUUGAAAGCGAAUUUGUUAUUAAAUAACGGAAAGAUUCAAAUGACAAGGAAAAAAUUGGGACAUUUACCUUAUAAUGGUAAUAUUUCUAAGUGAAGCUCAGAAUCCUCUGUGAAUUGAAAACGAGAUCCUAGCCCAAAAAUUGUAGUGGUUUUCUUUUUAAAUUGUCCUUUGAGUAUCACUAUUUAUUGACUCAUAAAACUCUAGAGCCCUCACUAUAUACUUUAAAGCAAGAAUAAUCUUCGAAACUGUUGAAAUGGCGGAACUACCAAUUGAGGUGCUGAGUGGUAUGCUAUCAAGGGUUCCUUUCAAAACCAUCUCCAAUUGCUAGUGUGUUUGCAAGACAGGGUGCAAACUUAUUAUAGAAUUCUUGGUUCAUGAAAUUGCGGGAGACUACUGGAGAAAAGAACUUCGUUUCUUUUACGUAGAAGAUGUACCAUUUUCCCGCGAUGGAAAUCGCUGUACCGUCAUAUUUACAUCUGCAAAUAAAAAGGUAGUGUUGUGUAAGAAUUCCCGUGUUGUGUAUGAAUUUACAUCUGCAAAUAAAAACCAGAUUUUCCUGUUCAAUCAAGCAUUUAAAAAAAAAACUCAAACUUCUUCAAUAUUAUAUUUUGACCCCUAGGUUGUUAAAAAUUAUUAAUAUACCUCAAAUAUUUCAUACUUUAUAAAUAUUGUUUUAAAGUUUAGUGUAAUUUUUCAAUUAAGUGCAUAAUUUUAAUUCUAAACUUGUUAACGCUCAUUAAAUAAUAUAAAUUGCUACUUGAUUGUUCUAAUUUCUUUAUAUUUUCUUGUUAGAUAUAUUUGAAACAUCAAAUACAUAUGAAUAUACAUUUAUUAAGAUUUUUUUUAAAUGAAAUAUUUUAUUUAUUUUAAGAAAAUUUUGGCAGAAUUUUCCCUUAUAAAUGGACGAAACUCCCUGCCAACAGACCCAAAUUCAAGAAAAAUAUCACAUGACACUUGCUACAUUUUAACUCUACGAAAGUUUGGAAUCCCAAUUGAUGAAGAUCAAAGCAACUGGUACGAGAGCAUCAUCUCCGGUAUCUGAAGCAGUAAUUUUAUGUGCUUCUUGUUUCUAAAGAAUUCCGAAUUAGCCAACCUCCUAGGUUAGCCCACUUUCCUCCGCCUGAAGGAAGGCAUGCCUAACCUGUCUAUGCGAAUUUCCCCUCUCGUUUGUCUUAGAAUUGCAUUGAAAUCAUCAUAAAUGGUGACAUUCCGGUUAUGGCUGGACGCACCCACAUUUGCCAAACUAUCCGUCACCCUAUUUGCUUCUCUGUAGCAAUGAGAAAAUCAUGCCACAUCGGUAAUCAUGCCCCAAAUUUGGUCUACCUCCCAUCGUAUCACUCACGGGCAAUGGAGACACCGUUGAAGAAUCCCAACGAGAACUAGGGAAUCCACUUGAAUACUUACAUCGCUAAACCCCUUCUAAAAGCACAAACGAAGCCCCAUUGCCAGGGCCAAUGCCUUUGCACGCAAACUCGAAAGUUCCCCAAAGUAAGUUGAGAACGCAAAUAAUGGCAAUCCCGAUGAGUCACGUAGUAUUCCCCCACCACCAUUCACUCCUGGAUUUCCCUUGGAGCAUCCAUCUGUAUUUAGUGUUAGCAAUCCCGCCUGUUUCGCCUUCCACCGUACCAGGUGAAAACUAUAACGCGAUGGCUAUUGGGUUGUCCACUCAUACAGCUGAAGAAACAUGUGCACCCCAAGUCUCUGUUUAAACUGAAUCUCAACCACCCCUAUCACGUCUAACAAAAUGGCAUGACAAAUCCUCACCACUGUCAUCUGCCUUCUUUCGUAGUAUGCAACGCUCCGAUCCUUCCAAAUAUGCCAACAUAUAAAACUAGGAAGAACCAAGAAAAGGAACCGUCUUACCGCAUGCCAAGGGGAAAACAACUACCAGGCCGUUAGCCAUGCCCGUAGUGAUGAGCCAAGUUGUGUUACUCCACAAAUCCUACCAAAAUAACUCCAUAUAUCCUUUGCAACUUGACCCUCUGCGAACACAUGCUCCAGUGUCCCAAUCGCUCCCUCUUGGCAAAACAAACAAUUUGAAACCAAAUUAACAAAAACAACGGUAUUACGAAUUGGAUAUGGGCACUUGGAUCGAUUAAUGACUCUCCAAGAAUCUGAUGAUGAAUAAUAAUUACCUUCAUGUCAAAUGCUAAAGAUUUCACAACCGAAAUCACCGUCUAUGCCGUCUCCGUGCACAAAUUCUGUAAUGAAUAUUGAUAAGUGAAUAUUUAACGUAUAUUUUGUACAAGUUUGGCAUGAACUUUUGGUAUGUUUUGAGAAGAUUAAAGCCAUAUUUGAACUCUUUUGGUGAUAAUUGCUUAAAUAUUGUUUAAGUGUUCAAAACUUGAUAAAUGAGUGGAUUAAUGUGUUAAUUUUGUGAAAUUGUGAAGGAUAUUAAUGUAUGAAAUUCAUGCAUGAGAUAAAGGAAAUGUAAGGAUCGCCCAGAGGAUAAACUACACAAGAAAUUAGGAGCGAAAGUGAAGAAAAAGGAAAAGAAGUGAAAAACUGAAAAAAAGACCAGCACGGAUCCGAGCUCGGAUCCGUGUGAAUCAAGGAAGAUCCGAGCCCUCGUAUGUACUUCUGGAGUAGUGUAUCCGAGGACAAAGGAUCCGAGCUCGGAUCCCUCAGAGAAGGCCUUGGAUCAGCAUUGAUCCGAGCUCGGAUCUAACUUCACCCCUCGGAUCCGAGGUUCGGAUUUGCCUCUUUUUUCUGCAAGUGGUACAACCGUUUUUUCUCACUUUUCACACAACUUUUCAGCUAUUUGGAGUGAGUGAAUUCGAUGCAUAUACUUCAGAAGACAAAAGGGCAGACAAUAUGGUUUAUUUUCAAGUCAAAAACAUUGGUUAUUGACUAUCCUAACAAAGUUGAGAUUUGGGAAUCAAAAGGUGGAAUUUGACUUGGAAAAAUGGAUGCUCCUGAGCAGUUUUUAUGUAGAGACAUUGGGAGAGGUCAGAGGAUAUACGUAGCUAGUUUUCCUUCUUGUAACUAGUUUUGCUCUCUAGCUAGGAGUUCCUUGAGAAGCAUUUUGGAGUUUUUACUUGUAAUCAUCUUGUACAAGAACAUAGCAGAAAUUGGAGGGUUUCACCAUCAAUUGGCUAAGCUUUCUUUUAUCUUUCUUGUACUUGUACUUUAUGAUGUUUUGCAUUAAUAAACUUGUGAGUUUGGUUGUUAAAUCAUUCAUGAGUAGCUAAACUUCUUUAUCUAGGGAGUAGAUGAAACUUAUGGGUAAAUAAUAUGAAUUGAAUGUGAUUUACACUUGUUAUAUCUUGUAUUAACUUGUCUAUUUGUGCAGGUAGAAAUUACUUGUUAUUGCUUGAUCACCAAUAGCAUGUUUAUAGUUGUUAUUGUUCAAUGAGAAUUGGUAGUAACAAUGGAAACACAUGAAUAGAGCUUAAGUUGUAUGUUCAUGAAAACAGAGAUACACUUAAGUGGAUUAUUUAACAUUUCAUGAAAGAAAACAGAGUAGUAGUAGUAUUUCACCAUGAAAAUAGGGAAAACUGUUUUGCUCUAGGCCAUUUCAUCAUGAGAAUAAGAUUUGGUAAUAUUGGAAAUGAAUCUCUGGUUAAACAAGAAUAAUAACAAGAGGUAAAUCUAUUCAUUUGUAUUGUUUAUGCCAUAAGUGGAAUCUACAUCCCUAGAUUCAAUCUUUGGUGAAAUUUUUCCAUUUGCAUUUAACAUUGAUUAAACCAGAGUUAUAGGUAAUAGCAUUAUAAUUUUCUUGCUCAGAUUUAUUGUAAGUCUAAAUAAUAGAGGAAAAUAAGGGACUAGUACUUGUUUAAAUUGCUUCUCGUAGGAUCGACCCGAUACAUACCCUAUAUUACAAUUUCGGCCUGUAUACUUGCAGUCAACGGGUAUACAAUCGAAUUUAAACUUGCAUUGAUAUAAAAAUUUCAUCAAAUUUUUGGCGCCGUUGCCAGGGAGCGGCAAUAUUAGAACCUAAUCAUCUCUAUUAAUUUAGACAUCUUUAUUUUUAGUUGAGUUGUUUAUAGCUAGCUUAACAUUUUAAUCAGUUUUUGAUAAAUAAAAGUUACAUAAUCUUUCUUGUUUCUGUUUGCAGUGUAUGCACCAGACAUCUCGAGAAGUAGCACCUUUUGAUCCAGAAAUAGAAAGGACUUUACAUAGACAAAUGAGGGAUACACCACAGCAAGAGGAACAAGUGGUUUGGCAAUCGAUAGAGGAAAUUUUGAUAGAAUUACCAUUUGAGGAAGAAAUAGCGAAAAAUGACCAAAAUAGGCGAAUUCUACGAGAUUUUGCUUUACCGGGAACACAAGGUUCUCAAACUAUCUUUUCAAGGCCAACGGUAAAUGCCAAUAAUUUUGAGAUUAAACCAUCACUAAUUUAAAUGGUACAACAAUCUCAAUACGGAGGUAAUGCUACUGAAGAUCCAAAUUCUCACUUGUCAACAUUUUCUUGAAAUCUGGGAAACAAUUAAGUUUAAUGAUGUUAGUGAUGAUGCAAUUAAACUUCGAUUGUUUCCAUUCUCACUAAGGGACAAGGCCAAGGCUUGGUUACAAUCUUAUCCUCCAAAUACUUUUACCACUUGGGCAGAAUUAGUUAAGACUUUUCUCAAUAAAUUCUUUCCACCUGGAAAAACUGCAAAACUCAGAAUGGAUAUAACUAGUUUCUCUCAACAGGAAGGAGAGAUAUUGUAUGAAGCUUGGGAGCGCUAUCGGGAAUUGCAAUGAAGAUGUCCUCAUCAUGGUUUACCAGAUUGGCUAGUAGUCCAAACAUUUUACAAUGGUCUCACCUAUCCAACAAAGACACAUGUAGAUGCGGCAGCGGGAGGAGCAUUAUGGGAAAAACAGCCGAAGAAGCUCAACAAUUGAUUGAAAAAAUGUCUGCUAACAACUACCAAUGGGCAAAUGAACGAGGUAAUACAAGGAGAACCGCAGGUAUGCUCGAAGUAGAUACCUUGAAUAUGUUAAGUGUAAAAAUGGAUAAUGUGGUUAAGACACUUAAUAGGCACAUUGGUUCUAGCUCUAAUCAAGGAGUAGUUGUUGCAUGUUGUACUACUUGCGGUGGAGAUCAUGAUGAUUCUAUGUGUUCUAGCAGCGAAUAGAUUCAAUAACUCAACAAUUAUAACCGUCCACCCCAAAACAAUCCAUACUCCAAUACCUAUAAUUCAGGAUGGCGUAAUCACCCGAAUUUUGGAGGGAAGGAUCAAGCGAACCAACAAAGACCAGUUAAUCCACCGGAUUUUCAACCGAAGUAACCACUUUAGGAGUCCAAACCAGCUUGGGAGUUGGCAAUUGAGAAGCUAGCGAAUGUAUCAAAUGAUAAAAUUGAAAAGUUAGCCAGUGCCACUACUCAACGGUUUGAAAGAAUUGAGGGACGGAUGGACCAACUCACUAAUAUGUACAGAAAUGUUGAGAUCCAAUUAGGAAAAAUUGCAAAUGCAGUUAACAAUCGCAACCAAGGGGAUUUACCUAGUAAGACUGAGGUGAACCCAAGGGAGCAUGUGAAGGCUAUAUAACCUUCCGUAGUGGUAAGGAUGUAGGUAAGCCACCAGUAGUUGAAAAUGAGAGAGAAUGUGAAAGAAAAGAGAACAAGCAAUUGAGUGAAUUAGGAGAGGAUGGCAAGAAAAUUAAGGGGAAAGAAAAUGUGGAAGAAAAUGACCCACAAAUGGGAGAUACAACACCAAUUCCUCCACCGGUGUCAUUCCCUCAAAGAUUGAAGCCUUCAAGAAAUGACAAAGAAUUUGAAAAGUUUGUCAACAUUUUCAAACAAUUACAUAUUAAUAUACCUUUUGUUGAUGCUAUAUUGUAGAUUCCUUCAUACGCAAAGUUUCUCAAGAAGAUAAUGCCUAAGAGAAAGAAGUUAGUAGAUAGCAAGACAAUUGCAUUAACGGAAGAAUGUAGUGCCAUUAUACAAAACAAAUUGCCACCAAAGUUGAAAGAUCCAGGGAGUUUCACAGUUCCUUGCACUAUUGGUAAUGUGGAAUUUUCUAAAACACUUUGUGACCUUGGUGCAAGUGUUUCAUUGAUCCCUUUAAUUGUGGCUAGGCAAUUGGGGUUGAAAGAGUUAAAACAUACUAACAUUUCCUUGCAAUUGGCUGACAGGUCUAUUAGACAUCCAAUGGGCAUAUUGGAGAAUGUGCUCAUUAAAGUGCAGAAAUUCAUUAUUCCUCUUGAUUUUGUUGUUUUAGACAUAGAGGAAGAUGUAAAUGUACCUAUUAUACUUGGUAGACCAUUUUUGGCCACUGCAGGUACAAUAAUAGAUGUCAAAAGAGGUAAGUUCAAGUUUCAAAUCGGUGAAGAGGAAGUGGAAUUUGAUUUGAGUAGAGUGGAAAAAUAUCCCUCUUUUACUGACCAUGUUUAUUCGGUUGACAUAUGUGAUGAAUUGGCAUUAGAGAUGAGUCAAUUUAAUCUUGAUGACGAUUCUCUUGAACUUUGUCUUCAUGGUAUAGGUUUACAAGAGGAACAAGUUCAAGAAAUGGUUGAAUUUUUGCAGGCACAGGUUCCUUUCAAAAGGAGAAAUGCAUAUGAGGAGUUAGGACUGAGCAAAGGGCUACCUCCACCAUCAUGUGAGCAAGUACCACAGCUUGAACUUAAGCCACUGCCUAAACACCUCAAAUAUGCGUUUUUUGGAGAAAAAGAUACAUUGCCGGUGAUUGUAAAUUCUGCACUAGAUGAGGAACAACUAGGCAAACUCUUACGUGUUUUGAGGAAGUAUUUAAAGGCUAUAGGAUGGACGAUUUCUGAUAUCAAGGGAAUCAGUCCAACUAUUUGUAUGCACGAAUUUUGUUAGAAGAAAACUCUAAACCGAUGGUUGAGACUCAAAGAAAGUUAAAUCCAAAUAUGAAAGAAGUGGUAAGAGUAGAAAUCCUUAAAUGGUUGGAUGCAGGUAUAAUUUUUUCAAUUUCUGAUAGUAUUUGGAUUUCUCCUAUACAUGUAGUGCCAAAGAAAGGAGGGAUAACCAUAGUACAUGGUAAAAAUGAUGAAAUGAUUCCAUCUAGAGUUGUAGUUGGGUGGCGAGUUUGUAUAGAUUAUAGAAAACUGAAUACAGCUACUAGAAAAGAUCAUUUCUCUCUUCCUUUUCUUGAUCAAAUGGCAGAAAGAUUGGCCGGAUAUGAAUUUUAUUGUUUCUUGGAUAAUUUUUCAGGAUACAAUCAAAUAGCCAUUGCACCGGAAGAUCAAGAGAAAACUACAUUCACUUGUCCUUACGACACUUUUGGAUUUCGAAGGAUGCCUUUUGGACUGUGCAAUGCACCGGCCACCUUCCAAUGAUGCAUGAUGGCAAUUUUCUUUGAUUUUAAUGAGAAAAUUAUGGAAAUCUUCAUGGAUGAUUUUUCUGUAUUUGGAUUUACUUAUGAUGAUUGUCUUAACAAUUUAGAUCUAAUUUUGCAGAAAUAUAAAGAAACAAACCUUGUACUCAAUUGGGAAAAAUGUUACUUCAUGGUUCGUGAGGGUAUUGUGCUAGGCCACAAAAUUUCUUCAGAAGGUAUUGAAGUAGAUCAAGCCAAGAUAGAGGUUAUUGAGAGAAUGGCUCCACCUAUCAAUGUGAAAGGAAUUCGCAGCUUUCUUGGAUACGUGGGAUUUUAUCGGCGGUUUAUUAAGGAUUUCUCAAAAAUUGCUAAACCUUUAUGUGAAUUACUUGCAAUAGAUGUUUCUUUUCACUUUAAUGAUGAGUGUUUACUUGCUUUUAAUAGGUUGAAAAAGGAACUUGUCUCCGCACCUAUAAUAGCAUCACCGGACUGGAGCUUACCAUUCGAAUUGAUGUGUAAUGCAAAUGAUUUUGCAGUUGGAGUUGUUAUUGGGCAAAAACAUGAUAAGCGACUUCAUGUCAUUUAUUAUGCAAGUAAAAUGUUGAAUGAAACCCAAGUUAACUAUGCAACAACAGAGAAGGAGUUGCUAGCAGUGAUUUUUGCAUUGGAUAAGUUAGAUCGUACUUAGUAGAAUCUAAAGUUAUCAUUUAUACCAACCAUGCAGCACUCAAAUAUUUAUUAAAUAAGAAAGAUGCAAAACCUCGACUAAUUCGAUGGAUUUUAUUAUUACAGGAAUUUGAUUUGGAAAUCAAAGAUAAAAAAGGAUCCGAGAACUUAGUUGCUGAUCAUCUUUCUCGACUGAAAAAUAUACCUCAAGAAGACCAUUCAUCCAUUAAAGAAGAAUUUUUAGAUGAGUUUUUAAUGGCAAUUUAUAAGUCACCAUGGUAUGCUGAUCUAGUUAACUUUGUAGUUAGUGGAGUGAUACCAAGUGAUUUGAAUUCUCAUCAAAGGAAAAAAUUCUUAAAUGAUGCUAAACAUUACUUUUGGGAGGAACCGUUCUUUUAUAAAUAUUGUGCAGAUGGAAUAAUUAGAAAAUAUGUUCCGGAGGAAGAAGUACAUAGUAUUCUAAUGCAUUGUCAUACUCUUGAAACGGGAGGUUAUUUUAGUACAACUAAAACUCUAGCAAAGAUAUGGCAAUCUGGAUUUUAUUGGCCUACUAUAUACCGAGACACUAGAAAUUGGGUUAAAAGUUGCGAUCAAUGCCAAAGAACUGGUAAUAUCUCAAGAAAGAAUGAAAUGCAUUUGACUACAUAUUUGGAAGUUGAGUUAUUUGACGUUUGGGGCAUUGAUUUUAUGGGACCAUUUCUUAGCUCAUAUAAUAAUAAGUACAUUCUUUUAGCAGUUGAUUAUGUCUCUAAAUGGGUGAAGGCCAUUCCUUCACAAACUAAUUAUGCUAAAGUUGUGCUUAAGUUCCUUAAACGGAACAUAUUUUGCAGGUUUGGAGUCCCAAAGGCAAUAAUAAGCAAUGAAGGUAAGCAUUUUUGUAAUAAAAUUAUUGACACUUUGUUGCUUAAAUAUGGAUGCAGGCAUAAAAAGUCACUCUUUUAUCACCCUCAAGCUAAUGGUCAAGCUGAGUUGGCCAACCGGGAAAUUAAAAACAUUUUGGAGAAAACGGUCAACCGAUCGAGAAAGGAUUGGACAAACAAGCUUGAAGAUACUUUAUGGGCGUAUAGAACGGCAUUUAAAACGCCAUUGGGAAUGUCUCCAAAUAAACUUGUUUAUGGCAAAGCGUGUCAUUUACCUGUAGAAAUAGAACAUAAAGCUUAUUGGGCCAUUAAAACUAUUAAUUUUGAUUUUAAAUCUGCAGGUGAAAAGAGAAUGCUCGAUUUGAGUGAAUUGGAGGAAUCACGGUUAACCUCGUAUGAGAAUGCCAAGAUUUAUAAAGAAACAGUGAAAUUUUGGCAUGAUAAACAUAUUCUUCCUAAACAUUUUGAAGAAGGGCAAAAGGUGUUAUUGUUUAACUCAAGACUUAAAUUAUUCCCUGGAAAGCUUAAGUCUCGAUGGUCCGGGCCAUUUGAAGUGGUUCGUAUGUUUCCUUAUGGAGCAGUGAAAAUAAAAGGAGAAAAUGGUGCCCCAUUCAAAGUAAAUGGUCAAAGAUUGAAGCUCUAUUUGGCUGGAGAAAAGGUUCCUAAAGGAGUAAUUUACUCCUUAGGAAACGCAAUGGGGAGUUAAAAGAGCUAUAGGAGAGUCGAGCUCAACGACUCUAAACAAAGCGCUUGUUGGGAGACAACCCAAUAAUAAUAUUGUAGUUGUAUGUUUUUAUGUGUUUCUUACAUUUUAGUGUGAUUUAAUUGACUAAUUAGAUAUAUUUCACUUGUUUGUAGGAGGUACCGGAGUUUUAUCAUCCAUUUUGGAAGUACACUUGAAGAACAAGUGUAAAAAGGGAGGUUUUCUUACCAAAUUGUGCUUUAAGUGUUUAGCAAUACCAUUCAGAUAUACAUUGUGCAUUUCAAGUAUAUUCAAGUGAGUUUUGGUGAUAACAUGGUUAUAAAUGCUCAUGGACUCAUUUGAUAUGUAUUUAAUGUGUUUGAUGUGUUUUGAAAAGAUGGAUAAUGUGUUUAUGAUAUAUUACAUGUGCGUCGAAGGUUAGAAUUGAUAAAAAGUUUAUCCAAAGCGUGUUUUGGAAUUGGCCAGAAAAGGGAGAAAAAGUUUGAAAAAUUGCAGUUUCUGCAAUUAGUGCAGAAAAAGACAGAUCCGACCUCGGAUUCGAAAGACCCAGACGGAUCCGACCAUGGAUCCUUAGAUCCGAGCUCGGAUCCAACAAUUUCCAGAAAUAUACGAGGGAUCGUCUGUGCUUCUGGCGGUGAGGAUCCGAACCCCUAUCGGAUCCGAGGACUUAUAGAACCGAUCCGAGCUCGGAUCGGUUCGCGAUAUGAUUGGAACCGAGGGCUCGGUUCCUCAUUUUUCAGCUUUCUUCUCUUUCUCUCUCCCCGAAACCCUAGCCCUCUCUCUCUAAUCUUCCAUUUUAUCCAUCAAUCAUCUAAUUUCUCACCAUAAACAUCUUCCCAACCCUCAAUUGAUCAAAAAAACCCCAAGCUAUUUCACCACAAAACAUCAUCAAAAGUGGGUUUUGAUCAUCAAUAGGAAACAAAAGGGCCGAACUGAUUUCUUCCAUUUUGAGGCGGAUUUGAGUUUGUUUCUUGUUCGUUUUUGCAUUAUCAUCUUCCUUUAUCAUCACUCUACACAUUUGGGGUAACAAUUUUCAACUUUCUUUGAAAUUUUACAUUUCUCAAUUCUUAAUUUUUUGUAUUUUUCUACAAAUUUGGGAAAUGCACAUAUGUUGGAUUUUAAGGCUAUAAUUUUGCUACAUUGUGCUAGUAUAUGUCAUUGGAAAUGCUUGCUUGUUUAGAAUUGAGAAAUUUGUUAAUAUGGUGAUAAAUUUUGUAUAAUUUUUCUCAUGAAAGCACAUUAUACUUGUAUUUGCAAUUUCUUGUUUCUUUGUAUAAUUGGUAUUUGACUAUUUGAAAUGAAGUUCAUUUUUAUGCAAAUUGAUGAUAAAUUGUAGCAAGUAUAGUGGAUUGUUAUGUAUUGCUUUGAGGGAAAUAGACAAAAGCUGAAAAUUGUUUGAAUUGAGGAUGUUUUUCGUAAUGCAUAAGGAGAUAUUGUGUUCAAUUGAUGAUUAAGGCUUAACUUAAUAGCACAUUGUCUUUGAUAGUCCAUUUUACUUUGAGAUAAUAUUCUAUGCUUGCAAAUGAUUUUAAAUCUCACACAUUUGGAUUUAUCAUGUGAGGGUUGAUUUCCUUAUUGAAAAUAUAUCUUCUAAAUGUUAAAAGUGGAUUUGAGAAUGUGUUAAGCAGAGUAUUUGCUUCAAUUUGUUGAUUGUUGGCAGGGAGCUUUGUCCUUUUACAAGGGGAAACUCUGCCGAAAUUUUUUUAAUUUACUUUUCAACAUUUUUUUUUGAAAUGUAUUUUCAAGAAAUUUAGAUUGCUUUUAAUGUGCAUUGAUCUUGUUCUUGAUAUAGGCACAAUGGUUCGCACAAGAAGGGCUAUUAUUCGCACUCCUUCCCCCUCUUCAAGCGAGGAACGCACUCCCUCACUUGAGGAGACACCAGUGGAGGACUCCCCUUCACCUGACUCACCUCCACGCUCACGGCGUAAGACAGCGUUCACUAGCCGUGAUGAGCCACUUCCGGAUUAUGAUACCACUAGAUUCACGUCACUCGAGAAUCAACAGUGGUACGAAGCAAGCUUAGAUAAGGAAAUUAUCAUUGAAAAGCACAUGGCACCGGAGGUGAAUGUGCACUACCACAUCUCUACGGCAUUCAAGAGACUCGGAUGGGAGAACACCCUUCAAUUGCCCAAGCAUUACUACCCCAAUCUGGUCCGGGAAUUCUACGCCAAUGUAGAAAACAAACAGAGCCACAGUGGCAACCUCAUCGUCUUGUGGGUUCGAGGUAAAAGAGUGGCUCUCAAUCGGGAUACAAUCGCCAAAUUCGUCAAACUCAAGGACGAUGGAGAAGACGUGAAAUUGACCAAGGAAUUCAAGGCAUGUGAUCCUUGACAAGUAGGAGAAGCUGUGUCACGUUUUAAGGGUCAAUACCGUGAGCGAGAAAGUUCUAAAAAGCUCAUAGUGUAUGCGGAUUCUUUCGAACCUCGGUACCACUUGAUAUUCUAUCUUUUUGCUUUCAAUGUGGUACCGAAAAGGAGUGGAAAACGAGAGCUCCGCAACAGUGACCUCUACUUCCUGGACAAGAUGAUGAACGGAGUAGGUCGCCAGCUAACUGGAAUACCUCUGUGCAGCAUCAUCAUCAGCUACGUGCGGACCACCGCUCAAAUGAGGGCCGGCGAAACCUACUUUGGGUUCCCUCGCCUUCUCUCCCUUCUAUUUGAGAAGCUCAAGGUUCCUCUCGCAAUCGAGCGAGCCACUAUCACUAGGGCUACCGAAGAGGUCAGUGCCUCGAUACUCAAAUUUUUGGGUAUCCCUACGGAUUUUGGAACUGCUCUAGUUCGGGACACUGGAGAAGCAUCAACUUCCGCUCAGCCUCCAUCUUACACUGAACCACAAGCGAAUGCUCAAGAGACGGAAGCACAGCAGACUCUUCCUCUUCCUGUUGCACGACCACCACCUCCGCAGCGAUCCAAGUGGCAAGAGCUCCUCAAUGCCAUUUGAUGUAUGGAGACACGAGUCGUCGAACGCAUUGACCAGACCGAGCGGAUGAUGACAGAGCGACUCGACAGACAUGAUCGCCGUCUUCGUGCGAUCGAGGAUUAUUUUCAUAUCCGCCGGUCACCUACUCCGAUGCCUCAGCAGGAGGAGAGACAUAUUGGUACCUCACAUGGUCCUCAUGGAGCAGAGGAGGUAGUAGACCCUCGUUCCGAGCAGCCAUGAAGCUCCUUAACGGAUUGGAUCUUUUAUUUCUUUAUUUGUCUUUUCUUCUGUUAAGAUAUAUUUUGUAGAUUUUAUUUUAUUUUUGGCUCAUCUUGUGCUACUUAUGUUUCUUCGUACCUUUUGUUUCACUUUGGCCAGAAUUGGGAUGAUCGUGAGGAUUAAGAGCUUCAAAUUGCAUCACCAUCUAUUUAAGGGAAGUUUCAGUUUCUUUUACCUUCCUCUACAAUGAGGACAUUGUGAAUUUUAAGUGUGGGGGAGGGAUUACCUUAUCUUAUGGAUGAUUGUGUCUUGAAAUGCAUGAUUUUAGUUGUCUAUGGCUUAAAAAUGUUGGAUUUAUAUUUGGAAAUAUUGUCAUGAGGUUAAUUUUCUUGAAAUUGAGGUUGUUGACAGGGAGUUUUGUCCAUUUUUAUGGGGAAACUGUGUCAAAAUUUUUUCUAAAAUAUUUUUCAAUAUUUCAAGUUAAUGGCCAAAAUGUUCAAUUUUAAGUGUCUAAUUCUUUCAUUGGAUAAAAUGUUAUAUGUAUUUUGGGAAAGUUUAGUCCUUAUUUGACUUGGAAUUAGUCAUUAUGCAAUUAGGAUUUGUAUAUUUUAGGAAGUAUAUUUGGUUAAAUAAGGAAAAUUAUGCUUAAAUUUUGCACGUUUAAUGAUAUUUCUCAUUUUUACUUAAUUUUAUAAGUAAGUGAUUGAUAUAGUCAAGACAAGGCCAGAUUCUUCCUUUAAUUUUGCUCAGAGGGAAAAGAAAAAAAAUUAUUGUUAAAAAAAAGGGAGAAAAAAAAAAUAUAUAUAUAUAUAUUGAUAUUAUUUUCUACUCCAAUAAUUCACAUACUAAGUAACCGGGGGUUGGCAUUUACAAAUGUCUACAUUCGCGUAAAAAGGUAUUGGAAUUAAGAGUAUGCUUAGCAAUUUGAAUAAGUGAAAUGUUGAGUAAUCGGGAAUCUUCACCUAAAAGUGUCGAUUUUCGCGUAAAAAGACAUUUCUACUAUUUAAGUAAAAUGAAGUAUGAAUAAAUCCCUCUUAGUUAUGAAAAUUUUGAUGGUUAUGGGAUGAGGAAGGCCAUAGAAUUGACUAUGAGAUUUACUUAUUCGUGAAAUUAGGAUAGAAUGAGAGAUUGAUUUGAAGUUGUUAAAAUUAAGGCAUAAUUAUCUUUCUUUAACUUGAUAUUAUGAGUAUUUAGUGUAAUCUGAGAAAUGGCAUAAUGAUUGGUUUCUAGGUUUUUGAGGAAUUAAAUUUGACAAAAGUACGCAUAUUAUUUUAUCUAUCGAAUCAUUGAAAUAAAUUUUGUGCAAAUUACUUGAGGACAAGCAACGAUUCAAGUGUGGGGGAGUUUGAUAAGUGAAUAUUUAACGUAUAUUUUGUGUAAGUUUGGCAUGAACUUUUGGUAUGUUUUGAGAAGAUUAAAGCCAUAUUUGAACUCUUUUGGUGAUAAUUGCUUAAAUAUUGUUUAAGUGUUCAAAACUUGAUAAAUGAGUGGAUUAAUGCGUUAAUUUUGUGAAAUUGUGAAGGAUAUUGAUGUAUGAAAUUCAUGCAUGAGAUGAAGGAAAUGUAAGGAUCGUCCAGAGGAUAAAUUACACAAGAAAUUAGGAGCAAAAGUGAAGAAAAAGGAAAAGAAGUGAAAAACUGGAAAAAAGACCAGCCCUCGUUGUGUGAAUCAAGGAAGAUCCGAGCCCUCGUCUGUACUUCUGGAGUAGUGUAUUCGAGAACAAAGGAUCCGAGCUCGAAUCCCUCAGAGAAGGCCUCGGAUCAGCAUUGAUCUGAGCUCGGAUCUAACUUCACCCCUCGGAUUCGAGGCUCGGAUUUGCCUCUCUUUUCUACAAGUGGUACAGCCGUUUUUUCUCACUUUUCACACAACUUUUUAGCUAUUUGGAGUGAAUGAAUUCGGUGCACAUGCUUCAGAAGACAAAAGGGUAGAUAAUAUGGUUUAUUUUCAAGUAAAAAACAUUGGUUAUUGACUAUCCUAACAAAGUUGAGAUUUGGGAAUCAAAAGGUGGAAUUUGACUUGGAAAAAUGGAUGCUCCUGAGCAGUUUUUAUGCAGAGACAUUGGGAGAGGUCAGAGGAUAUACAUAGCUAGUUUUCCUUCUUGUAACUAGUUUUCCUCUCUAGCUAGGAGUUCCUUGAGAAGCAUUUUGGAGUUUUUACUUGUAAUCAUCUUUUACAAGAACAUAGCAGAAAUUGGAGGGUUUCACCAUCAAUUGGCUAAGUUUUCUUUUAUCUUUCUUGUACUUGUACUUUAUAAUGUUUUGCAUUAAUAAACUUGUGAGUUUGGUUGUUAAAUCAUUCAUGAGUAGCUAAACUUCUUUAUUUAGGGAGUAGAUGAAACUUAUGGGUAAAUAAUAUGAAUUGAAUGUGAUUUACACUUGUUAUAUCUUGUAUUAACUUGUCUAUUUGUGCAGGUAGAAAUUACUUGUUAUUGCUUGAUCACCAAUAGCAUGUUUAUAGUUGUUAUUGUUCAAUGAGAAUUGGUAGUAACAAUGGAAACACAUGAGUAGAGCUUAAGUUGUAUGUUCAUGAAAAUAGAGAUACACUUAAAUGGAUUACUUAACAUUUCAUGAAAGAAAACAGAGUAGUAGUAGUAUUUCACCAUGAAAAUAGGGAAAACUGUUUUGCUCUAGGCCAUUUCAUCAUGAGAAUAAGAUUUGGUAAUAUUGGAAAUGAAUCUCUGGUUAAACAAGAAUAAUAACAAGAGGUAAAUCUAUUCAUUUGUAUUGUUUAUGCCAUAAGUGGAAUCUACAUCCCUAGAUUCAAUCUUUAGUGAAAUUUCUCCAUUUGCAUUUAACAUUGAUUAAACCAGAGUUGUAGGCAAUAGCACUGUAAUUUUCUUGCUCAGAUUUAUUGUAAGUCUAAAUAGUAGAGAAAAAUAAGGAACUAGUACUUGUUUAAAUUGCUCCUCGUGGGAUCGACCCGAUACAUACCCUAUAUUAUGAUUUCGGCCUGUAUACUUGCACUUAAUGGGUAUAAAAUCGGAUUUAAACUUGCAUUAAUAUAAAAAUCCCGUCAAAUAUUCUCACAACCUUGUACUCUCCCGUAGAAGGUACAUGUCCAAAACCAAUUGCAUGACCCCAUGUUUGUGGAGAGCACUCUGGGAGGAUUACAAAUUGGUGAGUUACAGGAUUACAUAAAUAAAAAGGCCCAGUUAUCCCACAUACAAAGUAUCUUUUGUAAAUACACAGUAGGCCGUUGCAGGAGGCCAACACCAUGUUCCGUCCUCCACCCGUAUAGUAGUUUCCUCCACCCCUGCAAUAUUUUCCUUCCUUGGUGAAUCUUGCACAAUGCUACGGCCUUCUUCAUCUGCGGAUGUAAAUUGGAGGGUACAGCGAUUUCCAUCACGGGAACAUGCUAAAUCUUGUACGUAAAAGAAACGGAGUUUUCUCCACUUAGUUUCGCACAAUUUCAUGAACCAAGAAUCCGAUAGUAAGUUGCACCAUGUCUUGCAGACACACUUGCAUCUGAAAAGGGCUUUCAAAGGAAGCCUUGAUAGUACGUCAGUCACUAUCUCAAUUGGGAGUUCUGUCAUCUUCCUCUCUCAAUGUUAAACUCACUCUCAAGAACUUUUCUUUUCUUUCGUAUAUUGUUUUGAAGAAAUUCUUGCUUCAAAGUUUAUGUGACUGUGCUAGGUUUAAUGAGUCAGUCGAUAGAGAGACUUAAAAGAACAAUUUUGAAAGUAAAGCACUACAAUUUAGGCUAGGAUCUCGUUUUAGUUAAUUGGGGAUUCUGAGCAUCACUUAGAAAUAUUGCCAUAAUAAAUUUAAUGUCCUAAUUUUAUGCCUAGUCAUUUAAAUCCUUCCAUUAUUUACUCACAAAUUCGAUUUCAAUUUUCUUGCGAACACUACAACUAUUUGGGCUAGGGACUAGUUUUCGAUGGAUAGAGGAUUCUGAGUGUGUAACUUAAUAAUAUUGCCAUUAUAAGGUAAUUGUGGAAAAACUUUAUUUUGGACUGGUCCAGCAAGAGAGCUGCAUUUGAACAUCCAAGGGGGAAUAUAAAGUGGGGUUUUGUGUGUCCAAAUAACGUUAUUUGUCCAAAUGGAUACUAGGUCCAAGAUGAAACUUCUAAUAGAUGUGCCAAUAUUUUCCUCUCGUUAUUUAAAUCCUUCUGUUAUUUAAUCACAAAUCUGCUUUCCUUUUUAAGGUAAAUGAAGUUCAUUAUAGGGUUUGUCUAUAGGGCAACCAUUAAGAUACAUAUUUUUUAAAAUAUAAGAUUACUUAGGAAAAGUAAAUAAAUACAAAGGGAGGGCAGACAAUAUUAACUAGGAAAAUAUAUAAAUACAAGAGAAGAUAAUAAUUGUUAGUAUGUGUAUAUAUAUGGUAGGUUAUGUGAAUGUUAAAUGUGUUGAGAAAUUCCCUUAAUUAUAUCUUCUUUUUUCCUAGUUAUUUUAGUUUUCCCUUUUCAAAUAGAGCUGUACUUACUUCUAGUGUUAAAUACUCUAAUCCAAAAGAAGGAGGUGAAACAUGCACUGCCAGUAAGCAUGUUAACUUCGGCAUUUUGUAAAGUUGGCCUUGUAUAACUAAAGUCUUACUAAUUGUUUGCGCCUCCAUUACUUGUUAAAAAUAAGUCGAGUUCAAAGAACCUUAAUGAUUAUUUGAUGUUAUGCAGUUUUAUACUUUUGCCUACAUAAUAUACAAUCAGUGAGUUAAAAUUGAGUUCUAAUUGUUGCUGAUAAUGACACGCAAAACCCUUGAUGAGAAUUUGUCUAAAUACUAUUCCCUCCUUCCCAUUUUGAUAUCCUUGUUUUCUUUUUUUUUAUCUGUCCCAAAUUAUAUUCUACUUUCUAGUUAAAAAAUAUAGUUAAUUUUUAACCUCUCUAAAAUGUCCUUAUUUAAUGUACUUUAUUAUCAAUGAAUAUAACCUAUUUUAUUCAUUAAUUGUUUUGAUUCAUGCCUUGAAUGGUGUUUCAUCAAUAUUGUUGUUGCUAUUAAUGUAAAGGUAUAAUGUUUAGUUAUACUAUUAAUAUUAAUGUAAGGAGUAUUUUAGAAAAAUAAUAUAUUAGAUGCACUUUUUAAAUAAAGUUAAUUAAUUUUUUUAAACUAUUUGAAAAAAAAAACUAAAACCAUCAAAAUGGGAGGGAGGAAAUACUGUUUUGUAGCAUUUCUUGACUCGAUAAUGAUGUGCCCUUGUUCUCUUUCUUAUUAAAGUGUGCAGUAAUGAUUUCCUUUUUUUUUUGUUAACCGUAUUCGAUCACUGAUAGUUUCUAUGCUGAGUCACUAUGGUAUGACAAUUUUGUACUUGCAAUUUGGACCUACUCUUGUCCUCUCUCUGUUGAAUUUGUAUAGCUAUAAAAAGAAAAAAAAUGAACAAAAUUUACAUAUGAUUUUAUUUGUCCCUUGUAUUCUCAGUUUGUCUUGAAACCGAAAUUUUCAAUCCAUGUUCCAUCCAUAAAAUUGUCAUCAUCCUAUACUUCAUCAUAUGCCCUGGCACCAGUUUGAAUUUGUAGACUCUGCAUUAGAUUGACAUUAAUGUCAUAUUUAUCUUUAAUUAUCCUGAAUCCUUCCAAGUCGCAAUGGCAAAUCAUUAGCUUAGCUCUGCAUGUGACAGGUAAUCAGAUGAUUGAGACAAAAAUGUUUUCCAAAUCAUUAUUAUCUUUGCAUAGACAUGUUGUUUAGGGAUAGGCAUUUAGAUCAGAAAGGUAGCCCUUCGGAUCGUUCUCAAAGCCAGUCCUUGUCACUUGAAUUCUGUGGCACGGUAAAUUGUCAUACUACUCGUGUCUCUCUGUUAUUUUUAGGGAUAAUUUCAGAAACGUCUCUUGAGGUUUCUAACAAUUUCACUCACCUCCCUUGAGAUUUGUAAAAUGACACUAACCUCCCUUAUAGUGUUUAAUUAGAGAAAAAUUACUUAUGUACCCUAAGAUAUUAUGUCUUAUUGGAAACUAGCAUCUAGUAAUUAAGUAAUUAGGGUACUAAUUAACUGUUAGUAACUAAUUAAUGAAAAUACCUAUUAGAAAACUUUUUAAUGAUGAGCAGUAACUUGCAAUUACAAAAUGGUGCUAAUUGAUGUACCAAAUAUUUGUUCGCUCUCAAAAAUUGAUACACCAAACAGUAAUUUGUCUGGAUAUUUUGUACCUUUAAAGAUCUUCACAGUUUCCUUACGAUUACACUUGCAAUAUUUGUUUUUGAUGCUAAAGGAUGUGGGUGAAUUUUAUGAUUUCCUCCUGUAGUUUGACAAGGCUAUAUUUUCUGCACCUAUACUUUACCUUCAACGUGAGAAAUCUACACAAAAUCACUGUUUUUCCACCUCAAAUUUUGCUGCUUGAAGUGAAAAAGAGAUCGAUCUUAAUGCUUUUUGUUGCCUUUAUAUGCAAAAUGGUAAAGGUCUUAAAAAAUAGCCAUCAUAAUCCAAUGCACUAGCUGUUGAUCUAACUUUGUAGAGAAAGUUAGUCGGUACUUAUUUUUGGUUCUUUACUAUUUGUACUUACCUUCCCUUACUUUUAUUAAUAUGUUUUUCAUUCCUUUACAAUACAAGUUAUACACAAGCAUAAAGGGCAUUUGUGGAAUAAAUGUUUUAUCUCUCUUCUCAAAGUACUUUUUUAAUGCAUUUUUUUCUAAUUUGGACUGAUUUCGUUACCAAAACCUUAACUUUAGGGGAGGUUAAUGUAAUUUUACGAACUUGAAUUGGAUAAAACCAAAAAGGAUUUUUGUAGCGGCCGCUCUAUGAUCAAAUUAAAUUGAAAUUUCUAAUCCUAUCUUUGAUUUGAGCAUGAAUGAUAAUUAUCUUAACCAAAAUAAAACACUCGUUAACAAAAUUAACUUAGUGUCCUACUUAUGAAUCUUUGCCUUUUUUUUCUGGGAGGAUGGGAGAUAUAAUCAUCUGGAUAAUGAACCACAAUUUAUACUACUGCAUUACUUCAAACUUGUUACCUAAUGGCAACUUAAGAAUGGGUGGCAAAGGGGGCAGUUCUGGCGGCAAGGCGGUGGAGACAACGGAGGAGGGAAUGGAAGAUCUAGUGGCAGUGGUUUGUCUAAGGGCGGAGGCAAUAGUGGUGCCCGCGGUGGACAUAUGAAAGCACCGGGCGACGAUGGGUCAUUUAUUUCAAGAGCUGGAUUUAAGGCAAAUCCUCAGCUCAACAUUUCGGGCUUACAUGGUAGCCAGAGGGACAAAUGGACUUUUACAUUGACCAAAAUGUUAGAAUUUUUUAAAUAAACAUCAAAUCUAUGUUGAAUUGUCAGCUCCAUAUGGUUUGGAUCAACGAAAAUUUUAUUGAAGUAUUAAACUAUCUGUAUUGCGUGGAUUUUUUGCAUUCCAAUUUUGGUAUUUUUUUUUCUUUAGCAAUUACUUCAUAAAAGGCAAUGGAAUUUAUUGAAAGAUAGUUUAAUUUGGAGAGCACUUCCGACUCGUUUGAUUAAGUUUUAGAUCAUAAUUACAUGCAAAUAUGGUCAUAUGACUACCUCCAAUGGCCACCUACAAGCAACUUAUUUCUUAGCAUUUUUUUUUUCAGUUUGAUAUCUACUCAAUUUUCUUGAGGCAUAUAUAUAUAUAUAUAUAUAUAUAUAUAUAUAUAUAUAUAUAUAUAUAUAUAUAUAUAUAUAUAAGUUUUGUAGAAAAAGAAUGGUGGACAUAAUUCUGCAAGACCCGCACAUAUUAACUUUGUCACUUUAGUCGUUUUUUCCGUAAAAGACACUACUAUUAGAUGUUAGAGAAUGCAUAGUCUUUAAAUUCUAUGAAUUAUAGGCAAAGAUCAUUCUUCCCUUUAAAUGAAUAUGAAAAAGAAUGUUAACGAAAGAAGUUUUUCCUUGACUGCCAACACGAAACCAUACCAUCUCAUGGGAAUUAAUUAAAACUGGCUUAGUAAGUUUGAGUAGUAAAAUUUAAAUCAGAUGUACGACACUACAAAUUUCAAUUGUUACCACCAAAGCGCAUUAAACAAAUAAAUAAAUCAAAGAAAAAGUUUUUCACCUUCAAAGCCAUGCAUAACUAUCUAUAAGUGCAAAACAUCUUAUAAGGUCUUAGAAAAUUCUUUUUUCCCUCCUUACAAAAGUAAAGUCUUAAAAAAUGUUAGAAAAAUGAUUCAAAAUGUCUCUUAUAUUUCGCAACAUGACUUUUUUGUCCCUCACUUUUAAAAGUAUAAUUUUACGUCUUUUACAAAUUUACAUUGAUUAAAUUUGAUACCUACCCAAGUUUUCGAAUAGUUUUUAGUCGGAAUCAACCACAUGCUUUACACAUAAUCAUUUUUUAGGGGUAAAAUUAUCAAAUUAAAUUUCACAUAAUCCGAUCCACAGUCUCUCAUUUUCACAAAGUGAAUUUUUUGAAAAUUUUAAAGAUUAUUACACAGAUAAAAGCAUAUGGAAAAUAAAUUUUUUCCCUUUUCUUCCGGGAACCUUAUAAUAUAAAUUCCCUAAUGAUCUGUAAUUCGUUUUUCAGAUUCUUAGUUGGACUAUAGAUUGAACAGAAAAGUACGAGGGAAUGACGUUCAAAAUUUUAAGGAUUAAUCUUUAUCCCCAAAUAUCUCGAAAAAAAGAGUACAAAUUCCUUGAAUUAGAUGUCAUAUGCUAAAAAAUCCGUGUAGUCAAAUUAGUUUCCCCAUGCAGUCAUGCAUUUGACUCUUAAAUUCACAAGAAAAUUUUAUCAUUUCAAGUGUAGAAAUUAAAUACAUCCUAAUCAAAUUAUGCCUAUAUAAACCCCACUCAUCAUCCAAUCGAAGUAUCGGCAUCAAAAUUGUAAUAACUUCAACAAUUACUACUAUUGUUUAAGUGAUCAACAAUUAAGAGCAUUUCACAAAGUGAAUUUUUUGAAAAUUUUAAAGAUGAUUACACAGAUAAAAGCAUAUGGAAAAUAAAUUUUUUCCCUUUUCUUCCGGGAACCUUAUAAUAUAAAUUCCCUAAUGAUCUGUGAUUCGUUUUUCAGAUUCUUAGUUGGACUAUAGAUUGAACAGAAAACUACGAGGGAAUGACGUUCAAAAUUUUAAGGAUUAAUCUUUAUCCCCAAAUAUCUCGAAAAAAGAGUACAAAUUCCUUGAAUUAGAUGUCAUAUGCUAAAAAAUCCGUGUAGUCAAAUUAGUUUCCCCAUGCAGUCAUGCAUUUGACUCUUAAAUUCACAAGAAAAAUUUAUCAUUUCAAGUGCAGAAAUUAAAUACAUCCUAAUCAAAUUAUGCCUAUAUAAACCCCACUCAUCAUCCAAUCGAAGUAUCGGCAUCAAAAUUGUAAUAACUUCAACAAUUACUACUAUUGUUUAAGUGAUCAAGAUUGAAGAGCAUUUGGAGAUGGAUAACAAGGGUUGCAGCAAAGAAACUGGAGCAGGUGCAGCAGGAGCUGGUGGUGGCAAUAGCAGUGGUGGUGGGACUAACAAAGGUGGCAACAAUGAUCUGAUCAUGAAGGCUCCUGGUGCUGAUGGUGCAUAUAUAUCAAGGACUGGCUUUGAGAACGAUCCAAAGGGCUACUUUUCUGACCUGCAUGCUAAGGAGAAGGCCAGCAAAUGAAGAAGGGAUGUUUGAGUAUCUAAAGAUAAAUAAAAAUGUUGACUAUUUAUGUACUUUCAUCAACUCUUAAAAUUUGGAUCAAUGGAGAUGAUAUAUUGAAGUAUUAAACUACCGGUUUUGUGUUCACCCCAUUUAGUUAAUUUGUGGUUUUAAAGCAUUCUUUUGCAUUAAAUAGUCCCCACAUUUUCUUAAGGCCGAAUAACCAAUAACUAUUUCGAAGCCAAAUGCACACAAAUUGAACACGGUUUACAGGUAUGUUCUUCCUCAAUUUCUACCAUCACAGCUAAUAAGGCGAUGUUCACUCUUAUCAAGAGGGUUAUAGAUAAAAACUAAAAAACAAAAACAAAAUCUUCGUACAUUCUGUACCAAAAAUCCAACAAUACUUCGCGACACGGCUGGAAGGGUCAUUGUAUUUCAAGGGGCCUUUUGAAGGAGGCCUUGGUUAUAUAUAUGUCAGCUAUAAUCUCAAAUAAUACCAAAAAAAAGCUUUAAUCAAAAAGCAAUAAUUAAUUUUUUGCCUCAAAGCUUCUCUGUUUCAACUAAUAAAGGAUCCUGAAUAUCUUCACGAAAAUAGUGCCAUAGCGGAAACAUCAUAAUUUAUUCCUUGCCACUUUUUUGCUUUUUUGUCAAAAGCAGUAUUUAAUUUCAUUUCUAGCUUGAUAACAUAAGGUUUGUUAUAAAAGCGUUACUACCCGAGUGAUCUUUCUGUGCACUCUAUUCUUGACCAUGAAUUGGAUUGGUGCAUAAAAAAAAAGAGGUGAAUUUGAAUUUGGCCCUCUAAAAUAGACCAACUUACCAAUUCAACUUACCAGUUCAACUAAACACUUAAAACUGCAAAUUUCGAUCCAAAUGACGCUUUGUGUCAAUUCACAUGUGUUUAUUAAUUAAAAUUUCGUCAAACUUAAGUGGCAUAAUGAAUUCCUAGCAACUUUGUUAGGGAAGGGCUUUAAUGAGAUACAAAGGAAAAAGAUAGUGAGUGCUCUUUUGAUCAGUUUUGAAAGAUUUGAGAUGGCAGAUUAACUUUUUUUUUUUAUUGGAAGAGCAACAAUUUAUCAUUCUUAACUCAUUUAACUUGGAGAUUAAUUGCUUCAAACUUCUUGAAGUUAGUAGGGUUUCACUUUGAGACAAAAAUUGAUGGAAGGGAUCAUUUGGAACAAAAUUUCCAAUUGGAGGGCUUAACUAUGAUGUAAUCACAUUUAAGGGUUGAAUUGAUAAUUUGGUCAACUUUGAAGGACCAAAAACAGAUUAUCAAAAUGAAUUUUCACCCUUUUUAAGCUAGACCUGGAGAUUAUUGACAAAACCACAAAAAUGGCUACAGUUGAAUCAAUGAUAAACAUCUUAAAUCAAAAUAAAACAAUCUCAAGAAAAUCAACUCGCCAUCCUACUUUCAAAUUACUUUUGUUUGUUUGUUUAUACAACUUCCUCUAACAGACUCAUUCCACUUUCACACAGAUUAAGAAGAAUAGUUAAUGUAAUCAUUUUUGCUUAGUACUUUCCUUAUGUGCCCUUCUAUUAAUCCUUUGUUUUAGUGUUAUACUACAAUUUAUUAUUUAUAGUAAAAUGGCUAACUAAUUAAAUAGCAUACUUACUAAUUAAGAUACAAUUUAACUAUGGAUAUAGAAGUAAAUCCAUACACUAACCCACACUUCAAAAAAAAAAGCCUAAAUUAAACACAGAAAAAGGGGCCUAUAUAUCUUAUUGAACGGAGAGAGUACUAUUUUGUACUUCUUUCCCACCCCUCAUCCCCAGUAUCUAGGGUCCAUGAACUAAAUUUAUUAUGCUACAGAAUUCGAGUUAAAUUUACCAUCCUACGGAAUUCGAGUAGUCCAAAUAUUCUCAACAUGCAUGCAUUACAUUAAUUUGGGCUAUCACAAAAUUUUUCCUUCUUAAUGGAGUUGAUGAUUCCAAGACAGCGUUUGACUGACUUCUUAUCAAAAUUUGCCUAUAUAAACUGACCAGUCUUGGCAUAAUGAUCCAUCCGCGAGCAGCUUAGUGCCAUACUGGUAUAUAAUUUGCUUCAAAGUUGUUAGCUAAAUAGCAACUUAAAAAUGGGUGGCAAAGGAGGAGGAGGCAAAGGCGGGAGUUCUGGAGGAGGAGGCAAAGGCAGUGGAGGCAACGGAGGAGGGAAAGGAAGUUCCGGUGGCGGUGGAUCGUCCAAAGGCAGCGGCAGUGGUGGUGCUGGCGGUGGAUAUAUGAAAGCGCCUGGUGGUGGUGGCUCAAAUAUUUCAAGAGCUGGAUUUGAGGCAAAUCCUCAAGGAUAUUUCUCGGGUUUACGUGGUGACCAAAAGGGCAAAUGAACUUUUAUAUUGAAUAAGAUGUUGGAAUCUAUUAAAUAAACAUCAACCCUAUGUUGAAUUAGCUUUAUAUCGAAGUAUUAAACGAUUUAUAUUGCCAGGAAUAUUUGCUUUCAAUUUUGACAUCUUUUUUAUUUUGCAAUUAUAGAAGGCAAUGCUAUGAAUUGAACUAGAGUUUACAUGCAACUAUGGCCAUAUAUAUGACUACCUACAAUGACCAUCCAUAGCACUGUUUUCGGUUGGAUAAUUACUGAAUUUUCUUCAGGCAUAGCAUAUAGCCAUCCAUAUAUGCUUAUGAUAAACUUUUGUUUAAAAAAAAAAAGAAUGAGUGGGCAUUAUUUUACAAGACUAAACAUAUAGACUUUCUCACUUUUGUCCUUUUUUUUUCCCAAAAAGACAGUGCUACUGUAUAUUAGAUGUCAGAGAAUAUAUAAAUAAGAAAUGCAAAGUCUUUUCAAUUGAUCAAUUAACUCUAGGCAAAGCUCAUUCUUGAUUUCUUUCUUCUCUCGUUAAAUAAAAAUAAAUGUCAAAAACAACGAAAAAAAAAACUAACCAAAAAGUUUUUCCUUGACUGCCAACACGAAGUCAGAACAUCUUACUGGAGAAUUAAAUAAAGGCAUAAUUUCAGAAACCUCCCCUAAGGUUUCUAACAUUUACACUUACCUCCCCUGUGGUUUGAACAAUUACACUGACCUUCCUUGAGGUUACUAAUCCUUUACAAAUUCAGUCUAAAUGAUUAAAAUAUUAUUUUAGAGAGUGAAAUUAGAAUUUUGUACCUGAUUUGUCCUUUAUGCCACAUGUCCAAUGAAUGGCAAAGUAUUACAAAUUAAUUAACAAUUAAUAAAUUUUAACAAGCGUAGUUUAUAGGCAAAUACGUAUUGCCUAUUUAAAGAACCAGCUUUUUACAUGAAUUUUAUUUUCAAACAUUUACUUUAUCACAAAUAUUUAUUCUCAAAUACAGAUUUGUAUUUACUCUCAAAUAUUUAAUUUUUGUUAAUUACAAAACCUACCAGUUUUUCUUCCGUAGAAAUAUUAAUAUAACAUUUUUUUCAAUUUCAAUUACAAAUAUUUAUGUAUUUAACAGAAAUUAAAUGAUUCAGAAUAAAAUACUCAUAAAGAGCUAAUAUUUUACUUUUGUAAUGGAUGAAAGCCAUAAAAAAUUAACAUUUUAUAGGCCAUUUCUUUUUUUUUUAAAUUUUAAUUUAUAUUAAAUAGAUAACCUAUCGAUUUUCUUUUUACAAGAAUAUUAUUGUAACACCUUUUAAUUUUUAAUUACAAAUAUUGAUAUAUUUAUUGUAAAUUAAAUAUUUAAAAAUAAAAUACCUGUAAAGAGCCGGUACUUUAAAUAAAUUAUGCGUGUUUGCCUAUAAACUACACUCCUUACUUAAAUCAAUAAACUACACUCCUUAACUUAAAUCAAUAAACUAUACUCCUUACUUUAAAUAGUGUAGUUUAUAGGCAAAUACGCAUAUCCUAUUUAAAGUAUCCGCUCUUUACAGAUAUUUUAUUUUCAAAUAUUUAAUUUAUGAUAAAUAUAUUAACAUUUGUAAUUAAAAAUUAAAAAGUGUUAAAGUAAUAUUCUUGCAAAAAAAAAUCAGUAGGUUAUCUAUUUAAUAUAAAUUAAAUAUUUUUUAAAAAUAAAUGGCCUCAUAAAUUAUUAAUUUUUUAUGACUUUCAUCCAUUACAUGAGUAAAGUAUUGGCUCUUUAUGGAUAUUUUAUUCUGAAUCAUUUAAUUUAUGUUAAAUACAUAAAUAUUUGUAAUUGAAAUUGAAAAAGUGUUAUAUUAAUAUUUCUACAGAAGAAAAACUGGUAGGUUUUGUGUUUAACAAAAAUUAAAUAUUUGAGAGUAAAUACAAAUCUGUAUUUGAAAAUAAAUAUUUGUGAUAAAGUAAAUGUUUGAAAGUAAAAUACAUGUAAAGAGCUGGUACUUUAAAUAGACAAUACGUAUUUGCUUAUAAACUACGCUCGUUAAAGUUUAUUAAUUGUUAAUUAAUUUGUAAUACUUUGCUAUUCAUUGAACAUGUGGCACAAAGGACAAAUCAGGUACAAAAUUUUAAUUUCACUCUCUAAAAUAAUAUUUUAAUCAUUUGGACUGAAUUUGUAAAGGAUUAGUAACCUCAGGGGAGGUCAGUGUAAUUGUUCAAACCACAGGGGAGGUAAGUGUAAAUGUCAGAAACCUCAGGGGAGGUUUCUGAAAUUAUCCCUUAAAUAAAACCGCCUUUGAAGUCAUCGUGAGUAGUUUCCAAAUCUAAAUUAGAAGUAUGACUCUAUUAAGUAUUACCAACAAAGUUCAUUCUCUCAUUAAAUCCAACCCCCCCCCGGAAGCCCUGAAAAAAGAAACUAUUUUCACCUCUUAAAAGAGGAAAGUUUUAAAAAAAUGUUGUUGAGAUGUCUUGAAUUAGAUUUUCGACCUUCGCUGAGUUGUUCGGGUUUUUCGAGUCUUGUUUUGGGCUUAUUUUUGGGUCCAGUCUGUUUGGUUAUAUAUAUAUAUAUAUACACCUUAUUUUAGUCUGUAAACUAUUCCGAUUACAACCUUAAUAAAAUCUGAUUUCCCCCAAGUUGUUCUUGUCUGUUCUUGUUUGUUCUUCUGUUCCGUUGCAUCUGCUAUAACAAACUGGUAUCAGAGCUCUAGGUUUGUCCUAGGGCUCGGAUCACGCAACAACAUAUCUGCUUUGAACAUCAAGAUCGACAAGUUCACCGGGAGAAAUAGUUUCAGUCCGUGGCAAAUCAAGAUGCGGGCUCUAUUAAAGCAACAGGGUCUGUGGAGUCCGCUGAUGAAGAAGAAAUCGGAUUCCGUUGAUGAAGAGUCGAUGAGUCUGGAGGAAAAUGCUCACUCGACAAUCAUGCUGUGCCUGGCAGAUGAUGUCAUCACUAAGGUCGCCGGUGAAAAAACUGCUGCGGGUUUGUGCGUUAAACUUGAAAGUCUCUAUAUGACGAAGUCUUUAACCAACAAGUUGCUCCUAAAGCAACGUCUGUUCGGUCUGCGUAUGCAGGAAGGUUCUCCUCUUCGAGAACAUUUAGAUCAAUUAAAUACGAUUUUUCUUGAGUUGCGUAAUAUUGAUGUUAAAAUUGAGGAUGAGGAUGCCGCGUUGAUUCUGUUAGUGUCUCUACCGUUAUCGUAUGAGAAUUUUGUCUCAACUAUUACACACUAUCGCUUAAAAUCCCUACUUAUCGAGAAAGAUUGCACCCGUAUACAAUCUAAGAAAAUAUCACAAAAAUGAGCCUCAAUUACUCGUAAAUCGAGAUUCAAAUAUGGGGUUUAAAACUUAAGUAAAAAAUCUGAUUUUUAUCUUUAAAAUCAUUGGAUGGAAACAAGUAGGCAUGAAACCAUGUAAAUAAAUUUCCAGACGAACGAUCGAAGUCGGACGUGAAGAUGCCACGUCACAAUCCGGCCAAGAACUGGCCGAAUAUCCGACCAGACUUCUAGCAGGAUUCGAGGUAGUGAAGAAACCCAAUUUUUUUUUCAAAUCUCACCAUCAAUCCGACCAACUAUCUGGCCAAGAACUAGCCUGAUAUACGGCCGGAUUCUAUGAAAUUAUUCCCGCGCGGAUUCUUUUCAAAAUGGCCAAAAUUUAUCAAGUUUAGGGUAUUCUUUGGAAAAUCAUAACUCACUCUUUGAAAGUCCAAAAUUGGAAACUUUGGUACCGUUGGAAACUACUUCCAAAGUACUAAAAGUUCCAAGAAAACACAUUUCCAUGAUUUCAAUUGGAAGACGAGUCCAAAAUGUUGUCUUGAAAUACCAAGACAGAUUUGGGUUGAUUUUCAGCAAAGUUUGGAAAUUCGGCAAAAUUCACACAAUAUGAACUAGCAUCUGAAAUUUGGAACACAAUUAGAGUUACAAUCAAAGUUUAAAACACAACAAGUGAAACAAGAUUCGAAGUAUUGAGCACCAAGAAAUAGCGGCUCAAAGUUGCUGAAAAAGUGAGACUGUUAGACUAAUUUCCAGAUUUAAAUCAUGAAUUUUGAGACUUUGGUUGGGCAUCGAAAUGGACUUAGAAUGGCACUAAACUUGGUAGUAUUACAUUACCAUAUAAGGGCUAUUCCUCUGUCAAUUUUCACAGAAAAAUCCAUUCGGGAAGUGGGUUAACAAAGUCACUAAAGUUCCAAUUUUCCAAGGCAAAGCUGCCUUGUACUUCUAUUUCCCUUUUUUUUUUAAACAUUUGGCCAACGAAUCUUUUCAAACAUGGUCCAUUUAUGAAGACAGAUGUCUAAAAAAUAUCCAAGAUAUAUUUGGUAGGUGAUUAACACCAAGCAUUUCAAGAUCACAAGUCCCAAUUUAAAAAGAGUCAUUCAACUAGGCGAAAAGAGGGUUUUUCAUCAACGAGUCAGUUUCAAAAUUCAGCCACAAUCACUCAAUUCAACUUGGAAUUUAGCAUGGUUGAUGGCAUUAAAAACUACAUUCAUAAGGCUACAAUUUCUCAGAAGAAAUUGUUUUAAAAUUCUGUCCACAACUAGCUCAUAAUUGAGCAUCAAGUCGCAGCUCAAAACAGGGCUUCCAGUACAGAUGAGAAACAGAAUAGGCAAAUUUACAAGAUUGGUAUGGUUUACUCAGGUGGAAUCAAGGCAUGCAUUUUAUACCGUUGGAAAACUGGAAGUGUCUAGUUUCUAAUGCCACAAACGGCAUUCGAUUUUGACAUCGGAGCAAAGAGUUAUAGCUGUUUGAAAAUCACUGCCAGAGCAGUACAUGACACAAUUCCAGUUUUGCUACAUUUUCGAAAUCUCAACUUUUGCCCAACCAAAUUGGAUGAUUUUUGGUGGAAACUUUUCACACAACCCACACAACAUAUUUACAUUAAAAACAAGUCAAUUGGACUACAAAAAAGUGCACCAAAGUGCACGACAAUAGCAGGGGCAGAACCGUCCCUUUUUCUCAUUUUACUCUCUUUGAGCACUAAUCCAACAUAAAUAAUAUCAAAUCCCAUCAAAUCAAUUCAUUAAGCCAAUGUGGGAUUUCAUAGAGCCCACUCACAAGAUUUCCAAUCAAUAUAAAGCUACCCAUGUGAAUCUAUGAGCUCAUAUGUGCAAGAUAACUUCCAUAAACCAAGAUUUAGGAGGUUGAUAGUUGUAUACCUUCUUAGAUGAUUAAGGCAGAAAAUUUCGGUCACUUUAAGCUCAAGAAAAAUCGUGAGAUGAAGCUCCUUUCCUAGCUUAGCUUGAUCACCACGUGAUUUGCAAGUUGUGCGUAAAUUUUGAGAUGAUUUAGGUGAGUUUUGAGUGAUGAAAUGAAGAAGAAUUUUGGUGGUUUCUUCCUCCUUGUUGGUUGGCUGUCUUGAGUGAAGAGAGAGAGAGAGUUGUGCUGAAAAUGAAGCUUCCUUGAGAAGCUUAAGUGUGUGGUUCAAAUUGUCUCAAAAGUCAACUCUCUUCUCCCGCGCACAUGCCCGCAUUUCGUGCUCAAUUCCUUUCGAAUUUGUUUCACUUGUGCACUAAACCUCUAAUGCACUUCCAUUCAUAAUAUUAUUAUUCACUCUUAACAGUCUAAAAAGAAAGGUCUAAAGUCCCUCAAUUAAUCACGCGCGCAAAAAUGCAUACUUCCGUUUUAUGCGCAAUAGAGUGAAAUUUACAAUAAUUUCUUAUAACGAUAGUAUAACUAACUAACACUUGAGUACUUAAACAUAAAAAUACCUAUUUCAAGACUAAUGUACAAGUCUCCAAUUUUCCAAGUUUAUUGUAUUCUGGAAUCGAUUAUUGUCUCCAAACGCGCAUCCACUAUUCACUCUAAACUAGUUUUCAGAAAUAAAUUUUCGAAUCAAGGCACUUUUAAAAUACUUGAAGGUCAUAGUUCCAUGUAAUUGAGUAUAAAGAGGUUGGAAUAAAAUAUUCAGAGAAAACGGGUGAGUAAAUAAUUAAUUAAGUCAGUAAAAUAAAAUAAAAUAAGAAAAAUUCGAGUUCUUGCAGAUUCUGAAAGUGAAGAAGCAGUUUUUGAUGAGAAGAAAAUGAUAGCACAAAGGACUUUGAGGGAGUUAGCAACUCCCAAAUUGAAUUUCCUAAUGUUGAUAUAGCUUUUGAACUAAAAUUGGAACUAAUUCAUUUAUUACCUAUCUUUCAUAGUCUCCCAGGUGAGGAUCUCUUCAAGCACCUGAAUAAAUUUCAUGUAGUUUAUUCAACCAUAAACCCACAACGAGUGAUGGAAAAACAAAUAAACUUGAGAGAUUUCCCGUUCUCUACCUUCCUUUAGGAUCAAUAAGAACAUGGAAUGAUUUGAAGAUGAAGUUCCUAAAAAAAUUCUUUCUAGCGUCAAGGGCCAAAACAAUUCCGAAAGAAAUUAGUGGGAUUUGUCAAUACAACAAAAAGAGUUUGUGUGAGUAUUGAGAGAGAUUUAAUCAACUGUGUGCAAAUUGCCCACAUUACCAAAUUUCUGAUCAGUUGUUGCUGUAAUACUUUUAUGAAGGGUUACUAUCUACAAAUAGAAGUAUGAUAGACACCAAGAGUGGAGGAGCAAUCGUAGAAAAGACUUUUGAGGAGGCAAGAGAGUUAAUCUCUAAAAUGGUAGCCAACUUGUAACAAUUUGGAGUAAGGGUAUACCACAUGCCCAAAAAAAUAAAUGAGGUAAGAACCCAUAAUAUUGAGACUCAACUUUCAAAAUUAACCUCUACUGUUAGACAAGUUACUUUCGGAUAGGUUUAGAAUUCCAGAGGAUAUGGCAUUUGUUUAGUUCCAGAGCACCCUUCAAUAUGUGUCCAUAACUACAAGAGGAUUCGACAUCUUAGGUGAAUGCAAUGAGCAAGUUUGUUAAUCAACCAAGGAAGCAUGACCCCCAUUCAAAUUAACAUAAUCUUGGUUGGAGAGACCACUCGAACUUGAGCUAUGGACAGCCAACUAACUAGCCGCAAUAUCAAUCUUUUGGUCCCAAUAAACCAACAUCUCCACCAAACCAAGCAUCAAGCUCAGGCAUGUCUUUAGAGGAGAUUGUGAAAGUUUUAGCCACUAAAAUACAAAUGUUUUAACAAAAGACAAGAGCCAACAUCCAAAACUUGAGAACCCAAAAUUCGUAGCUUGCAUCUUCCUUGAAUAAAAUCAAAACUAACAAAAGGAAACUACCUUCUCAAGUAGAGAUUAACCUAAAAGAUAAUGCUUGCACCAUGACUCUUUGAAGUGGCAAGCAAUUUUUAUGUCAUUAACAUGCAUGGUGAUUUUGCUUCAAAGUCUACUUCUAUAUUGUAAGGUAGACCAUUCAUGAAAAUAGCAAGAACUAAAAUUGAUGUGCAUUAAGAUACUUUGUUUUUAGAAUUUGAUGGGAAGUAAUAACAUUUAAAAUUUUUAAUGCUAUAAAAUAUCUAGAAAAUAUUGAAUCAAUUUUUCAUGUUGAUGUUAUUAAUACAAUUGUGCAAGACGGUUUUGAGUAGAAUUUUGUGAAAGAAGAGUUGAAUUUUAUGAUGAAGCAUAGCAAGAUGGACAAGGAGGCGUAUUUUUCUCUUCCUUUUUUAAUAAAAUUGGGGAUGGUUUUUGUUUGAAAAAAAAAAGAUGGACAAGGAGGCAAAGUUGAAAAAUAAUGAAGACAUGAAAGAAGCAUUUAUGUCUUUGCACUUGCUACCCGAAUUUCCAAGCAGGUUAGUUAAUUCAUCUUUGUAAUUACCGAAUUCUCAUGAAAUGGUUUUGUAUUGAACAAGCCCCAAAUUUAGAAUUGAAGACUUUACUUAAGCAUUUGAAGUACGUGUGCUUAGGAAAAAACUUGAAACCUUACUGGUGAUCAAUGCAAAUGAUUUAACUAAAGUCUAAGAGGAGAAGCUAUUGCAGGUUUUAAAGGAGAACAAGACAGCAAUUUGAUGGACAUUGGCAGACAAAAAAAGGAUUAGCUCUUCAAUCUAUAUGCAUUAAAUUUUGCUUAAAAAUGAUGCAAAACCAAUAAGAAAGCCUCAACGCAAAUUGAAUCCAGCCAUGAAGGAGGUUGUAGUGAAGGAAACUUUGAAGUUGUUGGAUUUAGGGAUCAUCUAUCUCACAACUAACAGUCAAUAGAUAAGUCCAGUAUAUGUAGUGCUUAAGAAGUUUGACCUCACCCUUGUUCUCAUAAAAAGAAUGAACUUGUCCCUGUGAGAUUUCAGAAUAGGUGGAGAAUACGGAUCGACUUUAGGAAGUUGAAUGUAACCACGAGAAAAUAUCAUUUUUCACUUCCAUUCAUCGACCAAAUGCUUGAAAGAUUGGUAGGUCUAUCUUUUGUUUCUUAGAUAGAUUUUUCUGGUUAUUAUCAAAUUGUUGUAACUCCAAAAGACCAGGAACGAUAACUUUUACCUAUCCAUUUGGAACCUUGGCUUAUUAUCAUAUACCUUUUGGAUUGUGCAAUGCCCCAAGUAUGUUCCAAAGAUGCAUGAUGAGUAUUUUUUUUUUUACUUGAUUGAGAAUUGCAUUGAAAUUUUCAUGAUGACUUUACUGUUUAUGGUAAUUCUUUUGAUCAAUGUUUGGAUCACUUGUUUAAAAUUUUAAAAUGUUGCAUUGAUGCAAACUUGGUGUUGAAUUAUGAAAAAUGUCAUUUCAUAGUCCAGCAUGGAAUAGUUUUGAGACAUAUAAUUUCAGUUAGAGGUAUUGAUGUUGACAAAGUUAAGGUUGAUUUGAUUGCAAGCUUACCCUAUUAAUGUUAGAGAAGUUCGUAGUUUUCUUGGUUAAAUAGGUUUUUAUAGGAAGUUCAUCAAGUUCUUCUCUAAGAUUGUACAAUCAUUAUUAAGGUUAUUGCAAAAAGAUUUACCAUUCGAAUUUGAAGAGAAUGUCAAAUGACUUUUGACAAGUUGAAGGAACUGCUCACUUUGACACCAACUAUACAACCACCAAAUUGGGACAUGCCUUUUGAGAUUAUAUACAACGUAAGUAAAUAUGCCAUAAGAGCUAUAUUUGGGCAGAGAAAUAGAAAGAAUUGUCAUGUCAUUUACUAUGCAUCAAAGACAUUGAAUUCUGCCUAGUGCAGCUAUUCAACCACAAAAAAGGAUAGCUAUUGUAUUUACUUUAGAUAAAUUUAGAUCAUAAUUGUUAGGAUCUAAAGUGAUAGCUUUUUCUAAUCAUGCAGCCCUCAGGUAUCUAUUGGCAAAGAAAAGAAUCCAAGCUAAGACUCAUACGCUGGAUUCUUUUGUUGUAAGAAUUUGAUUUGGAAAUCAAGGACCAAAAAGAAACUUUUAAUUACGAACAUUGACGACAAUGUGAUAUGGAAGCAUGAUGCCAAAGGAAAAGUUACAAGAAUAAUUUCCUAUUGCCGAAUCUAAGAUUUGAAAAAAUGAGAGAAAACUCUUUAUUUAUUAGAAUAACCAAUGAAAAUUUUGAUAAAUAUCGAUAGAUAAAUAAAUAAGAAAGGCCUAGAGUUGGCCUAUUUAUAGGUUACUAUAUUGGUGAACCAAAAGAAAAUAAAAUAAAAAAGUGGAAAUAAAAUGCAACUUUAGAUCAUGUCGAGUCAUAUGUCGGACUCAAUAAUUACCACCCAUCUUAGCAAGUCUCUGCAAACUGAAUAAAGACUAGAAUAUGACGGGUCUUAUGAUAAGUCUUAUGUUAGGUGCCCAACUCGACUAAACUCUACUUUACACGUGACCUUUCUUCCUUACGCGAUCCAUCUUACUCCAAAAUACGUCUUCAAGUUGUUCUGCAUCAAUUCCCCUACUUGGAAGGAACUUGCCCUCGAGUGAAUGGGCACAUUUGGAUACCAAGGCAUGUCUAAUAAAUGAUAUAGGGUAAAAAUCAACAACAUUGAAAGUUCAAGAAAUACCAAACCACUUGGACAAGUCCACCAUAUAGGCGUUAGGAUUAAAGCAUCGUAGGAUCUUGCGAGGACCAUACUUCUGUGGCUAUAACUUGUCAUAAGUACCAAUUGGGAAUCGCUCGCGCCAAAAAUGUAUCAUUACCAUAUCUCCUCCUUCGAACACAGUUGCCCGAUGAUGUUUAUCAGCUACUACCUUGAACUUAGCAUUCAUCAACUCCAGCUUCUGCCUAAUAGCAUCCUGAAUAUCUUGAACAUCUUUGGCCAUAUAUACUAGCUGCAACACUAUAUCCAGGAAUAUUGGGUAACUUGACCACGUCAACUUCGUGGCGCAAAGGCUUCACAUAGACCACUGAGAAUGUGACCUCCCAAUAGAACUAUGUACAGCAUUGUUGAAAGCAGGCUCUAUUUGGGGCAAGGCAUAUCCCAAAGCUUAGGUUGCUCUUCACAAAUGCAAUGAACCAAGUUUCCCAACGUUUGAUUGAUCACCUCUCUCUGACCAUCUGUCUGUGGAUGAGCAGUACUGCUAAACUUAAGAGAUGUGUCAAACAUUUUCCAAAGAGUUAGCUAAAAAUGAUUGAAAAACUUGUUAUCUUGAUCUGAUGUGAUUGACUUUGGCACCCCAUGCAAGUGAACCACCUCUGGAAAAAAUAGACGAGUAAUAUGAGAAGCAUUAGAAGUCUUCCUACGUGGGAUAAAAUGCACCAUUUUCAAAAACCUGUCAACAACAACAAAAACUGAAUCAACUCCACAUUGAGUCCUGGGUAACCCUAAGACAAAAUUCAUCGAAAGAUCCUCCCAAAUUGCCUUUGGAAUAGGUAAAAGAGUAUACAAACUCACAUUCUGGACUUGCUCCUUAGCCGUCUAAGAAGUGUAACAUUUACAAACAAAGGUUCGAAUGUCCUUCCUCAACUGGUGCCAGUAAUGCCUCUCUUCCAAACUAGAUGUUGUCCUUUCAAUCCCUCGUAACCACCAAAUCCACCACCAUGCAAAUCCCUAAUCAACAACUCACAUAAAGAAAUACGGGAAAUGCAAAGACGAUUACCUCAAAAGAGACACCCAUCAAAUAUAUGAAAGUCAUCCUUAGGGCUUUUUUUUGACACGCCAUCCAUAUAUCUUUAAAGUCAUCGUCUCCUUUAUACACAUCUUUAAGCAACUCAAACCUAACAAUUUUGUGACUUAAGGUGACUAGCAAUGUCGCUCAAUGGUUAAAGGCGACUGCUACUUUGUUCUACUGUUUGGACUUGUACUUCAAAGUGAAAGAGAAUUGAUCUAGAUAUGAUAUCCAGUGAGCAUCCAUCUUACUCACUGUCUUCUGGUUGUUCAAAUACUUCAAUGCUUGAUAAUCAGUGUACAGAGACAAAUUGCUUUUAAAUCAAGUAAUAUUCCUAGUGCUUUAAAGUUCGAACCACGACAUAAAAUUCUUGGUCAUAAGUAAACUAUUUCUGACGCAUCUCGCUAAGGUUUUCACUAAAAUAAGCUACGGGCCUUCCCUUUUGGGACAAGACUACACUAAUUCCCAACCCUAAAGUAUCACACUCAACCACGAACAAUUUUUUGAAACUAGGUAAUGCUAAUACUAGAGCAGUUGAUAACUUCUUUUUUAUCAGAUUAAAGCUUUUACGUGUUCUAGCCCCCACUGAAACUCGCCCUUCUUUAAACAGUUAGUCAAAGGAGCUACAAUAGUGCUUAAAUAUUGAAUAAAUAUUCUACAGAAAGUUGUAAUGUCAGUGACAGCUUUGGGGUAGGCCAAUCAUGUAUAGCUCUCACUUUCUCCUCAUCCACACGUAUUCUGUCUUCACUGAUGACAAAGCCCAACAAGAUAAGACUCUUCACCACGAAGUAGCAUCUCUUCAAAUUAAUGUAGAGCUUAUUCUCCCGCAACACGAUCAAUACUUGGUAAAGGUACUCCAAGUGCUCCUCCUUAUUAGCACUAUAUAUCAAAAUAUCAUCAAAAUAUACAAUCACAAAUAUUUUGAUAAAUGGUUGAAGUGCCUCAUUCAUCAGUCUCAUGACGGAACUUGGAAUGUUAGAAAGCCCAAAUAGCACGACCAACCAUUCAUUAAGGCCUUCCUUGGUUUUGAAAGCCAUCUUCCACUCAUCUCUAGGUUGAACGUGUAUCUGGUGAUAGCCGUCUUGAAAAUUAAUUUUAAACUCUUUCUUCCCAAUAAGUAAUUCAACAUAUUUUCAAUAUUGUUUACUAAGUUAAUCUAUCUUCGGGUGCUGGGACAAUUAUUUGGCGUAUGUCCUGAUUGCCUGCAUCUCUAACAUUUAUCACCGACUGGCCUUGUAUAGGGAUUGUGGGGUUGGUUUGAAUUAGGCGGAGGAAUAGAAUUAGUGUUCUAACAUCGAGGCUCCUUAGCUUCUAUAACAGACCACUUGUCCUCCCUAAAUCCUGGACCACGACCCUCUUGGUAAUAGCCUUCUAAUUGUCUCGAAUAGGGAUACAGGUAUAAUUAAAAAGCUCUAUGGGAAGACUCAUCUAAGGUAUUUUUCUUGAGGGAUAACCUCAGUUCCGCCUUCACAGCUAAGUUUUGGGGCUCAGACAAAUUAGAGAUAUUAUAACACCCAAUCUCAUCAUUUAUACUAUCCUUCAAUCCAUCAAAAUAUCUAGAGACUAAUUGAUUCUUUGAUUCCAUCACAUUAUUUCUAGAUAACAAUGGUAAUAACUCAAAAUUAUACUCAAGAACUGAACGGUUACCUUGAAUGCAGUAUUGAAAUUGUGAGAAAAGGUAUUGCUCGUAAUUUGGGGGAAGAAAAUGAGUCAUCAGCAACUAUUUCAUUUUUAACCAGGAUCACACCGGCUGCUUUCCUUGUCUUCUUCUUGUCACAUGCAGUUGCUCCUACCAGGAAGAAGCACCACUCAUAAGUCUAUAAGCAUCAAGUUUCACUUGCUUCUCUUAUGAAAUUUCCAUAUAGUCGAAAAAUUGUUCGCCAAUCAAGAAAGUCUUGGAUGCCAAGAUUCCUACUCAAUGCUUGAACAUCUACUUUCAAUUUGAAUUCUUCAAUAGUCAUGUCGACCCCUAGGAUUAGGAUUUCUUUCUAUAUUAUCAUCAUCCAACGAACUCUCAUCAUAGGUUUAAUUCCUAUGAGUUAGGUAUAUCUCACGUUGAUUUUGGUCACGAUCUCAACCAACUCUCAGAGCUAGGCUACCGUUAUCAUUGCGAUUUGAUUGUCUUGAAUGCUCAUCCUCUGUUGUCUUGCACAUUUAUCCUUUCUAUAAGGGUAGUAAGCAUGCCUUCCAUUCGAUUCAUGCGAGCAUCCAAAUCCAUAACCAUGUUUCUCAAACCCUCAAUUCUGUCGUUAGGGUUAGGGUUAUUAUCUCUAUUAUUAUUAGCCAUCCCAGGAGAAACCUGUUUUGAUACCAACUGAUACGGAAGCGUAAUCCCAAAGAAAAAGUCAAAUGAACAAUUUCUUGAAUUCGAAUCUAAGAUUUGAAAGAACGAGAGAAAAUUCUCUCUUUAUUAGUGUUGGGAAAGAAGUACCAGUACAGGCAUACAAUAUCAGAGUUAGCUCAGGAUAAAUUUCUCUUUUUUCAAGUACCAGUUAAAAUAGGAAUACACCAAAUCACCAAGUAAUAAUACUAGUAGUGAUAAUAAAAUGCACGAAAAAUAAAAGGCACAUAACACCAAGAUUUUUAUGUGAAAACCCCAAAUUGAAAAAAAUCACGAGAUCUAAUCCAGUCAAAAAUCUCCACUAUGACAAUAAUGAGAAUACACAGGUCUACCCGAAAUAUUCGGAUGACAAUAAUAUCACCAAUAUCAACCAAAUCAAAUUGCUACAAAAUCACCCUCAAAAAUUACAACUGUCAAAGAAAUGAGUUUGGAAAGGUGUUAUCAAAUGAAGAGGAAGUCUGAAAUCUGAACUGGUAGAUGAGUAGAGUUUGACGAGAGGAUCGCGUGGAUAAAAUUUCGUCUCAAUCGGGUUUUGAAUCACCCUCCAAUCAAGACAUUGAAGUUUCUCUCUUUAGCUUAUUUACUCUUUCUCUCUCUUCAUUUUUCUCUCAACAAUGAAGAAGGUGACGGCUGACACUUUUUAUCACACGAAGACCGAAGAAUGAAUCCCCUAUGCGGCUGCUUCUUUUUCCUUUUUUAAGUCAAAUCUUAACUUAAACCUAAAGUGUUUGGUUUUUGUGGUUUGGCCCAAAAUGGGCUGGCCCACAAACCCAACAAUCUCCCCCUCUAACUCAUUUGAGGGGUUCCACCAAACCUGUUUCUUAUCUGUAAAAUAAGAGUUUCUCUUUAGGCAAUACUUUGAUAAAUAUAUCAACACCAUUUUCAUCUGUAUGCACCUUUUCAAGCGUCAACAACUUGGAAUCCAAUACUCUUCGAAUCCAAUGAUAUCUCACAUCAAUGUGUUUGGACCGAGAGUGAAAUGUAGAAUUUUUAUACAAAUGAAUAGCGAUCUGACUGUCACAGUAAAAACUAUAUUUCUCUUGUUUUAUACCCAACUCCUGAAGGAAUUUCUGCAACCAAAGAGUCUCCUUGUAUCAUUCAGUAGUUGCAAUAUACUCUGCCUCCGUACUAGAAAGGGCGAUAUACUUCUGUAACUUGCUUUGUCAUGAUAUUGCUCCCCCUGCAAAAAUCAAGUAUCCAGAUGUGGACUUUCUAUUGUCAAGAUCACCUGCCAUAUCUACAUCAGUGUAUCCAUCUAGUAUAGUUUUACUAUUGUCGAAAUAUAGACACAAUCUAGAAGUUCCUUUGAGAUACCUGAGAAUCCAUUUGACAGUAUUCCAAUGCUCCUUACUAGGAUUGGAGAGAUACCGACUGACUACUCCAACUGCAUGAGCAAUAUCUGGCCUGGUGCAAACCAUAGCGUACAUCAAGCUACUAACAGCCGAAAUAUAAGGAACCUUCUUCAUGUCUUCUUUAUCUUUCUCACUUGUAUGAUACUGCUUGAUAUUCAGUUUAAAGUGACCCGUAAGUGGAGUUGAGACUUCCUUAGCCUUGCUCAUGUUAAACAUGUUGAGUACUUUCUCAAUGUAUUUUUCUUGAAAUAACCAGAGCUUCCCAUUUUACCUGUCACGUGAGAUUUUCAUCUCCAGUAUUUGUCUAGCCGAACCCAAAUCCUUCAUUGCAAAGGAUUUAUUUAAUUCCUUUUUCAACCUGUCAAUUUUUAUAGUAUCACGGCCAACAAUCAAUAUGUCAUCAACAUAUAGCAAGAGAAUAACAAAAUCACCAUCUGAAGAGUUUUCAACAUAAACACAGUGAUCAGAUGUAGUCUUGUGGUACUCAUGGUCUGUCAUGAAGGAGUCAAACUUCUUAUACCAUUGUCUCGAUACCUGUUUCAAAUCAUACAAACUCUUCUUGAGACGGUAUACAAGAUUUUCCUUGCCACUUUCUUUGAACCCCUCCGGUUGCUCCAUGUAGAUCUCCUCUUCCAAGUCGCCAUGCAGAAAGGCUGUUUUCAUAUCAAGUUGUUCUAUCUCCAUAUUCAAACUGACUGCAAUACCAAGAACAACUCAAAUUGAUGACAUUUUUACCACAAGAGAGAAAAUUUCUUCAAAAUCUAUACCCUUCUUUUGACUAAAUCCCUUCACAACCAAUCUUACUUUAUAUUUUGGUUAUGAACUAUGCUCCUGAAUCUUCAACCUGUAGACCCAUUUGUUCUUCAGAGCUUUCUUACCCUUAGGUAGUUUCACUAAGUCAUAAGUAUGAUUCUCAUGCAGAAAUAUCAUUUCCUCUUGCAUGACUCGCAAUUAAUCUUCUUUGUUCUCAUGCUCUAAAGCCGCACAGUAGGACUCAUGCUCUCAUCUAUCUGUUAAUAACACAUAUUCAUGAGGAUUAUAUCUGCUAGAAGGUCUCCUUUCUUUGAUAGAUCUCCUAAACUCAACUUGUGGUAGCGGUGGCGGAGUAGGUGGCGCUUAUGCUCGGGUUCAUCAGCAGUAGGACUAGGGGUGGGCAAAAAAACCCGCCGAUCCGAAAACCCGAUGAACCCGAUCCGAUCCGAUCCGAAAAAUAGGAUAUCCGAUCCGAUUUUUCUUAGCGGGGCAGAUGAGGGUCGGGUACCCGAAAAAUCGGGUACGGAUACGGAUCAGAAAAAUAAAAACCCGCGGGUACCCGACCCGCAGGGUAUAUUUUAUAAAUAUUAAAAAAGUAGGGAUCAUUUUAUAAUUUUGUAAUUUUUAAUCCUAAGUGCAAGUGAAGUGGCUCGCAGCCUCAUAUUCUAAUCCUAUAUGAUCUACUCUUCUCAUUUUUUUUUGAAGAAAGUGAAUAUUCUCGGUGAAACAUGAACAAAAUGAAAAAAAAAAUUUGUGAAACUCUGUUAUAAAAAUUGUUCAUCCCUUUCAUCUUUUUUAUUUUUAUUCUACCUCCAUCGAUCUUUCCUGCAAAUCUUGCAUCAAUUCAAUCAAAGAUUUUUGUUUGGAGUCUCAAUUUUCUGUUAGCUAGAUAAUUAAAAUAUUUGUGUCAUUCAUUUGCAAUUAUAUCUCUUAAAUUUGUCUCUUUUAUUUAGUGUAAGAAAUUUAUUUUUCUUUUUCAUCACCUUAAUACCAUAAGGUCUAUUCCAAAGAUGUAAAGAAGUUGGGGAAGAUUUUUAACAUUAUUUUGGUUAUAUUUUUUUCAAAAAUAAUUAGUUCUAUUCAAUUCUUUUCCGAACUUGAUUUCACAAUUGACUUAUUUGAGAUGCGGUCUUGUACCAUAAUAUCCUUGGGGAAGUUACCAAAUACUUAUUAUCCUUGUGUUUGUUGUGUUGUAGAGGUAUGAAAUGUGUGAAAAUGGUGAUGUACUCAAAAUUAUUAUGAAACUUCGUUUUGUCCAUUAGAUAUUCUAAUAUGUACUAAAUUUAUGAGAUCGAUUUGAUUAUUGGAUGAAAUGUGUGAAAAUGGUGAUGUAUGGACUUUAAUUACAAUAUCUCUACCAAUAUUAAUUGAAAAAGCAUGUUUUUUUAUUGAAAAACAUGCUGAUAUUAAGUAGAAAAUAAAUUUUUUUAUUGAAAAAUAGUUUUUUUUAGGGGCGGGUACCCUAUGACCCGCCCCUUUUUUUCGGGUACCCGCUAUUCGGGUACCCGAAAAUAUUAGGAGCGGGUUAGGGUCGCAAAAUGGCUGAUCCGAUAUAUUAGGGUCGGAUCAGCCAAAUCAUGUUAGGGGCGGGUACCCGACCCGUGCCCACCCCUAAGUAGGAUUAUCACUAUCAUUAACAUCCUCUCUUUGUUCUGUCUCAGCUUCCCCUUGAUUAAAAUUAACAUGUACUGGAAUUGGAUCUGAAUCUGAAUUUGAGCUAGCAGGAAUGUCAUCUGAGGAUUUUGAGUUAUCACCUUUAUCAAUGUCUUCAAUGGUUUGAUCUUCAAAGAAGAUAACAUCUCUGCUCCUGAUCACCUUCUUCUCAAUAGGAUCAUACAACCUAUAACCAAAAUCUUCAUAUCCAUAACCCAAGAAAAUACAUUGUUUUGAUUUUACAUCAAGUUUUAAUCUUUCAGCUUUUGGGAUAUGAACAAAUGCCUGACAAUCAAAAACUCUCAAGUGCUUAAAGGACACAUCUUUUCCUGUCCAUACCCUCUCUGGGAUAUCACCAUCUAGAGGAACUGAUGGAGAAAGAUUUAUCAAAUCACCUGCAGUUCUCAUUGCCUCACCCCAAAAGGAUUUUGGCAGUUUAGCAUUAGAGAGCAUACAUCUGACCUACUCAGUGAUGGAUCUGUUUAUCCUCUCUGCUAUUCUAUUCUUUUGAGGAGUUUUUGGUACAGUUUUCUCCAAUUUGAUCCCACGGAACUUGCAAUAGAUUUCAAAUGGUUCUCUAUACUCACCACCAUUAUCAGCACGUACACACUUUAACUAUUUACCAGUUUCUCUUUCAACUUUGCUAUAAAAAUGUUUGAACACAUCCGAAACUUGAUAUUUGGAUUUCAAAAUAAAACAUCAAACUUUUUUAGCAAAGUCAUCAAUAAAAUUACAAAAUAAAUAGCACCACCAAGAGACUUAUCUUUCAUACAGCAAACAUCAGUGUGCACCAAUUCUAACGGAUUCAAUUUUCUAGAUGGAGGAAAAUUUUGAAAUACAACUCUGUGUUGUUUCCCAUAAAUGCAGUCAACACAAGGUUUAAGUACAAUACCUCUAAAUUCAUGUAGAACUUGUUUGCGAACAAGUGUCUGAAUUUUUUUUUUCACCUAUAUGCCCAAGUCGCCGAUGCCAAAAGUCAAUUGAAGAAUCACGAACUGCAUUCACUUUUCCCUUCCCUAACUUGGCUUGCAUCAAGUAGAGGGUACUCUACUUCUUUCCUCUAGCAACAACAAUAUUUCCUUUGCUGAGUUUUCAUUUGCCUCCACCUUACAAGGUAUGGUAACCCUUAUCAUCAAUUUUCCUGUAGAGAUAAGAUUAAGGCGAAUAUCAGGGACAUAUCGAGUAUUUCUUAAUAUCAGUUGGCACCUGGUAUCUGUAUCCAAAUAUAUGUCUCCCAUACCAACAACUUUGUAUGAGACCUCGUUUUCUAUCCUAACAUAUCCAAAAUCUCCUUUGGUGUAUGUUGAGAAUAAAUGCUUGUGAGCAGUAAUAUGGUAGGAUGUACCCGAACCAACUACCCAAUCACUGUCAUAAUGAAUAAUAUUUACCUGACCAUCAUCACAAAACACAAACAUAUCAUCAUGAGCUGCUACAACUGCUGUAAUCUUUUUAUCACCUUUUUCUUUCGCCUUACCCUUUUUCUCAACUUGUUCCCAUUUUAGGAUUCUGCACUCCUUCAUAUAAUGCCUAUUUUUUUUUACAAUAAUAGCAUGCAAUAUUUUUUCCUGACUUAGACCUGUCUCUAGAUUUGUCAUUCCUGUUGUGAGGUCCUCUACUUUUGCUUCUCCUUCUUCUUUCUUUCUUUUCUAUCACCAGGGCCUGGGACUCAUAGACAAUUUCUUGUUCCUUCCUCCUGAACUUUUCAUUCAUCACUGCCUCUUUUGCAAUAGCUAUGGUCAACACACCAUUCAGACUUGAAUUACUGACGGAGACCACCAUGGUUUCCCAACUAUCCAGUAGUGAACUAAAUAAUAAUAAAAUCUGCACUUCAUCAUCCAAAUUCAAAUUUAACGUAGCUGCCUGGUUUAUUAAUCUUUGAAAAUUACUCAGGUGUUCAGUCAUAUCUUCCCUAUCUUUAUAUCGCAUCCGAGUAAUCUGUUUCAAACAGCUAGCUUUGUUCAAACCAGUCUUCCGUUCAUACAUGCUCUCAAGUUUUUUCCAUAAUACAUCAGCUCUCGUGUCAUUAGCAAAAUGUUGAAAAAUACUUUGAUUAAUCCAUUUUCUAAUAUUGCCAACAGUUUUCCUGUGCAUAACAACCCAUUUUUCAUCACUCAUAUCACUUGAUCUGCCUUUAUCUCCUAGAACAGGUUCAAACAAAUCUCUAUAAUACAGGUAGUCUUCCAUUCUAAGCUUCCAAAUUGAAUAAUUAGUAGCAUUCAAUUUUAUCAUACAACUACUAUCCGAAUCAUCCAUUUUUAACCAGUACAAAUGAGUAGUCUAACCUGACUGCUCUGAUACCACUUAUUGGGAAAGGGGUACCAGUAUAGACACACAAUAUCAGAGUUAGUUUAGGAUAAAUUUCUCUUUCCCCAAGUACUAAUUAAAGUAGAAAUAUACCAAAUCACCAAGUAAUAAUACCAGCAGUAAUAAUAAAAUGCAAGAAAAAUAAAAGGCACAGGGCACCAAAAUUUUUACAUGAAAAAUCCAAAUUGAAAAAAAUCACGGGAUCUAGUCCAGUCAAAAAUCUCCACUAUGACAAUAAUGAGAAUACACAAGUCUAUCCGAAAUAUUUGGAUGACAAUAAUAUCACCAAUAUCAACCAAAUCAAAUCGCUACAAAAUCACCCUAAAAAACUACAACUGUCAAAGAAAUGAGUUUGGAAAGGUGUUACCAAAUGAAGAGAAAGUCCGAAAUCUUAACCGGUAGAUGAGUAGAUCCUGACGAGAGGAUCGCGUGCAUAAAAUUCCAUCUCAAUCGGGUUUCGAAUCACCCUCCAAUUAAGAUCUUGAAUUUCUCUCUCUCUAGCUUAUUUGCUCUUUCUCUCUCUUCGUUUUUCUCUCAAUAAUGAAGCAGGUGACGGCUGACACUUUUUCUCACACGAAGACCGAAGAAUGAAUCCCCCAUGCGGCUGCUUCCUUUUCCUUUUUUUAAGUCAAAUCUUGACUUAAACCUAAAGUGUUUGGUUUUGUGAUUUGGCUCACAAAUGGGCUGGUCCACAAACCUAACAAUUAGAAUAACCAAUGAAAAGUUUGAUAAAUGUUGAUACAUGAAUGAAUAAGAAAAAACCUAGGAUUGGCCUAUUUAUAGGCUAGGCUACAAUAUUGGUGAGCCAAAAGGAAAAAAAGAAAAGAAAAUGUGGAAUGCAACUUCAAGCCAUAUCAGGUCAUAUGUCAUGCUCAAUAAUCACCAUCCAUCUUAGCAAGUCUCUUUAGACUGAAUAAAGACUAGAAUAUGAUAAGCCUUAUGAUAGGUCUUAUGUUGGGUGCUAAACUUAACUAAACUCUACUUCACACAUGACUGUUCUUCCUUGUGCAAUCCAUCAUACUCCAAAACGCAUCUUCAAGCUGCUCCGCAUCACAAUGUUCAUAUUAUUAAGUGUGAGGGAGGGAAUUUAUGGUUGUUUUUGCGUUUUUGGUUCUUUGAGUUGUGAAAACUUUUGUGUUUUAAAAUUCAGCAUUUUUGGACCAAAAUUUUUGCCUUUUGUUGUGCUUUUCAAUGUUAUGGAUGUUUAUAUCAUUCGAAAAUUUCAAUUGAAUUUGAAAAAUUCAUAACAUGAGUGAAUGAUGCUCUCGUUGCUUAAAAUUGCUUAGCCGAGUUAUUCUUUUUGAGGAUAAAGUAAGUCAAUUUCGUACACGAAAGUGUGUGAGACUUUGAGCCUUUCGACUGAAAUGUCCAUAUCAAUCUCUAUUUUCGUUCACGAGCAAUUUUCUUCCAUGGUUUUGUUUUUCUAGAACUUGCCUUGAUUCCUUUCAAAACCACAUUUAUACAUGCAUAUAUGAACAUGAUUAAGACCUUCUUUGUUACAUGGCAGCUUACCUUUGGAUUACUUGCCCUUUGUGAACCACUUUUAGUUGUAAAGAUUUAUUCAUUCUUUGUAACAAGUAAAAAAAAAAAAGAGUAGAGAAAUGAAAAGGGAAGUGAAGGGGGAGUUUAGUUUGACAUUCAUGUCUUUGAUUCCUUUGAAAAACUCUAGUAAGGUGCUAGGGAUAUAGAAGAUGAAAGAUUGCACCUUGUUAUGAAUGAAAGUUUCUUUUGAAUGAUCUAUUUUACAAUAAAGGAGUUUUAUAUGGUUUUAAUAUUUAGAAGCUAAGUCUGAAGAUUGCGUUUACGGAGUGGCUGUUAUUACAUGUUUGAAAUAUUUAGAAUUGAUUUGAUGUACUUUUGCUCCAUUUAUUCCGAUGGCUUUUAAGCUAUCUUACCAAAUAUUUCCUACCUUGAUCCUAAGCACAUUACAGCCCUUGGAAAGACAUUAUUAUUUAUGUAAUACAUGUGAUUUCAGUGGUGGGGAAUGAGAAGAUAUGCAAGCCUAUGGUAAAUCAUUUCCAUUGAAAGGAAUUUGAGCGAAAUUAAACUCUGCAAACACAUAAAGAGUGAUUACUUCUGUGAGGUCUAUCAAUUUGGCUAUUUUAUUUUCAAGUGAAAAUGCUUGGUAUAUAAUCUUAUAUUAUUUAAAAUAUGUUCUUGGCGUGUUAUGAUAUUUUGAAAGUUCAAUCGUUAAUUGUCGAUAGCAUUACACUUUUGUUUUGGAAAGUAAAUUGAGUUUUGCUCGAGGACGAGCACUUUAUCUCCACAAACACUUGCAUUUGCAUUGAGUUUUCGCUAAUCUUCUUAUUUUCUUAUUGCACUCAAUUCUUUGUUGUUUAUAACUCAUAUCCAAUAGAUUAAAGUACUUGUAAAACAUCAUGGCAUCAUGCCAAUGUCUUCAAAUUUUUAUCUCAAAUGUUCCUUUUUUCGUUAAUACCUACAACACAUGAAGUUUAAAACCACUUAAUUUAUAGAAAUGUAAAAAUUCUUCAUUUAACACAUUUGAUGAAAAAUUAACUAAAACCAUAAUCGAUUGCCUCUCAAACAAUUAAAAACACACUAAAAUAACUACAGAUACAUCUCAAAUAAUCAUUAAACAUUUAUCCAUUGACCAUUCGAAAAAUAUACCUUUAUUUAUCAAAUUUACUAAGAUGUUCCCAUAUAUUCAAAAUAAAACAUUUUCAAUUAAAAACUUUAAAAUAAGUAAACAAUAGCUCCUUCAUUAAACAUAAUUCAUAAAGAGUUUUGUGCAAAAUUGAUUUUAUAAGAACAUGACGACGUAUUAACCGCUUUCAUCGAAAUGCAUUUAGGUAAAUCACUAUAAUAAUCAUAACUUUAGCAGUUUCUUGUCAAGGACUUAUAGCUACAAAAAAAAAUGCAAGUAUCUGGAAAAUCACAUUAACUAAAUUCUAUUCAACUUUUACUUCUAAUUCUAGUAAUAUUAAACUCAAAAUUUUUUUGAAUUUUUAAGAUAGGGGUAGUUUUUUUUUUUUUCAAGAAAAGUUUCGUCUUGUGAGUUAGAAACAUCAUCCAAGUACAUCUAAACUAAUCAUAAACUAUAAAUGAUACAUACCUAUUACCUACUAAGCUAGCAUAUAAAUUUGUUUUAAUGUUUUAACUUAGAAAAGAGAGUUUGCUUUUACACGGAUGGUGGAAAAUAGGCCAUUGAAGGUUAGUUAUUGGAAAGGUUAUUAACAAGUUAAAGGAGAAAAGUGCACUUGGUUCAAGCAUAAGAUAUGGGUAUUGUAAUCCUAUACAUAUAAAAAAAAAAACAAGUUAGGAGGUAUUUAGUUUGGUUUUCAUAAAUUUUUAAAAAAAUCUUUUUCUAUGAACUUUUCACAGUUAAAAAAGGAGUUGAGUAUGGAUUUAAGGACCUUAAAUGUUGAAAGUUGCUGGUUAUAGCUGAUAAUCUUUAUGUAAGAAAGUCAUUAAAUGGGGACUUUAUCUUUCUUGAAGAUACAUUUUCUGAUUGUGAUGGACUCUAAUGUAGUGUGCAAAUUGGAGAAUUAUUGCUGCCACUGCAAUUGGUAAAACCGGUCCUGAGUUGUUGAAGAAUCAAUAUAAUACGGUAAAGAAAGGUCACAGUCACUUCUUGGAGAUUGAUGAUAAAUUGAAAGUAACUGUGCAACUUUCAAUGUAGAUUCUCAAGAAUCACUGUAAGGUUCCACACCAUCUCAAUCAAAAGCAGAGGGCUGGCAAAUUUAACAUGUUAAAUUAUACUAUUCCUAAAUUUCAAAUCCCAAAUUUAACAUGUUAAAGUAUUUUGCCAUUUCUCUUAUCAAAAUCCAUUUGUAAAUGUAAAAUUAAGAAAGAGUUGGCAGUUUUUAUGAGUUUCAAUGUGUAGAUAAAAAAAAAAUUAUGAUAACUUUUCAAAUAAAUUUGUGUAUUCAAAACAUAAUGAGAAAGAAAGAGAAGAAGAAUAAAAGUAAAGUUGAUUGGUUUUGGUCAAGUGUACGAGUUGACAUGGUUCGUAAUUUAUUUUUAAUUGUGUUAACGUGAUGGAAUGAAAAGAUAAACAAGAGAUAGUGUAUCACAAACACAUUUUUUAACUUUUUUUUAUUUCACAUAGAACACAUCACUAAAAAUACUAUAGUAUUUUUUUCAAAAAAAUUAUUCCAAAUAAUUUCUUAUCCAAACACACUCAUAAAUAUUAGUUAAAUAUUCUAUUGAAACUCAGUGAGGGCAAUAUUCUCUAAUUAUUGGGCAAGAUUAUAAAUUUCUAUAUAUAAAUUUUAGCCUUUGGUGGUUCAGUGAAGGAAAUUGCCCCCAAUGUAUCUUGGUCCCUAAUUUCAAUCCCCGACACGUCCUAGUUCCCCAUCUUUGCACAGACAGCGAAAAAAGUCAUUACAGAAGCCGCCAGGACAAAGCCAACGUUACCGUAGUUUGGUAAGUGGUCACAUUAAAGGUGACCUAGAUGUCGUUGAAACUGAAUUACAUCGCAUGCAUACAAAAUUACAUCUUGUACAUUUUGCACAAAAUCGAUCCGAACGAUUUUCUAACGAACCGUUCCGGCCUUGUCCGUUGGCAUGGCAAUACUAGAUGUUGCAAAGCUUUGCUUGGAUGCAGAAGUGACAGUUACUGAUGGUUGCAAACCUGAUUAUGCCAUACCACCUAAUUUACAUAUUGGCAAUUGUCUUCAUUCAUAUUCAAAGAUUCGUGUGGAUUGUCUAUUCCAUGUUUUUUAACGUGUGAAUAUUUUUACAAUUUUGUGAAUGCUAUGCUUUCUAUUCAAAUUAUGCAUUUAUCAAUUCACCAGUCAACUUACUGGCAUUGUCUAGACUCUAGAUAUAUAUAUGGUUCUUUAUGUUCGUAUCCAUACAAGUGUGCAAAUCAUUCCACAUGCAUCUAGACCAAUUGUAGCAGUUGCCAUGGGAUCCUAUGCAAUUAUGAGAGAAAUUGCAUGACGCAAUUAAUAUAGUGGGAUCAUUUUUUUUUUUGUUUUACCAUUUCAAUAAGAGAACAAACCAAACUUUAUAUAGUAGAUAAUCAUUUGUCAUUGUUAUUCUUAUUAUUAUCUUUGAUAUUUUUAUCAUAGUUAGUAAAGUACAGGACGGCGAUGAUAUACUACUUUAAACGUAGGAAUAUAGUUCGGUAUUUUCGUUUAAAAUUAUGACAAAAAUUUUGGCAUAAAAAAUAGAGAUUGGAAAAAACGUACUUUUAUUCAUACGCGUAUAUUCGGAAAAAAAGUACUUAACAAAAAAUGGCUUUAAAAUUUAGUAUAUCUCAAAAUUUGCCAUUUUUAACGAAAAGCAAGUCACAAGACUAAAAGUAAUUUACAAAUUAUUCUAUAGUUUAAUUAAGGAAAUAAUAACUAAAUUUUCUAGUGAAAAAUGUCAAUAAGCAUUAAUUUAGUGACUAGUGACUAUGGAAAAAGAUUCUCCACAAGACAAAAAAGAUUAUUGCACAUACAAGAUCCAAUAUAAAAGUUUUUUAAAAAAAAAAAAUUGGCAAACCCAUUGACAGGAGAGGGAUGCCAAUCCCAAAUUUAAUAUAAAAGUUGGUUAGUGCUUUAUAUUUCUAAUUAUUUAAAAACCUAAAGUAAUGGUAUGCCUACAAUAUAAAAAGUCUUAAUGAGAGGCAAGAAGGUAUUGAACUUUAUGCAUCCAAUUUUGCUACGUCAACAAAUUCUCACUUAAUUACUGUCUUAGAUUUUCUUCCCAGGCCCACUUACUUGCACCGCCCAAACCUUCUCUAAUUACAAAAGGUACUCUAUACUCUUUUUUUUUUUUUUUAAAUGUAAGUAAAAGAUUUCAAACUUAGAAUUAAAAUCUCUCACUUACACUUCCUUUUAUCGUACCACACAACUCGUUCAUCUUCCCUAUAGUGCUUUAUACUUUUAUUUGUACCAGUGUGCAAAUCGUCCCAAAUGCUACAUCUAUAGACCAAUUGUAAAAGCUCGAAUAAGAUUUUAAGUAAUUGUGAGAAUAAUUGCAUAGUGCAGUUAAAAUAUUCAAGAUCAUUUAACCUUUUUUAAGUAAGAGUACAAAAUAAAGUAUAAAAUGAUUGGGCUUUAUAUAGUAGAUAAUCAUUUACCAUUGUCAUUAUUAUUAUUAUCUAUUGUUGUUAUUGUUGUUAUUACUAUUGAAAUCUAAAGCACUUAGUAUAGUAAAAAGGGAUAAUUUCAUUUUGCACCAUCUAACUAUAUUUGAAUUUUCACUUUAAUCCCUAAACUUUAAAACGAGGUACUUUCCCUUAAUCUAUAACAUAUUAAAUUUAUCCCAUUCAAAUAAAAUUUAUCCCACUUUUAUUCGUAAAGUGUAAAAUCUUUUAUACUUCAAUCCCUAAAGUAAGACAAAUUUUAUAAUUAAAAAAUUAAAGUGUUUCAUUUUGAAAUUUGGAGGCUAAAGUGAAAAUUGACGGGUGUAAACCCAAAUUAACGGGUUCAACUUUGACUGGGUCGGUGGUCAAACGCCCCCAGUCAAUUACUUGACGCCGUCAGUAAAGCCGUCUUCUGUACUCUAUACUGGUAGUCUGGAAUCAGCCCAUCAAUGCUGAAGAAUCCAUCACUACCCUUUUUGAGUUUUUCAAACCAGGCCAACCGCCCCAUUAUUUACUAUUAAACAAAACAAAGCAUCCGACGACUUGUUCUUUUAUCCAUUUUUUAUUUCUAAUCAGCGACUAAUCAUCAUUAUAUUGAACUAAUUCCACAACUAAAAAACAAUAAUCAGAAUACUCAGUCUUCAUUUUGCAUAAUUUCAUUCCUUCUUCUCCUCUUCUCUUCUCUUCUUUUCUUUAGCUUUAUUGGCCUACAAAUAAUGCUGCUGCCGCAGGCCGCCGCUGCAGGUUUUGAUUGAUCGAAAGGUUUGGAAACCGAGAAAAGAGUUGGAAUUUGGGAUUCGGAGUUCGGAAUUUUCAGCUAUGGCGGCGAAUUCGGGUAGUAAGGAGACGGCUUUGAGGCUGAGAGCGGCAGCGGAGGCGGCCAUAGAGUGUAUAGGGUUGGGUUAUGACAUGGCGGUGGACCUUAGGUUGAAGUAUUGCAAGAAGCUGCAGUCACGAUUGAUCGCCGUUGAUGAUGAUCAGGUCAGAGAUAUUGCGGUUCCCGGUGGAAUUUUGGUCCAGAAUGUUCCUAAGUCGAUCAAGUGUGAUAAAGGAGAGCGAUUACGGUUUGGCUCUGAUGUUCUGUCUUUUCAGCAGGUAUGCUGUUGUAUUUAUGUGAGUUGAAUUUGUCCUUCAAUCGGUGGAAUUCUCUGAAUUGUUACCGUAAGUUUGUAUCAGUUAUGUUCUUUUGUUGUUUUGUUCUUGUUUGAAGCUUCCGUUGUCUGAAAAUUUUCAGUUUUGAUUGUUACACAUGCAUAUGUAUUGAUAUAAGAGCCUGUGUUGGAAAAAUAUUAUGCAUUUUCAAGUAAGAAGCAUUUUCAAGUAAGAAGGUUUUUUUGGUUCAGUUACAUCCAUUGAAUGCGAACUUUGUAGAACACAGGGAAUGAAAAGGGUGGAAAACUUAAGCAUGUAGUUAGAGUCAGGAGUCUAUAUUGAGCAAUAGUUCCUCAGUUAGAAUAGAAAAGUGUCAACUGAUUGAUUCUUUUGGAGGUAUGGCUGUCUAUGGUUCAGCUGCAAAAAACUCUUGUUCAAGGAGUGAGGGCUGCCAGAGCUAUAGGCAGAGUCCCGCUUUCUUUGCAUUAGCUGUAUUGUUCUCUUGGUGAAGUUCAUGCGCCAAAACAUUUUAGCAUUUCUUUUCAUAAUUUCUUAUUUUUCUGCAAUUUUUAUCCUUUUCACCUUCCAGAUGUCAGAACAAUUCAACCAAGAUGUAGCUCUUAGUGGUAAAAUCCCAACAGGACACUUCAAUGCUGCCUUUGAAUUUACGGGUUGCUGGCAGAAAGACGCUGCCUACACAAAAGCCCUUGCUUUUGAUGGUGUCUUCAUCACCCUCUACAGCAUUGCAUUAGAGAAAUCCCAAGUAAUGCUAAGCGAUCAUGUUAAACAAGCUGUCCCCUCGUCAUGGGAUCCGGCUGCAUUGGCAAGGUGAGUAGACUGGUUGCUUGGAAGUCAGAUUCUUUAAUUAUUUAUUUUCUUUGCUUUCCAUUCGGUAUUUUCAAUUUGGUCCUCAACAUGUGAUUUCCUCAAGGCUUUAUAACUUUGGCUGCUUGCUUAUGCGGUCAAGUUUCUUUAACUUGUAGCUCUGUUUGUUGAUUUUGGCUUAUUUAGUAGGACAAACCAUAUUUAAAUCUAUUUGUUGAUUUGUCAUGAUUAUUAGAACCAGCCAUCUUCUGUGGUAGUUUGUUGUGGUUCUUCAUAAAGAUGUUUUUUCACAGAGUCUUUUCUGGGAUUCUGUUUUUGGUGUCCCAGCAAUGACAAUAUUGCACUGUGACCAACCAAAUUAGUUGAAACUUUGUCAUUUAUUUGUAUACAGUCUCAUCUUUUAUGUCUUUGUACCUACUGUUGCAUGUGUUUCACCACAAAACUACAUGUUUCCAAAUUUCAACUGUAACCAGACAUUUGCAGCCUCCUUAUAUGUUUUUUUGUGUUUACGGGUUUAUUUAGUUUUUCUGGUGGCACCCACAGAGAGAGUGACAGCACAACGUUUAUAUACAAUUACAAGAAAAUGUUAUCUUAAAAUUUGAGGAAAUGUAUUUUAUUUCUUAAACCGUUUGUCCCCAGGAUCCAGCAGCAUAUAUUUCUUAUUUGGUUAUGUGUGCAUAUCUUUGCAGGCAGUAACCUGUGCAUUUCCAGUUUGUUUCCAUGUGCAUAGCUUUGCAGGCAAUAAUCUUUAUGUAAAGAUGUUUAAUCUAGAAGUUAUCUGCUUCUACCUUUUGCAUUACAAAUCUUUUAAUCAUCCCAUUAUUCUGGUGUUUUAAACCUGGCUGAGUUAUACGACUGUGCUGGGUUUGAAACUAUAGACUAAUGUUUUGAAAUGGUUGUUUCAGUAAAUUUAAGGUCCGUUGCAGCAGAGAGAUUUAACUUAGUAAAGACUGUCAUUCCACUGAAGAUUGUGGACCUGCAGUUGUUGGUUACAGAAUGCAAAACUUAGUUGGCACAUCUUGGAGAAUGUUCAACCAUUGUUAAUGAAAGGAGUUUAAGUAUAGAGUUAUGUUAGUUCAAUCAAGUGCUACUUGAAGCAGAGGAUUUGAGCUUCAAAGUUCUUGCAUUCAGUCCAAAGAGUGUAACAAAAAAUGUGUGAAGCCAAACUUUAUCUGACAGAGGAUUUGAAAAGCAGAUGCUUAAUUCCUUACCAUAAUAUCACCAGUAGGAAUAUAUCUCACUUCCGCAACAGGAGGUUUUCCUGUGGAAUGCUACAAGAUGUCUACUUAUAGUUCUCAUGAGCUGUCAUACUACUUAACUACUGUUGUUUAUAGGUGUCAUCACCUAGGCAUGAUAAAGAUAAUAUACGAUUCUAGUCCAACAUCUACAAGUAGUUGAUAACUUGUGUAGUUCUUUCUAGUUGUUGUUUAGUGCUAUGGAUGAAUUUCUUUUGAUUUUCUUUGUUUUCCAAUGUUUGGAAAUAUGUUCCUCAGAUUUGCUUUUUCAUUUUGUUUUUAUAAAUAUAUCUUUAUGGAUGAGCUGAGCAGCAUCUGUGAUUUUCACAGAGUCAAACUUUACCUCAUAAAAUUGGAAUCAGUUUAAGGUUAUGUCCAGUCUGUGCUAACUUGGAGAAACUUAGGUUUAUCGAGAAAUACGGAACCCAUGUGAUUGUUGGUGUGAAGAUGGGGGGAAAGGAUGUCGUGUAUGUAAAUCAGCAAUACUCAUCACCACUUCAGCCUGCUGACAUUCAGAAAAAAUUGAAGGAUGUUGCAGACAAGAGGUUUACUGAUGCAAGUAGACCUUCAAGCACCCACAAUGAUAAAGUUUAUAUCAGGGAAAUGGUGAGUUCUAAAGCUUAUUGUCCUGUAAGGCACAUCUUUCAGUGUGCCUUUCUAGGUUUUCUAAACUGUAUCUAUCCAUGUAUGUAGGUGAGAUCUGAUGCUUAUUGACCAGCUGAUAUUGGGUUUGUCAAUAAACAUCUUGUUACUGGAUGUGCAAUUGUUUGUCCAGACAACGUCUGUGUUCAGCAUGAGAUAUUAUCCAGCAUGUAGCUCUUGGCGGUUCUUAAUACAGACACACUAAAGGAAAGUCACAAACCUAAGAAUAGACAAACUUAGCAAUGGAGUUACACUAUAUUGCGUCCGCACACGAAGACUUGCCUUGGGAAUAGGGAAAUGACCUCGCUUGUAGAUAAGGACUCAAGACUCUAGAGUCUCUCUUGCAUUUCAUUUCUGAGUAUUGAGAAUGGUGCUGUGAUUCCUUUUUAAGAUAGUAAUGUUGUUAGUGUUUGGGAAUGGAAAGAUGCUGUCAUCAAAAUGUGGGGGAGCAUAGAGAGAGUUAAGCUUUAAUCCUGAUCUAAGAGCCAGCAAUGUUUCAUACGAUUAAAGCUCAAGCAUCUAAAUCCAUUUUCAGUUCUUGAAUGGUAUAGGUAGCAGCAUAAUGCAGAACUCAUCUGAUUAUGGUCAAAAUUACUGUGACAAAAUUGCAUUUAUGUUUCUCCAUUCCUAAUAAGUGCAUACUUGAUUCUUUCAUGUCAGUCCUGAUGAUUUACUAUUUGUUCUUUCUUUCAUCAUCCCUGUCAUGGCAUCAACAUCCAGUCAUGUGUCAGUAGGUGUUCACUAUUGUGGGCUUUGAAUUCUUAAGCACGUCUCUUUUCUAAUUUCUAUUUCAGCUGGAUGGCAAUGACAGUGGUCAGACCUUCAUGGAUACCACUACAGGGAGCAUUUAUUCCCAGAAUGAGGUACUUAUGCUCUAUAUAUCUUGCUGAAUAAAAAUUCUCAUGUAAGAGCGGCAUUUUGAUUCCUCGUAACAAAUAUUUUUAGUACUAUAUCUUCAAAUUAGAAUCAUGGAAUACUAUUUCUGCUUUGUUCCCUUGAUUUUCUGGGCUAGUAAUGUGAUACCUGAACUAUUAAAGAUAGAAAACAAUCUAUGGUUUUUGUUAACAUUUGUUUAGGCAUUUAUUCGGUAAUGUCAAGGGGAGAAUAAUAGUGUAAGUCCUUUUCAAGCUGAAGAUUAAGCAAACUAAAAGCAUAUCUUAUAUCUCCUUAAGCACCAAUGGAUGGGAAAAAAUGCAUGGUAAAAGUUCCAGAAAAAAUAAUUUCAAUAUGCUGCUUCAAAAUUGUCGGAUAUGAAAGUAUUGCAAUGAGAGAGAAUGAGGAAGUAGCUCAAUCAAUAUUCUGGUGUCACCGCUGAAUGUAGAAAUUGUGAAAUAUGAGAAUUUGUCCUAUAUAUUUUGUUGAAAUGCGACAAUUUCUUGCAAGUGCUUCCAAACAGUAAAACUCAUCUGAGUCAGCAAAAUCUAAGCUAGUUUCGGGUGGAAGAAGGGCAACAUAGGCAUAAAAAUCAAAGACAUAGGCUGUGCAGAGGCCUUUGUCUCUAACUGAACUGCAGUGACGUAGCUUCUUAUGCUGCAGCCGAUACCAUCCUAGCUUCCCAUUCUUUUCUACUGCUAGUCUGAUUUUAAGGAUAGCGGGUAAGCAGGAAAUCCCGUAGAUCUGAUCUGAGAUCUUGCCGCGUUAAGCAAGCUAAUUAGAAGGCCCUUUGCUAUCAAUAAGAAGGAGAUUCAAUCUUCAAGUACUAUUUUUAAUAUUGACUUUAGAACUGCUUUUAUUUUCCCAAAGUAAUUUAAAAAGUACCACUUGAAUAAUAUUCAGACAUAUCUCUUGAUUUUUUGUAGCUGAUGACAAGGAGGUUCAAAAUUUGGCCCUUAAAGUAUUGUAUUGUGUCCUAACUUGGCAUAGUCUUUUUGAUGACUUACCUAUUGAGAUGUCAAUUGCAUUAAGCACCAUGGAAUUGAACUUUUUCAUUUUCCUUCUUAUGCCUGACUUAGAAUAGGUGAAUCUAAAGUGGAAGUUGAUAAGACCACCUUCAAGCCUGUUAAAAGAACAGGGCAAGAGGAAAUCCUUCUUUUAUGGUGCAGGAAAAUUUAUUUUUAUUCUUCAAAAUACUACUCAUUUACAAAGUCUCAUGGAGGAGCCUUCUUUAUGCAAGGAAUACAUCAAACAGGAACCAAUUGUCCCAAUAACAAAGUUGCAACAGCUGAGAAAAUGUCUACGCUAAAGUUUCAUUCAGUAAGCUCCAAGUUCCUGCCAUACAGCCACAGUACACCUAAUUUCCUCCACAAUAUGAUUAGUAGCAAAUACUACAGAUGGAAUACAAUUUCUGAACACAGUACCAUUCCUUGACCUCCAAAUACCAUGCAAAAUAGCAGCAAGAGACAGUUUCUUUCCUUAUCAUACAAAUGAUUUGCGGUCAAAGUGAUGGCUUAACCAGGACAAUCCAAAAGGCCAAGCCUCGACGAAUCUAUAAAUAAAGAACAGUCCAAGUAUUCUAUGCCACACUGCAGCAAAACAUGUAAAGAUUGUACCAUUUGUGGAGUUAAUGCCUGAACAAUGUAUUACACAAUCCUCAGCCUCAUCAUUCCCAGCUUCUCAGUCUGUCAGCAGUAGAUAAUCUUCAUUUGCAUAACAACCAAAAGAAGAAAGCAUGCCUAGCACAACCUUUUUGUUUAAAUGCCCUUAGGAGGUGGAUUCUGCUAAAAUUGAAAAUUUAUUUGUUUCUUCCUUGUGUUAUGUGUUUAGUACAUAGCAGACAGCAAUCUAACAUGCUGAGCUGAGUAGUGUGAACUUUUGAAUAUAUGGGGCAUAAAAGUUUUGGAUGUAAUAAAGGUCAAUGGAAAUCAAGAUAGCAAAUUGACAUCAAACGUGAGUUUCAGAAUUAAUCACCCUGCAGUAAAAUUUAAAUAAAUUGUCUUACCUGGUUUAGAUAGAAACUAAAAUGCUGAAUGGCCUGAUUUUCUCUUUAUUGUCUCCCAAAACAAGCAAGAGAUAAGUGUUUUCAACUAAUAACAAGUUAUUGUUUUCAGCGUGAUUAAAAUUAAAUCAAAACAGCUGUGCUCUAAAAAAUGCAAAUAAAUUAGGAUGAAUAAAUAUUCCAGUCUUUGAUUACAGAUAUUUUGUGUUUUUCUAGACCAUGGCUUUGAAUUUGCUCUUCAAGCAUAUACCAUAUUACUUGUAUUGACAUCAAUUUCAUGAUUAUAUCACUUUGAACAAUUUGGAUAAAAUUCCGAAAUUAAGGCUAAAGACCUGUUAUAUAUUGUAUAAACCAACUGGAAAUUCUGUAUUCUUUCUUUUUAGUAGCAAACAAAACAUUAAACACUCAAGUUGAAGGUGAUGAUAUUUGGAAGCAAAGAGAUCGAUGAACUUGAUGGGUUUAUUCAUUUCUAAAGCAGGAUAUUACAUUCUUCUGUAGAAGGAGGGGUGGGAGCAGUAGCAGGAACUUGUCCCAUAGUAAGUGGUGUCAAAGUGUCCAGCUUGAACCUGAUGUGAUUUUGAUGUCCUUCAUACCAAUCUCAUCAUUGCUGAGUGGAAUUGAUGGAAGUGGAUUUUUGAGCCAUGCUAUCAACCUUUACCUACGCUGUAAGCUCUGUCUUCAACCAUAUUACGCAAACUCUGUGGAAUACUAUUUUUUAAUUAUUUUGGUGGUAACUUAAUUGCUUUGGCCCAUUUUAGUUGUUCUGAGUAGAAUUGACAUCCAUUACCAAGUGGCUGACUCGGUUAUUUAUUAGUUUAUUGCGAAUGAUAUGCCUAUGCAUUCAUGAAAGUGCACUGUAGCUCUGACUUAGUGUUUUUUGUUACAAUAGAAUUGAGAGGUUCCAAAGUAAGGAUCAUCCUUUCCGGAGACAGACAUGUGUUUGUUUUACAUUUCAUAACAUGUUAUGUACCAUUUCUACAUACCAUGAUAUCUUUGGAAAAUCAAUGAGCUCUGUGGGUAUGUAAAAUCUCAUCAAAUCAACAUUUGUUUACUUGUCUUCCCUUCUUGGUAUAUCCAAUAAAUUGGAAUGAUAAAGCCAUUCUUUUUCACUAGACAAAGUAUAUCUCCUGAGUUGUGCUAUCCUGAAAAGAAAUCCGGCAAUAAUGUGUUGUGAAGCUAAUGGAAGUUGCUUUCUAGAGCUUAAUUAUUGGGUCUCCAUCGAAUCUUUCCCCUUUAGAAAAUCUCACAAUGGUGCUCUCGAGUCUGUGGGAUAACUAAUUUGAGUUGUAUAAUAGCCUACUGUUAGGCAAUCUGCGCUUGUACAUCUAUCAUGCUAGGAUUUGUUCAUUGUUAAAGACAGUUUUUGAGGAUUGGCAUAUUAGAUGGGUUUGGGGAUUGGUACAUGUAGCCUGCACUUGUCUUAUACAAUGAGACAAGCUUUGAAGAUUGGCAUGUUACAUAGGUUGACAGUAGUCAUUCAAUCAUCGGUUUUAUGUCAUGUAAUUUUGGCUUUUCUUUCACCCAUUACUUGACAGACUUCCAAUCAGUUUUCCAAGCUAGUGGACCAGAUUAGUUAGUGGGAUUACUCAGAUAAAUAAAUUCAUUCAUUUUUGUCCGCUCUUUUGGUGAAUUUAAAUGUACAAAUGCCAAGUUGUUGGCCAUCACGGCUGCAAUCAAUCUGGAGAUGGUGCAAGAAUCUCUAUAGUUGGAAUGUCUUUUUAUCCACGUAUUUAACAUCUUAGACGUUUAAUUUCCUAGUUUUAGUUGUAUUUGCUGAGGUGGUUAUCUACGAUUCUGAUAUUGUAAACCAACUUCAGUAUCAAACUCUCCAUUUCAAACUGGUUCCAGUAUGUUGAUGCUAUGAGCUAUUGAAAUUUGUUUGGGGGUAAUGCUGCUCACCACUUGGAUAUGGAUAUCGUUGUUGUACUUGUUUCUACUAUGUAGUUGUCGAUUUGGAAACUUUUUGAGAGCAUUUGGAACCAUUCCAGCAUGACUUGAAUCACAUAUUCACGCAUUAUGCUUCUCACUUGACUCCCUCACACUGUCAUAUCAUCUUAGGGUCCACUGUGGGAGAGCCUAGAAAUCUUUCAACUUCUUUGACAAGUGACCUACUCUUGGUAUCGCUUUACUCUGGGAAAGGUUGAGAAUACAUAGAUUAGCAAAUUGAGUAAAAGGUGUGGCCUUACUGAGGAAGAAGUGAAUGCUAUCUGUACUUACUGCCAUUGACAACAUUUCUCCUAUUCCAAGCCAGGUGUUUAGGGCAAGCUAGACAGGAAUUUGUGAUGCAGUCAAAAAAGAGCUCGCGGAAUCUAAAGUUGAAGACUUUUCACGAUUUUUCUCCAGCUUCAUUGAGGCAUCCCUUGACCAUUAACUGUUUAUUUGGCAGUUGGAAUACGUAAAUUAAGAGUCCUUGUUUAAGUGUCAACACAGUAGGAACUAUAUCCUCUUGAGUUUUACUACUUUCUAGAAUUUUAGGUCUUAAGGGUAUUUUAGCCUUUUUAGUGUUCACACAAAAUUUUCAGUAAUUGAGUUGUUGAGUGUUACGAGGUUAUUUUGAUUGUAUUAGAAUCUAACUGGAGUUGGUGUUGUAGAAAAGUCCCAGGAAACUUCUUCAACUAAUUUUGCUUGUGAAUAGGAAUUGGGAUUAUGAAUAUGAUUCUGUUUUUAGGGUAGCUUAUAGCUUAUAGGUACUCUUGUUACAGCUUAUAUUACAUGUAGAUUGAUCAAUGAUCAAGAAAGAAUUGAGUCUUUUGUUUAGUCAUUAAUUUUCUUCUUCCUCAUCAUACCCUAAAUCCUCUUCUUCUCCACUUUCCCCCCUACUGUUCACUGGUAGCGGUCACAGCCCCAAUAUCUUCUCAUUCCUCUGCUGUGCUAGUAGGCAAGUUUUUCCUGUCUUCUCCUCCAUCAAGUGGUCUUUUCUAAGUUUCAUAAUCAGAAGUACUUGAUUCUCUGAUUUAAAGUCAAUUUAACUGUCAUCUUAAAGACUUAUUCCUCAUUUAUGGAGAGAAAUGUAAUAACAUCAUUAGGUGCUCUCUCUCUCUGAUUGAUUGAAUAUUUGGUGCCCUUCACUAUUUGAACUAUCACAUCCUGGGACCUCACUCCAUAAACCCUCCUCAUUCUUGUGCUAGUGUGAGAACUUUCAGUGUUACCCUCCCUAUUAUAUCCAUAAUUUGACCAUAAAUACACAAGAUGUAUAUAGUCACAGUUCCUAGGGACUUGCGUCUUACUGGUCAAUCUAUUUACUCAACUAAUUAUAAGUUUCUCAGAGAAUUUUUUGAUAAUAUUUUGGAAUCAAGCCUGUUUUUUGAAUGUCGAACCUCACUUUUUUGUUGUUAUUUUUACUGCCUUUCAUAUAUUAUUUUGUGCAAGAAUGUUUUGCUUUUGCUAAUUUGUUUGACAUUAGGCCUAUAAUUAUAGUUGCCAGAAGGACAAGAGGUUUGCAUAUAUCAUGGAAAAUGAAGUGGGAUAUGUUCCAUAAUCUGUGAUAAAUGUAAAUGAAAAGCAUAACUUUAAGAUUUAAUUCAAUUCCUAGCAGCCAUUCUGUGGAUACUAGAUUUAGAAAACUAAGAAGAAACUUCUAAGGAAAAGAAUCAGAAAGAACAACAUGCACAUUUGACUCAAAAGUUGUAAAGAAAGUAAACUGUAUUUACUUUUAAACUUUGACCAAAAUCAGAAAGGUUCUUUAAAUGUUUAACUGUCUGGUCCACUUGCUACUAAAUGAUUUUACCAUAUGCCAUGUGGUUCCAUCUUAUAACUAUUAAUCCAUUACUCAGAAACUAGAAGUCGUCAUUGGUUAAGUGAAGUACAUACAUUAUGUAACACAACCUCUCAGAGAAAAAUUACUCUAAUAAAAAUUCUGGACUUCUGUAUGUGUCCUCACUCGAAGCAGAAAUUUUGAAGAGUUCUAUGAACUUCUUAGUUCUCUUAGAGGAUCAUGUCAUGAUAUUUAGGCAGGGGAUUUAGCAGCAAAUUUUUUGUCAGCAAUACUUUUCCUCUGUUUGAUUGAAUGCCUACACAUGCUAUACAAAAUAUCACAGCUUAUUGUAUCUAUAGUUGGGAUAUAAGAGCUCUUCCGUUAGGAAACAGUUUCAUUAGCUUGAACAUUUGUGAUAGUCCUAGCUUGUAUUGCAGCUUGGUCUACAUAGAGUUCCAGUGUCAUGAUUAUUUACAAUCAUCUAUCCAAGGUUAUGUAGCUGCCAUUGUCCUCUUUUUCACCUUUUAAAUAUCAAAGCCAAGUUUUCUGAUUCCUCUAUGUGCGUAUGGUCAACAUUCUUAUGUCCAUCUUUCAGCGUGUUGCCUUAGACUCUUUCCAGGUUCCUUAUUGGUGAACAUUUUCUUAGUCGCAUCAUCUUUAUUUAGUACCAGAUGUGAAACUUGGAUUGAGAGUUAGAGAAACCAUUUUAUUUUACUGCUAUUACCAUGUAUGAUGUUAUCUCACUCAUAAAUGAGCCAAUAAGUGAAACACUAAAUAGAUGCAGAGAAAAUUUUGCUGAACUGCUUCUGCAGAUCACUGUUAUGUAACAACUCCGAGGGUGGAUAGAUGGUCCACAUGGUUGGACAAAGGAUGAGCUUGAUAUGAGCAAGCAACAACUUGAAUGAAGUAUAAUUUAAUUAUGCAAAAGCCAUGUUAGGCAUAUUUACUAGAAUUGGAACUGUCAAAUUACGAUAUUCUCCUAGCAUUGUGGGCUUAACUUUAGAAAGAUGAAAGAAAAAGCAUAAGUUGAAAUUAAACAUAUAAAUUUUUUUUGUAAGCAAAAUUAAACAUAUAAAUUUGAUAAUUGGCAAUUUCACUUUCUGAGUUGAUGAGCUUGGCAUGUAUUCGACAUUAAUAUGUGGUCCACACUAGUGAGCAGUAUGAGAUGCUUUAAAGAUCUCAUCUCAUUGUGCCUUCAUUAAUGUGUUUAACUAUGUUACAGCAAUCAUAAUAUAUAAAUGGUAUUUUUCUUCAACCUGGAAAUAUUAAUCUCAAGUCUUGGGGAUGCAGAUAAACCACCAAUUGAAGAACUAUAUCAGUUUUUGGAGUUUCAACUUCCUCGGCAAUGGGCACCAGUAUUUGGUGAACUUCCCCUAGGUCCUGACAGAAAGCAGCAGAGCGGUGCAUCUUUGCAGUUCAGCUUAAUGGGUCCAAAGCUAUAUGUUAAUACAAACCCGGUAACAGUCUCAUAAAAUCGAGUGCGCUUAAACUUUUUGUUGGCAUCUUUGCAUUGACAAAGGACUUUAAACAGUUAUCUGUUUCAGUUCCUUAACCUUGAAACAAGUAUUUCAGCAGGUUUCAUAGUUGUGAUGUUUAGAAUUCCUGUAAUCUGCCUUUUGAAACUCUGAUCUGGUAGUAAAUCCUGCAGAAAAUAAUGAUUUUUCUGAAUCGCUUGUUUGUUCAAAUUAGGACUCUAGUUUAGACUUAUCAGAAUAUAUAUAUAUAUAUGUAUAUAUAUCAUAAGCUUUGCAUUUAUAUGGACCUAAGGGAAUGAACUAGUAAAUAAAGGGAAAGGAAAGAAUGAGAAAGAGCACAUAGAGUUGGUUGAAUGAGGGUUGGGAAGUAGUGCUACAUAGUAAGGGUUGGUGGGAAGGAGCUGAGAAGUGCUAUAUAGCAAGAGUUAGUGGAAAGGAGUUUUGAAGUGGUCUGACAUACCUAGAGAUAUUAAGUAUUUCACUGAUGGUGAUGUUGAAGCGAAUAACAUGUCUUGCUUUAUCUAAAGUAGUGACCUCAAACUUGAAAUCUGUUAUGAAGGUCAGUCUGCUGGCUGCAGCUACUUCAUUAGUGACUUCAACUUGAUGUAUCUGAAACUUUUGGUUUUGAUACUUUAUUUUCUUUUUCUUAGUUUUGCUUAAGGGUAGAAAGGUGUAGGAUUCCUGAUUGUGUCUUGAAAUAAUCUAUGUUUCACAGAAGUUCUCUCUAGUAUUAUUUUCUACUGGGUGGGUUUGUUUUAGUUCCUUUAUGCUUGCCACACAAUGACAGGUAUUUAGCACAAGUGUUUCCCAAAAUAGUUGAGAAACAGUAUUCUUCUUGCAGCAAAAUGUAAAUGGAAGUACUUAUAACAUGCAAUUGGAGGUAUUGAGCACAUUUAUUUCCCACAUAAACUGAGAAACAAUAUCCUUCUGGAACCAGUGUAUUUGGAAAUGUUUAUUUAAUACAACAGGAUGUACUUAGUGCAAUUUCCACAUAAGUUGAUAAACUAUGCAUCUUUAAAUCUUUUCUCUUCACCAGAUUACCUGGACUUUCUUUGUGGGCCUUUUUAUCAUGUGCCUGUUGCUAAUAUGUUGUAUUGGUGGAGGUUUAAGAGUUCAAUAAAUGAACCAUGUGAGUGUGAUACUUCUGACCCUACAUAUCAAGGCAGUGAUACUUCUGACCCUAAAUAUUAAGGCAUACAAAUUGUGGCUGGCUGAAUUCGCUUGUCCCUUUUUUUGUUCUUAUGGAUAAUCACUUGGUUUCGCAUGUUUAUUACAAGUAUUGUCAAAAGAUAAGUGAGAUUAACGCAUCAAAUAAUGAUUUUACUUUCACCUUGAUUGCUUUCUUGACUUGCCUUCCUAAUGUAAUUUUAGAUGGAUUUCAUCUGAUUUCUCCUGUUCUCUGAGAUAGCCAUGCUGCUUUAGCACAACUUUGAGUGUAAUGCUGCCCUUCUCACCAUAAAUCUUAGUGAAAAAAGAAAGGUUGUCAAUAGGAAAGUCUUUGGAUGACAAAUAUGCUCUCUUUAACGGGUUCAUUUAUUGUGUCUAGUCUUUUUGCAACUCAGAUAUGUUGAAUAAUUGUUUAACGAUGUGAUUAUUUAUUUAGUUGGUGCAAUUACUUUUAAUAGGUUGAUGUGGGCAAUAAGCCUGUGACCGGACUUCGACUGUAUUUAGAAGGGAAAAGAAGCGAUUGCCUAGCAAUUCAUUUGCAGCACCUUUCCUCUUUACCCGAGAGCUUUCAGCUUCAGAAUAAUUCAAAUCACAAUGCAGGUAACUCAUAUGACCACAGGUAUUAUGAGAAAGUCCAGUGGAAGAGCUUCUCACACGUAUGCAGUGCUCCUGUUGAAUCUGAUGAGGACCUUGCCAUUGUUACUGGUGCUGAAUUUGAAGUCAAAGAAUCUGGUAUGAAAAAUGUUCUUUUUCUGCGCCUUCAUUUUUCAAAGGUCAUUGGCGCCAUGGUUGUCAAGAAACCUGAGUGGGAUGGUUCCACAGUGCUGGGCCAAAAGUCUGGAAUUAUCUCAACAUUGAUUAGCACUCGCUUUUCAACUAGUCAGAAACCUCCACCAAAUCCAUCUGAUGUAAACAUCAACUCAGCACUGUAUCCUGAAGGCCCCCCAAUGCCAGCACAAACCCGUAAACUCUUGAGAUAUGUUGACACAAAGGAAAUGACAAGAGGACCACAGGAUUCACCUGGAUACUGGGUUGUUUCUGGAGCGAGGCUUGUGGUUGAUAAUGGCAAGAUAUCUCUUCGUGUGAAGUACUCUCUUCUGGCUGCCAUCUUGCCGGAUGAAGAGGAGCCAUUUCAUGGAUAAUUUUGUGGACCAAACAGCUGAAGCAGUAAUAUUGCGAGGCAAAAGAGGGAUGUCAUUUCAUGAUUGAAGUCACAGAUUUUUCUUAUAUUUAGCGAGGAGUUUUUGAGAGUUCUUGUAUGGUUUGAAUGGUAUCAGGCAAAUUGCUGCACUUCUUGUGUUCUAGCAUAAAAUUAUGUACAUAAUUCUUGAUGUUGGAAGAAUUUAACUGAAACAGUUACUUGUUCGGAAAUAGGAAAUGGAGAACAGGUAAAUAUGCAUCUUAUUAUAGGACGAAAAUACUUGUUUACACAGUUUUCCUGUCCCCAUGUAAUUUCAUAUUGCCCGAAAAAGGGUGGAGAGGAGGGCGGGAAUUCUCAUUCAGUGGAGUUCCAAAUCUUGUUUCUUGUUUCCUACAAUCUUGAGAUCACUGAAUCAUCUCCUUGCAUAAUAUGGAAAAUCCACAGGUCGGGUCUUUCUAGAAAUCUGAAGAACAAAUAUUAGUUUUUUCUUUUUCAGUUGUCAUAAUUUCUACUAAGAGCAUCCACAAUGCUAUUACACUUUGUGGAGUGUAAUCCACAUGCCACGUCAGCAUUCUACUUUCUCCUCUUUUAUUACACUUUCACUCACAAUGGAUUACACUCCACAAGGUGUAAUAGCAUGGGUCCACAAUUAAUCAAAUAUUUAUUUUAAUAAUGCAUAACUCAUAUCCCAUAAAUAAAUAAAGUAAUUUUAAAACUAAUUUUGUUAUUUUUAAAAAAUAAAGUACUAACUUUCGUUAAAUUUUGUACAUUUUGAAUUUUUUUAUUUUCUAAAAAUGAUAUUAUUAAUUUUUAAGUUUGAAUAAUAUAUCUUUUUCUAUGUUUCAAAAAUAAUAUAUUGUUAUUUUUUUAAAAAUAAUUAUGUAGGAAAUUAAACAAAUAUUUGAUACUUCAAAUGUGAAGAUAUCAUAAUAAUCCAUACUUAAUUAAUAAUUCGAAAUGUAAUUAGUUGAACUCCAUAACAUAAUAUUACAUAAGUUAAAUCAAAUAAAAUACAAAUAAUAACAAAAUGAAUACUAGUUUUCAUUGUCAUUGCUUUCGAAUCGCUGGAAAUGCUGGAAUUUUACCGUUGCCAUAGGCCCACAUUUUGAGAAUUACACGCAUCAUACAUGUGAUGCGUGUAAUCUCCAUGACACGGCUCCAAUGGGGAGCCGCGUCAUGGAGUGGUGUAAUGGGGGUGUAUUACACCCCCAUUGGAGCUGCCCUAAUAAAACUGGAUGUGCAAGCUUCUAAUGUAUAAAUAAAUAUGUGGCUAAUUGUUCUUCUAGCUCUUGCUAGGUUUAAUAAAAUCAGAGUCAACCGUGAACUAAAAUUUUGGGAAGUAUUUGCUAGACUUUAUUUAUUCACGGACACAAGUUCAAGAGAAUGUUUUUAUAGCAACAGAGGAAACAAAAAUACAGGCCCCAAAUGCAUAAGCAAAUUUUGGAGUGUGUUUUUCACACGAUGGUAAGACAGAGUAUGCUGUAUCAAAGAAAGCCAAAAGCGCAACACUGGUGAUAAGAUGGUGUCUUUGUAGUUAUGGAGAUCAAAAGUUAAAACCACCAGUUAAUUUGGAAAAAAUGGUGAAGAGAUGGCAAAAUCGAUAAAGUCAGGAGAGGAGUGAAGUGGAGGAAGCUUUGUUUCUUUGUAAAAUUGAUACAAGUCAUAUGAGGGGAAAUAAACGGGCAAUGAAUUACGAAACUGCGAAGAAAUCGAGAUAAAUUAUUAGCCUAGGUAAUGAAAUAGUGAGUUUUUGAUAAUUGAAAAUCCCUUAAAGAAUAAUGAAUAUAGAAUAGAGAUAAAGAUGUUCAUUCCAAAUGGUUGAAUAACUUGAUGAUUGCCAUAUAUACAAAAGUAAUUCCCUCAAAAAUAUAUGUGAGAGUGGAUGGAAUGUCUGCAUUCGACGUAUGAGUGACAAUUGUGCCAGAAUUUUUUUAUUUGAGUAAUAAAAAGGGAUAAUUUCAGAAACCUCCCUUGAGGUUUUUGACAAUUUCACUCAGUUCCCUUUAGGUUUAAAAAAUUACACUUACCUCUUUUGGCAUAGUAAAAUACCUAUAAUGCCCUCCACUUAGUGAGUGAGUGAGUCCUGGCGAGAGUUGGGUAGGUGAUCCGCUAAAUCCUGAGGUACGUCCUAGGGAGAGGUGGAGUCGUCACAGGUAGUAUCAGAGCCUAGGUUUGAGUUGGUCUGGCCAGAUUGAGUGAUUUGUACUUGAUAUGGCUUAUGUACGACCGUUUAAGUGUGAAACCUUGGAGAAUGGGUGGUUAAUUUAGUUUUACUUGUUUAAAUUGCUUAUUCUCUUGACGCUACUUGUAAUGUAGGCAAUGGAAGGAAAUGGUGAGAAUGGGAAUGCUGAGCAACCUCGUCAAUUGCUUAGCUAUCAGGAACAUCUAAGAGGGCCGGUACUUCAGUGGGCUCCGGAAUGUAGGGUAAAGCACUGUGAUUGCUGGCGGACCUACUCAUAUCCUGAUCGGGUGGUCCUUGCCAUAGAAGACGAGAGGAAAAUGUUGGCUAAUGCUAAUCAUAAGGCCCAAACUGAUCGAGUGCCUGAGGGCAAUGUUGGGCGAGCACGGGGGUAGGAUCGCAGAGCUUGAGGCUUCUAUUCUUGAGCAGCAGGAGCAAACCAAUGCCUUUCGAGAGCAAACUCAGGAGGCUAAUGGUCACCUUGUUCGGAUAGUAAGGGAAGUGAGGGACCGAACAGAUAAUAUUUUGACCAAGUGUGGGGCACUUGUGAGGGAAGUGGUACAGGUGAACUUGGCCGAGAAAGGUCAAGGGAAUGUAGCUCCUAGUGACUUAGAAGCCAGCCGCACCUGAAAAGGUUGUGGAGUUAGAUGGAUCAGUGACAAACCAAGUUAGGGAUCUAGGGUUUUGGGGUUUGCGUGAGAUAGUUAGGGACAUAGUUGGGAUGACACGUCAUCUUUUGUUUUUUAUAUUGAUGUGUUAAGGCUGAAAGGCUGAUGUAAAUAGCACCUGCUUUUGUUCUAUGUCCUUUGGUUGUUAUAAGUUCUUGACUUUAUUAGGUUGAUAUGUACAGUACUUUGUGACUUGAUAUGUGAAUUGCUAUGAUAUGUAUAUAAAGAAAGUAAGUUAUUUUAAAUGUGCUCUAUUAUUUUCAUUUUAUGAUUUGAAAAUAUUUUUAUCGAGCUUAUAACUAUUUUAUUUUGCUUAUAUCUAUAUAGUCUAUUUUUCAAAAGAGGUAUGGACGGUAGGCGAGAAUUUAACGAGAAAUAUUUUCCACCAUUAGUUCAGGAGAAAAGGUAGGAUGAUUUUAUUAGGCUAUGUCGGGAAGACUUAAGUGUAUCGGAGUAUGAAAUCCAGUUCACCAAGUUAUCAAAAUUUGCUCCUGAAUUGAUAGCUACAGAGCAAAGGAGGGUGAGACAGUUUGUGCAAGGAUUGAACGUAGAGAUACAAGAGGUUUUAGCAGUAACCGAGAUUCUUGAGAAAGCCCAAAGGAUAGAAAUUGUAAUGGCGCAAGUGAAGACUUUUCAUACAAGAAAGAAAUGUGUAUCUAGUGGAGACCAAGGGCAAGAACAAGAUGAUCUAGGUAUGCCACCCUCUAAGAUGGAUCGAGGAGUUGGUGGUGUGAGAAUUUUGGGGACAACCAAGGGAGUUACUCCAAAAGGAGCCCCGGAUGGAGGAGGACAACUGAGAGGUGUCUCACAAGGAGAUCAAGUCUCAAUCCCUCACUUAUCUUGUGGAUAUUGUGGAAAGACCAAUCACACUGAGAAUAAUUAUUGGCGAAAGGCACGAAAAUAUUUAUGGUGUGGUAGUGCUGAGCACUAAAUUGCAGCCUGUCCCCUUUUCAGUGAGACUCAGCAGUUAGAUAGGUCAAACCCUAAACAACCGAAUGUAGGAAGGAAUAGAUCCAGAGUGCUUGUUAGAGUGUAUACCAUAAACCACCAGCAAAUGCCUAAUCCGUCUAAAGUGGUAGAAGGUACGAUUCAUGUUUCCCAUUGUACGGCUAAAAUUUUGGCUAAUGAUGAGAUUUGGGAGUUAGAGACGGACAUGCAAGAAGAAUACCCUGAACUAUUUAUGAAUAAAUGUAUGAAUUUCGAGUUCGAAAUUCUCUUAAGGAGGAGAGAGUGUGACAACUUGAAAAUUUGCUUAUAUUUUCUUAUAAUUCCCUGUUAUUUGAAUAAGUUAAUUUAUAAUUUCUUUACUACUAAUUUACUCUCUCAAUAUUGGUAAUAAGUCAUAGAAUCGAAAGUUUUACUUUUACUUUUAUAGUUCGGCUAAACUAGGAUUUUUGCACAUUUUGGUAGUGUGAUCACUUGUUGAGGUGUGUGUACUAAAUUUGGUAGAUAAAAGUGAGUAUUAAGUAAGAGAAAGUGUGUGAUUAGAAGUACUAAGAAUAAAUUAGUGAAUCAUAAGUUAAAACACAAGUAUGGGAGAGUUAAAAAAAAUAGACUUGCACCGAUGUGCAUCGUUUGUUACAGAUUGAGUACACCGCUUGACCACUACUUUCUUACCCUAAUCCUCUUGCUUUUAUUUCAGCUAAUCACCCCUAGAUUAUUCCCUAAAACAGCAAAAAAUAUUGACCAAAGAAAGGGAGAAAAGAAAAAAAAAAGAAGGAAUCUUGAGACGACAAGUGCCGGCAAUCCAAGGAUGUUUGACCAAGCCAAAUUCUUUCGUUCUUAUCUUCCAUUUUGGCUCAUUUUCUUCUUCCUUUCCUCAUGGUGGCCGAGAGUUAGGAGAGGAAAAAGAGAGAAGAAAACUUUUUGUAAGGCCCAAAACAACCAAUGCAAAGAUCAUAAACGAAACAAUAAGUAAAUAAAAAGGAAAGGAUUGCAAACCAAUUAACUACCCAACUCCUCUUGAGCUUGUAGAUUAAUUGAAACAAGCUACUUCAAGUUGAUGAAUUACAAUCACUCUUGUGUACAAAGGAAGGUUCACCUCCUCCUUGCCCCAAGCAGCACUUGGUCAAGCCAGGACAUUUUACUAUCUCUCAGGACAACCCUCACAGAGCUACACUCAUGAAAGAUUCACUCACAAAUGAAAAGCUUACAAUGAACCUCACACCACUAAGACUACAAAUAUUCUUUUUGGAGUAUUUUCUCACUAAAAUCUCUCUAGAUCUUUUGUAUCUUCAGUGUGCCAAAGUUGUUUGAAGUAUCUGACCAACCACUAUUUAUAUAGGACCAAGAAAGAGCCUCAUUAAAGCUUCCAACGGAUAGAAAGUAGCUGAACAGUCAACUAGCCGUUGGUAGUGUCGGACGUCCGAUAGCACUGUUUUAUGCGUCCGACAGCAGGCAGUGAGUUUGAGAAAUUUUCUUCAAUUCUUUCGGACGUCCGAUAGGCUGGUUUUCUGCGUCCGAAGAUACUCAAUGGUUGUCGGACGUCCGAUGCAGUCUUUUUGAGCGUCCGACAGCUUCAGCAUACUUUGUCUUCUUCCAAUUGCACUUGUUCAUGGAAUCAAAUAAUUUCAUAACUGAAAAUAUAUCUUGAAGAAAUAUUAGUAUCAUCCAUUUGUUUUGUAAACAUCAAAAGAUAGGGAUCAAGAUCAACAAUCUCCCCCUUUUUGAUGAUGACAAAACAAUGGAUGGAAAGAAACAAAAAUAAGUAUAAGCUCCCCCUCAAUCAUUGCAAUCAAAACUUUUAAGAGCCAAACUCAUAAUCUCAUAAUAACUCCCCCUUACACAUUGCAUCCAUCUCUCCCCCUUUUUGUCAUCAUAAGAUGAGAGUAAUAACCAGCAACCAUAAUCCAACAACAAUAACAGAAAAUCCAAUAUUUCAAACAAAAACAGAGAAAUGAUAGCAGAAUUCAGCAAUACCAACAUACCAACUUAUUACAGAGAAAUUAGCAAAUCAUCGUUAGAUCAGAAUAGUUCUUUUCUCUCCCUUUUUGACAUCAUAUAGAUUCAGUAGUAUUCAAAAAUAUCAGCGAAAACUCAAAUCAAAAUAUCAGAAAUAUCAAAAGAAGAAUAUUGUGAACAAGAAUCACUGCAGUGAUUAACAAAAUCUCCUACUUGUUAAAGUUAGCAUCAUGUCUAACUAUCCACAUGUAUUUCAUGCCUUUUUUUAUAUUCUUUCUCACAUAGCAAUCACUUUUCAUGUGACCUUUUUGACAACAGAAAUUACACAUAAUCAGGGAAUUAUUUAUAUGAACAGGUUUAAUAAAUCUUACUUGUCUUCUCCUAUGGAUAACAAACUCAUUUGCAGCAGAAUUUAUCUUAAAAUGAAGUUUAGAUUUAUUACUUUGAAAACAGUCCUGUUUUUUAUGUUGAAGCAACUCAUUUAAAUCAUCCAUUCUUCUUUUCAAAUCAUCUUGUUCCCUUUUGAACAUUUCACAAACACUUGUUUUUCUAUCAAGAUCCAAGUGUAAAGCAGUCUCAUUUUUUCUAAAGUAAUCAUUUUCAAUUUUCAACUUUUUGUUUUGUUGAAAAAGAUUUGCAUUAUCUCGAAGCAAAAAACUAAUUUUCUGUUUUAACUCCUUGUUUCUAACAUAAGAUUCUUUCAAACUAUCAUGCAAUUUUAUAAUGAAAGAUUCAAGAUCAUCAUCAUCUUCAUCAUCACUUUCAAAUUGAGAGCUAGAAGAUGUUACCUCAUCAUCUCCAAUGGCCAUGAAAGCCAAUUGAGCAGAUUGAUCUUCCUCUUCAAUUUCACCAUCGGAAUUGCAUUCAUUCCAUGUGAAUUGAAAUUUGUUUAUUCUUGGUUUUCUUCCUUCUUUCUUUUUCAUCACUGACAGUCACUUGCAUAGUGUCCAGGUUGGCCGCAUUCAAAGCACUGAUCAGUUUGCUUUUUGUUGAACUCUAGCUUCCCUUUGUUUCUCGAGUUGUUGAACUGAUUUGGGAAUGAAUUGCUUGGUCCACCAUUUCUGAAUCUCCUCUUGUUGAGUAUUCUUUUGAAACUUUUUGUGAUGAGAGCGAUAUCAUUGUCAUCACCUUCCACAUCUUCUUCAUCUAGGGAGGCAGAAUCAUCUUCAUCUUGUGAGGCUUUUAGAGCAAUAUUCUUUCGUACUUUUGCAUCCUCUUCCUCUUGCACCUUAGUCUUAAGUUUCAGCUCAUAAGAGAUAAGAGAAUUAAUAAGAGAUUCAAUAGGUAUAGUAUUCAAAUCUCUAGCCUCCUCAAUAGCAGUCACUUUAUUUUCCCAAUCAUUGGACAAGGCAUUCAGGAUUUUUCUAUUUUUCUCACCAAGAGAAUAUUCUUUUUCCAGCGCCUCUAAAUCUUUAAUGAGAUCAUUGAAUCUACAAUACAUUUGAUCAACAUUUUCAUGAGGUUCCAUCUUGAAAGAUUCAUACUUUGUAACUAGAAUGGACUUCUUUUGUUCUCUAACAUUCUCACUACCUUCAUGAAUUUCUUUCAGUUUGUCCCAAAUUUCUUUAGCUGACUUGCAACCCUUGACUCUAAUAGAUUCAUUUGAGUCUAAUGCACAAUAUAACACAUUCAUGGCUUUUGCAUUUAAGGUGAGAUGAACUCUAUCCACAACAGUCAGUUCACUUCUUGUUUUCGGUCUAGAUGCAUGAGUAUUUUCAUCUAUAAGAGAGGCAUCAUAUGGACCUUCACUAAUAAUAAACCACAAUUCGAUAUCAAUAGAUUGCAAAAAGAUAUCAUUCUUUCUUUCCAACUCAUAUAAUUUGACCCAUUAAACACAGGUGGUCUAAUAACAGAAUGUCCUUCAAAAAACAUAGCAUUAUUGGUUGUCAUCUUUACUCCAAAGCCGAUUGAGCUUAAUCUCUAGGAGACCAAGCUCUGAUACCAAUUGUAAGGCCCAAAACACACAAUGCAAAGAUCAUAAAACGAAAACAAUAAGUAAAUAAAAAGGAAAGGAUUGCAAACCAAUUAACUACCCAACUCCUCUUGAGCUUGUAGAUUAAUUGAAACAAGCUACUUCAAGUUGAUGAAUUACAAUCACUCUUGUGUACAAAGGAAGGUUCACCUCCUCCUUGCCCCAAGCAGCACUCGGUCAAGCCAGGACAUUUUACUAUCUCUCAGGACAACCCUCACAGAGCUACACUCAUGAAAGAUUCACUCACAAAUGAAAAGCUUACAAUGAACCUCACACCACUAAGACUACAAAUAUUCUUUUUGGAGUAUUUUCUCACUAAAAUCUCUCUAGAUCUUUUGUAUCUUCAGUGUGCCAAAGUUGUUUGAAGUAUCUGACCAACCACUAUUUAUAUAGGACCAAGAAAGAGCCUCAUUAAAGCUUCCAACGGAUAGAAAGUAGCUGAACAGUCAACUAGCCGUUGGUAGUGUCGGACGUCCGAUAGCACUGUUUUAUGCGUCCGACAGCAGGCAGUGAGUUUGAGAAAUUUUCUUCAAUUCUUUCGGACGUCCGAUAGGCUGGUUUUCUGCGUCCGAAGAUACUCAAUGGUUGUCGGACGUCCGAUGCAGUCUUUUUGAGCGUCCGACAGCUUCAGCAUACUUUGUCUUCUUCCAAUUGCACUUGUUCAUGGAAUCAAAUAAUUUCAUAACUGAAAAUAUAUCUUGAAGAAAUAUUAGUAUCAUCCAUUUGUUUUGUAAACAUCAAAAGAUAGGGAUCAAGAUCAACACUUUUUAUUCCAACCUUGAUUUUAGCCUUGUUUGAGUUGUAUCACAAAAACUAAAUCGAUUAAACUUGCAUCAAGGGUGUUAGGAAGCUUGGUGUGGUGAAAGUUUUGGAAGAAAUAGCUUGGUUCCUUACCUUCAAGAAGGUUUUGUAAGGUAUAAGUCUAAAACUCUCAUUUAUUUUUCUUAAUCUUGCCAAAUAUGCUAUAGAAGCUUUGAAUCUUGGAAUAUUAUGGAUGAUUUUCUAGUUUCGUGCUAUUUAGUGAAAAUUUCAGCUAGGGUUUUAUAUUUUUGGAAUUUGAUUAUGUUGUUUAACUAGCAAAUAUUGGUAUUGACCUUGGAUAUGGAAUUUGUGAGGUGAUUAAUGGCAUGAUUGUGACUUUUUAGCAUUAAAAGAUGAAUUUCCAACUUUGAUAAGAAAAUUUCAGUUUUGGUACUAGUUGAAUAUUUGCUAGAAAUGAGUUAUAUUUGGAUGUUUUUAGCCUAGAUAAAGAGCUAUCUUGAGAUGUUUAUUGGUGGUGUUUGAAUUGGGUUGAUUUGAGGAAAAACAUGAAGCCUUAAAUGGCUGAAAAAUUGGACAAAUACAAAGAAUAUGCUGCCCAAAUUUUCAUUCGAGGGAUAAGUGAUUGGCCUUGGAACUUGAGCAGUGAUUUAGGGAUGAAUUGGACUUCGGUUGUCUAGGGUAUUCAAAUUUCCUUUAGUAGAGGCAUAUAAGCUGAAUUUUUGCCAAAACUCGUACCCUUUAAAAGGCAAAAGUAGCCACCGCUAUAAAUAUGUUUUACUCGUCUUGUAGACCAAGUUGCGAAUUUAAACGUUUUAAUUGCUUCUUUAAAUAAACCAAAAGAGCGAGCAUGAAUUUUCUAGGAUUUAAUAACUACAAUGAGUACAACUUAAACGAGUUUUAUUUACUUGACUCUUUAAGCGAAACUCCUAUAUUUUGAACCCUAAUUGAUUGCAAACUGUUAAAUGGAAUUUUAUCCUAGAUUUGGACUCCAGCCAGGAAAUUGAACUUGAAUGUGGUUUUGGAAAGCAAUAACUUAUUGGUGAGUGUUUUCCAAUGCAUGAUUGAACUUGAUCUUUGAAUGAAAUGAUUUACUAAUACGAUUGAAUAAUACUUGACUUGUUUGGAUAAGACGAGGGUGUACUUUAUCGUACUCGUCCUCCCCUUCUUGAAUGAUCUCGUACUUGUUUGAGCUUGAUUGACCUGUAAUUGUAUUGGUGCUUGUGCUUGACUUGUAAGUGCUGAACGGUAGGUGUACUACACUCAAUUCGAGUGGGAGGUGCCUCUCAUCCCGUCUCACUACAUUUAUCCUCACCCUAUUGGUUAGUCUGUCAAAUCCAGCCAGUAAGAGCUUGGUCGAGGAGACUGGCGAACCAUAAGUAUUGUUUAUUGUUUAUUGUUUAUUGUAUAAUCUUUUGGAUAUGGUCCACUGAAUUCGGUAUACUCGAGUAUUACCAUCACCCUUACUUUGGAGUUCGGGCCCGUUAAGGGGGUUAAUUGGUGGAUGAAAAUUGGUGUAAAGUGGAGAUCUACGAUCAUGAUUUUGCUUUUUUAAACAUUGACGGAGUGCCAACAGGUUCAGAUCAAGUAAUGCAACGGGAAUUUGGCUCUUGAGAGCCAUUUGUAUGCUUAUACUUGGAAAUAAUUGUUACUUGUAGUGUUAUUGUUUCUUUUUAUGAACUUGUACACUCGCUCAUUUUGAGAUUUCAAAUUUUACAUAUGACCAACUUGCUACUUGGAUUUGCAUGAAGUUUUGGAACCUCACUGAACUUUGGCUCACUCACUCUAUUAGCUUUUGUUUUCCUUACAGUGAUUACGAGCAUAGGCGUGAAGCUAGAAAGGCUAGUUUUGUCUAGAGUUUUAACUUUUGUAAUUCUACUAGCACUGGUACUCGAUUAGGGUUAAAAGUGCAAAUAGAACUUGAAUCUCUUGUUAUAUUCGGAUUCGGAUAUGUAUGAAUGGUUGAGAUAGAAAUGAAUGUAAAUGUACCUUCUUAGCUUGGGAACUGUAGUUUCCUUUACUUUUGAAGAUGCAACUUUUUUUCUUAAAGUGAGUAAGUGAGUCCUGACAAGAGUUGGGCAGGCGGUCCGUUAAAUCUUGGGGUACGUUCUAGAGGGAAGUGUGGCCGUCACAAUUUUCAUAUUUAACACCAAAAGAAGUGAAGCCAAAAUGAUUGUUGUAAGUUUUAAUCAUAACUCUAAAACCUUUUGCUUAUUCUGAGGAUGAAGUUAAAAGCUCUUUUAGAAUAUUAGGGAGUUUUAUUCUGAGAGAGGACUAUUUCACCGUUGGAACAUUAGUAAUUAGUCAUCUUAGAAUAGAAUUUCUUUGUUUCGCAAUAUUCACAUUGCGGCGGCAAUGGUAGCUUAUGGGGCAAUCAGGCAUGAAGCUUGGUAAAUCUCUUCCAGUUGAAUGCAUUUUGUCGCGCUCCAUUUUUUAAAUGAAAAAUAAAAUUACGGGUUUAGGAAAAUGAAUUUUGAUUUAUUUGGAGUGAAAAUUGAGUUUUGAUUUUUUAGAAAAUAAAUAAAGAAAAUGGGCCUCAAAUGGGGUUUAAAAGUGCGAUGAAUUUGACCCAAAAUAAUAGUUUAAAAAGGAUUUUUAAUGAAAAAUAGGAGUCGCCACUUGGUUUUGAGUUAGGGUGUACCAAAUCACCUAAAAAUGAAAUUUGAAUAAAAAAUAGCAAAAACCCUUUUUAAAAGACUCCAAGCCUUCGAAAAUCAGAGAAAAAUGUUCGGGAGUCACGGUUGAAGAAAGGAAAAGCAAGGAUAAAAUUCAAGGCACCCUUUCAACCUAACCUAGAGCUAGUUCCGUAAUUUAGUAAAAAAUUUUCUUAUUUUAACCUAAAAAUUUAUUGCAUUUGGAAGUCACUAUAUGGAUGCAAACCUAGACCUAGGAGGGUAUCGGAGGGUCAGAAUAUAUCUUCAAAACUGAAUUGGUGCCAAUCACAUUAAUUAUGAUGCCCAAGAGUGACUCUUUGAAAAGGUCACGAAUAUGCAAAAGUAUGAGACUUCUAAGAAAAGAAAAUAAUAAUAUACAAAUAUACAUCAUCUAAAGGAACGCAUCAUAAUGGGUGCGGGGAACUACUAGGAGUCGUGACUUCAAUUUUCCCUUUUAUAGAGGGAAUACGAGCGUGCUAAGGGUAGAAAGCCAAACUCGUCCAUAUCCCAUAUUCGAGAGGUUAUUUUCCUAUCUAGUCAAGCAAAUGAUCUAAUCUAGUUUUAAUUAUUAAAUGGAAUGCAAAUCUAGUCAUGUCUCACACAUAGGAUUAUAUAAAGGGAAAUAUAGGAUAGGGGAUGUAUAUAUAGGGGGAAUAUGGGAUAAGGGAUGCACAUAUAAGGGAAAUGCCAUGUAAAAUGAAAAAAAACCCUAAAAAGUGGAGAAUAUGCAUGAAAAUGUAGUAAUGGGUCACACAAAACAUGAUCUAACGUAUGAACGGUUUCUAAGGUUUAGCAUUGGACUAACCCUUAUCUAUGAGUUCCCACUAGCGUUGGACUAGCGAAAAAACAGGAAAUACGGUCAUGACUAGCAUUGGAUUAGUGUGGUGACGGCAUGCAUUUAUUACAAUCAAAUAAAUCAUGUGAAACAUAAUAAAGCAAAUAAACACAUAAAUCACAUAUAACACAUAACACGUAAGCAUGAUAUCUAGAUGCAAGACUCUAAGAAAGCGAGUAACACAUAAAUACACAAGUAUGCAAAACACACAAAGCAAAUAAAGCAAAUAAAGACCUAACUAUUACAUUCGGGGGCCCUAACUACAAUCUAAAGGGGAUAAAGAAUGAAAUAAAAUAAUAAUCUAACUAUUACAUUUGGGGGGCCCUAACUACAAUCUACAGGGGUAAAGAAUGAAAAUAAUAACCUAACUAUUACAAUUUUGGCAUUUAAUUGCCUUCCAAAUAAUUAAAAAUUAAAUUAAAAUAAUAUACAAAAUCAAAACAAUUAAAAUGACUAAAUAGAUAAAUGAAAUAAAAACAUUUAAAAGGCAUGUAAUUAUACACAUAAAGUCACAUAAGAGCACAUAGGAUCAAGUAAAUCACAAUAAAGGAGUAGAGUGUACUUCCCUUGAAUUGGUGACCUAAUGAAAUGAAAAUUUUCUUGUUUACCCUCCAAAACAAAGAAAAAGGGUCAAGGCAUCACUUUUUAUUAAUAUAUAAUCACAAGAAAUGAAAAUAAACAUGAAAUUGAAUCAAUCAAAUCAUUCAAAUAAAAAUAAACAACCCAUAUUUUAAUAAAUUAAAACAAACAAGGACUCAAUUGAAAUAACUAAAGAAGUUUGAAGGGACAAAUUAUUAUUAUUACAAAUAUUGGGGGUCUAAAUCAAAAUAAAUUAAAAUUAAUGGCUUAAGAUGAAAUCCACCAAAACAAAACUAAAACUCACAAAAAUAAAUGAAAAACCAUUUGUUACAAUUAAAUAACAAAAAUACCCAAAAUUUCACUAAAAAUCCAAAUCAAAUCAUAAAUCUCUCAAAACUAUCAAACCUCAAAUUUCAUCCUAAAAUUCACUAAAAUCUAUCCAAAAAUCACAUUAAAUCAUAUCAAAGAAAAAUAAAAUUUAAAAGGGACAAAAUUGAUUAAAUUUUUCAGUUAUCUGGGCCAUAGUAAAAUAAGUGGAAAUUUGAGGGGUUAAAAUGCAACUUUUGGAAGUAUUUUGCAUGCAAGUAUCAAAGUCAUCUUCCUCUGCGAACAUUCCAGCCGCGGUUUUCUUUUCAUUUCAUCACGCAGACAAGAUUUUAGAUCGAAACAAACGAACGCUACAAGUCUCAAUCGUCAACUAAAUCAAACGCUACACUUUGUUACAGGAUUAAGUAGUAGAGAAUCUGAGUUUACCGUCAAAGAAAUAAACAGCAAAAGAAAGGAAAAAGUGCUGCAGGCAUUUUCUCUACAAUUUUGCAAUUUAUUAACAACCUAAGAGGAUUGCAAUGACUGUAACAUAACUUCAAACCCAACUAUCAUUAAACGCAAGAUUGAACGUUCAAUCAAAGAACCUCUAGAAUAGAAAGGGACCAAAAAUAUGCAUUUCCAAAUAUCUCAGGCAGCCUAGUCGAGGACUUCAUCUUAUUCGCUGUUUUUCUUUCUGCAAUAUUCUUACUGCCGCAAACUUCCGUAGCUUAACAACCAAAGAUCACACAAAACAAAUUCCAAGCAAAACAAGAUCCUAAACCCAUGCACUUUUAUCUAACACUAAAGCAACUCAAAACAAGAAUAUCAUGACUCGAAGAAAACGUGAAAAGAAACCGAAGCCGAGGACUGAGAAAGGAACAAGAAAUGGAAACAGCAAGAUCAGAUUACCGUGAGUAUCCAGAAUUAGCAAUAAAAAAGAUUUGAGGUAUCUACUCCUGCAAGCUUCCCUUGAUUAUCCUGUGUCCCACAACGCAGUAACUCCCUUGCUAAUGGCAAUAUCCCUAAAACUAUAUCUGCACCAGAAUUGUCCACAAAGAUCACAGCUUUUUCCAAGGUUUUUGCCCGUUUUCUUCUUCCCUCUGCAAUCUCUCCCUCAGUUCUUUUCCUCCUCUUUUGUUCUUUCUUUUCUUGUUUUUCUCCACUGCCCAAAGCUCCCUCGCAACCUCCCUUUCUCUCUUCAGCCGUCACUCCUUUCUUUUCCUUUCUUGGCGUCUUUUCCUUCCUCCUCAGGCCGAAACCCUUGUUUCUUGCUGCUCUAGUUUUCUUUUUUUCCUCCCCCCGAUCCUCUCUUGCUUUUCCUUUUUGCCUCUCUUUCUUACUCAGCCCCUCUCUCAGUUUCCUCUUCCCUCUUUUCUUGUUCAGCCUUCCCUUUCUUCUUUUCCCUCUCGGUUCCUUGUUCUUCUCUUCCUACUCUCCGUAGCCCUUUUUCUCUAACCCUAGCUGCCACCCCAGCUCUCUCUCUCUCGCUCUCUUCGUUCCUUUCUUUUCUUUGCCUUUCUAUUCUAUAUAUACAUGGAGCAAUGUUGCCAAAACCUAUUUUCAAGGGUGUAGAUGAACCCUUGUCUUGCUAGCAGAUUCGUAAGCCAUUUGAUGGCUUCCAUUCCAGAAGUUUCUUGAUCAAGUCUAAAUGGAUGAGGUGUCCUUGUACUGCUUAGAGGAAAACCAAUUGCGUAAAAGAAAAAUUAUCCCAAAAUGCCAGCUUGCAAGUCUAGUACUGUUUUGGUUCAUGGCUUCAGCAGAGGAAGAAGACGAGAGCAUGGGGAUUAUUUUUUUCAAAAACGCAUUUUCGUUGAUUUUCUUUACUGCUUUUCUUUUCUUUUUCAAUUUUUCAACAAUGAUUUUUCUCAAAAUAAAAUAAAUAAAAAGAUAAAAUUUAACUAAAAAUAAACACAUAAAAUUUUGGUGUCUACACAUUUUACCUACAAUAUGAUUUACAUUCAUUGAUUAAUAUUGCUAAAAUCUUGCAAAUUGAUCUAUACUGAAAAUUUUUAAAAUAUUUUUUGCCUAAUAAUAUUGAUAGCAGUGGAAAUAGGCAUAUCUCAGAUAGAGCAUUGAUUACAUUUUUUGUAUUAGUGGUUGUACAUUAGAUUGCAAUGCAGGGUUGGUAGGAGUAGUAUAACUAUCUACCCUUUUAAAUUUGUUGACUGGUACAUAUUGCAUUUUAGCACUAACACGUGUACGUAAUUUCUUACAUUUCCAUUUCAUGUAUGAUUGUCUUUUGUAAUUCAUUCUCUCCAAGUGUUUUUCUUGUACAUUAUAUAAAGGAUGAUGAGAAAGAAUAACAAAAAAUGGUAGUAAGAGGGGAGAUGACUAAGAAGUGGAAACAUUUUGUAUUCCACUUAUAUCAUGAGGUUGGAAGACUAUUAGGUUGUAACCUUCAUUGAAAGUGUGUUCACAGGAGAAUGUUGUAUCCAAGGUUGAUCUAAGAUUAACAUUGUUGGAUUAAGGAUAGCUCUUAAAGUAAGAAUAUGCAUUCUAGGAAUAGAUUUAAAACUGAUGCAAGGUGGACACCAAGGAUGGGUACGUAUGAACUUCAUCAAUAUUAAAGGCUAAUGUAGGCUAGCCAUAAUUUGAUUGAUGUAAGAUCCUUAGGUCAGAACCAUCUAAUCUAGGGACAGAUGUAACAUUAAGAGAGUAUAUAUGCUCAGGAAUAGGCUUAACUCCACUAUUAUAAGUUUCGUGAUUCUUCAUAAUCAUGUGACAAUUUAGGUUUGUCAUAGAGUGGAAAGUAAGGCCAAUUAGACGAGUCUUAUUUCCUGACAUUUGAAUAUCUGCAUAUGCAGCAUUAGAGUGGAUAUCCAUUGCAUUAGCAAGAUAGGCUUGAGAAAGAGCUAGAUUUCCUGAUAGCUCUUCGGAUUUUAAUAUUGUAUGAGAGCUAUUUGGCUUCCCUUUUAAUAAAGCCUUAGCAAUAUAACGUUCAUCAAACAAUUCAUCUACUAAACUAAAGCUUUUACAUGCAUUCCUUUUCUUUUCAUCCUAAUCAAAGUUGCCAUAAGGAAAUGUGACUAAUAAUAGCUAAUCAAAAGAUUAAAGCUAUGUACAUGAAGUCCAAACUGCUAAAUAGAAGCAACUGACCAAGAUAUACAAAGCCACAGACUAAUUUUUGAACUUAUCAUAUUCAACUAAUCAGACUAAUUAAAUAGUAAAAGGCAAAAUGUAAAAAAAAAAGUCAUAUAAAUCAUACAUUCAAUAAAUAAGUGAAAUCAAACGAAACUACAACUAAAAAACUAUGACUAUCACAUGGGACAAGAAUAUAGCUAUGACAGGCGUCACACACUUCAACCACGAGUGUAGGUAUGAUUUCCUAUACAGUACUCCGUCUGUGAGCACAUACCUCUAUGACUUGAGGAGGAUUUUCGAGCUUCUACCUUGCUCGAAGGGAGUUCUCCAUUAGCUAAGUACCGCACAAUAGGAUCCAUCCAUGAGUUCACCAUUUGAAUCACUGCAGUGCCCAGUUGUUCACACACCCGCCUUUUGACGACCUCUACCAACACUUUCUUGUUUAGCGUGCCAAACGAAGUGGAGGCCAGUUUGGAAAGAGCGUUGGCUUUUUUAUUCUGACUCCGAGGAACCUAUUCGAGUGUGAACUGCUUGAACAGACUCCUCAGUUCAUGUGCCUUGGCGACGUAUUUUUUCAGCAGCUCUUCUUUAACUUCGUAAUUCCCCAAGACUUGGUUCACUAUCAGCUAUGAGUUGCUAUGGACCCAGAGUGAUUCAACUCCCAACUUCCGAGCCACUUCCAUCCCCGUGAUCAAAGCUUCAUAUUCGAACUUGUUAUUGAAGGCUUUGAAAUCGAGCCCUAAGGCGUAAGCCAGUUCUUCCCGGUAGGGCUGAUGAGGAAGAGCCCAGCUCCGCACCCCUCUUUGCUUGACGUCCCGCCGACAUAUAACAUCUAGGUUGGGAUGGCCUGUUCGGCAGCUUCUUUGGCCUAUUCGACCUCGGCCUGUCCGGCGGCUUCUUUGGCCUAUUCGACCCGGUCUGUUCGGCGCCAGCCCGUCCCGUUGUCUGUUUAGCCCCUUACAGCCCAAAGGAGACACCUUCCGCUAUGAAGUCAGCCAGGGCUUGGGUCUUGAUGGCCAUCCGGGGCUGGAAACCAAGGUCAUAUUCAGACAGCUCUACAGCCCACUUGACCAUCCUCCCCGACAUGUUAGGUUUGGACAAGAUCUGCUUCAAGAGCUGGUCGGUCACCACCACAAUGCGGUGAGCCUGGAAGUAUAACCUAAAUUUCGUGCUGCGUGAACUAGUGUUAGGACAUAUCGAUCCACCAUCGAAUACUUGAUCUCAGCCCCUUGCAGAGUGCGGCUGACAUAGUACACCGACUUCUGGGCCUGAUUUUCCUCCCAAACUAACACCGCGCUGACUAACUCCUCUCCCACAGCUAAGUAGAUGAACAGAGUUUCGUCCUAUUCGGGAGAAGUUAAGGUCGACAAUUUGGCGAUGUGGGCCUUCAGUUCAUCGAAUGCUUUUUGACACUCAGAGGUCCACUCAAACUGGGGACCUCUUCUUAAGGCCUUAAAGAAGGGGGAACCCGAACUGCUGAUUUCGAUAGGAACCUGUUCAAGGCUACCAUCCUACCAGUUAGUCGCUGCACUUCUUUAAUGUUUCUGGGAGGAGCCAUAUCCAUGAUGGCCUUUACCUUGUCAGAGUUGGCUCUUACUCUGUUUUUGGAUAUCAUGUAUCCUAAGAAUUUACCCGACCUGACCCGAAAGUGCAUUUCUUGGGGUUCAACUGCAUCCGCGAGCUCCGAAGGACCUCGAAGAUUUCUCUAAAGUCCGUGAUGAACUGCUUCUGAGUUCUGCUCUUGACUAGCAUGUCAUCCACGUAAACCUCCAUGUUCCGGCCUAUCUGAUUUUUAAACAGUUUGUUCACCAAUCUCUGGUAUGUUGCCCCUGCGUUCUUUAGCCUGAAGGGCAUAGUGACGUAGUAAUACGUACCGUACUCGGUGAUGAACAAGUCUUCUCCUAAUCUUCCUCAGCCAUGGCUAUUUGGUGGUACCUUUUGAAAGCAUCUAAAAAAUAGAAGAUCUCGUAUCCGUAGUCGUGUCUACGAGUAGGUCUAUUCGGGGAAGAGGGUAGUAAUCCUUUGGACAAGCUUUAUUCAGGUCGGUAAAAUUCACACACAUUCUCCAGGCCUUGUCAUUUUUUUUUGACCAGCACAGGGUUGGCCAGCCAGGUCGGAUGGUAGAUCUCCUUCAUGAUUUUUGCCUCCAAUAGCUUGCCCACCUCCUCCUUGACGACCUCAUUCCGUUCGGGCACAAAGUUCCUCUUCUUCUGCUUCAUAGGUCAGACGCUGGGAUCUACGUGCAGCUUGUGAACUGUUAGUUCGGGCAAAAUCCCGGACAUAUCAUCCGCACUCCAGGCGAAGUGAUAGGGCGUAAUUUGUUAUUAAUUUUAUGGUUAAAUUUCUUCUUUGUCCUUGCCAAAUAUUGUUUUAAUUGUUAAAAUAUAUUUAUAUUUGGUAUUUGGACCUAAUUACAUGAAGGGGAGAAAAAAAGUGCUAGAAAGUGAGACCCUCUUGAGACAAAAGCUCUGUGCGUGGAAAACUUCCAAAAUAUUUACAAAUCUGGCUCCACAUUGUGCUACAAUGGAUUCCUUUCCUUUUGCUGACUAGUAGUUUACUAGUAUUAGGUAGUUUACUAGCAUUAGAAAACGAAAAAGGAGGGACAUUCAGUAGUUGCUUUACUUUUGUUUUUAUUUUCCUUAUUCGAGGGAGACUAGGGAGAAAAAGAGGCGAGUUGUUGUUUAGAUUAGGAAUUUUUCGAUUAUUCAUGUUUUUUUGGAGAGGCCGCAAGAAGAGCAUAGCUGCCUUUUCGUCCCUUUACUCCUUGCAUGAAACACAUUACAUUGUUUGAAGGACAAGAAUUAAUUUUCAUGAGUUCUAUUAAUCUGCGUGGAAAUUCCUCUACGAAGCGUGGCUAAGUUCCUCAUCUAAACAGAGAUCAACUCAACGACGUAAUCCCGAAUAUCUGUGAAAUCAAACUGAUCCCAACUCGUUUCUUGAAUUUAUUAAUAUUUUGCAUUCUCUAUUUUUAUUUCUAGAGAUUAUUUCGUUAGCUGAAUGUCAAGGGCCCAAUCCUAAUAAUCUAAUGCCAAAUUAAUCACUAAAUCCGUAAUUGUUUAGUCGAUUAAUAUUAGUGGUAGCUAACAUUUACACACGUUAGGGGAAUACGCAAUCUAAUUUAAAUAACCCUCUUAGUGUGUUAUUUGUUAGGGGUAGGCUUUUCUAAUUUUUAAUGUAAUUGAAAAAUUGAAUCUUACGGUCGUAUCUAGGAUUAUUUCCUGGUUAGGGGUGGUUAAUGGUCGUACUUUGAUCAUCCACAAACUAAGGAAAAGUUGGUCGUCAGAGCUUUCUAGCGACUAUACUUAACCUGUUAAUAAAUUGAGCAAAUCAUCUUUGCAUCGAUGAUCGGAUAAAUGGACUGUGUUUGGGAGGUUGUAUCAUUAACUAGAGAUUGUCCACCAUCGACUUAAUUCCUGCUUACUUCGUGAAUUAUUUUUGUUAAUUGGCUAUUUAGUUAUUUUUAUCUCCAUUUGAAUUGUUUAGCUAUUCUUGAUUUUAUAAAAACCCCUCGUUCUUCGUGCUAUAGAAGAAGCAAAUUUCCCCCAGUCUCUGUGGAUUCAACCCUACUUACUACUAUACACAGAAAAUUAUAUUUUCUUCGAGUAGGUAUUUAUUAUUGGACAGGCUCGACACCUGUCACGAAGAUUUCUGCAUAUUCCGUCACAAGGGAUUCUAGCGUCUUCCUGGUCAAUUCGCUCAGGCAUGAGCCUGUCUUGACCACACGAUCUAGCCGUUCUUUGCUGAUCGGCAGUUCGAGCAAUCCCUCAUCCGUCUCCAGUCUUUUUUUCUUCUCUGCUGGCUCCUAAGGCUCUAAGUAGGCCGCUUGAGCUACCAGCUUCUCCUUACCCUUGAGAGUUGCGAUAUAACAGGCCCGAACUACCUCUGGAUCCCCUAGCACCUCAGCUACUUUCACAGGCGUAGAAAAUUUCAUGCUAAGGUGCAGAGUUGAGCAGACAGCUCGGAGUGCGUUCAGGGUAGGCCAUCUUAGGUUCAUAUUAUACAACGAUGGCUCUUUCACCACCGCGAAGUUCACUGGGAUAGUUCGGCAUUUCGGCGACACCCCCACCGUGACCAUGAGAGUUACCAUUCCCUCAGGUUUUACCGAUGGACCUGCGAAACUAAUCAAGGGUUCGGACUAGGAUGAGCUGCUUGUCUUCCAGCUGCAAUUCUUUAAAAGUCUCGUAGUAUAGCACGUCAAUGGCGCUCCUGUUGUCUAUGUACACCUUCUUUACUUUGUAGUUACACGUUACAACUUCUAUCACGAUGGCCUCAUGAUUAUUGGAAGCAAGGGGUACUGCAUCUUCAUGUCCGUAAAUGAUCUCUAGGUACAUCUUUAAUCGUUUAUUCGGAUUCUCUCCACUAGGAAGUGGGCGGUUGCUCCGCCGAGUUGCGUGACUACCUCCUCCAACAGGUCCUCCCGCAAUGGUAUUGAUUACCCCCGCUAAGUUCUGCACUUCCUGUUCGAGAGUUCGGUCUCUAUGACCCAGGGAUCGGUCCCGUGAGUAGUUCGCGCAUUCUUGUUUGUACUCCCCUCGCUUCUGGUUAGUUCGUCCGUUCCGUAUGAACUAUCUUAGGUGUCCUCGUUUGAAUAGCUCUUCGAUGUCUUUCUUGAGGUCACGACAGUCCUCGAUAUCAUGCCCUAUGUCACCAUGGUAAGAGCAGUACAAACCUUGAUCUCUUCUGUUCUUAUUACCAACCAAUUUUUGAGGAGAUCGAGCAGUACAAACCUGAGCCCUGGGCGCUGUCAAGGAUGUCCAUGCCCUUUCUCCUUCGAAGGGCCUGUUCCUUGCUAGAUUGUCGAAGGUAUUCUUUCGCACCUGAACUCCUCGCGCGUCCCUUGAGUCUACGUUCUUUCUCCGCCUUUCAUCCCUCAGUCUUUCCUAAGCGUUCUUCAAGCGAUUGGCUUGCUCUGCAUUACCUUUCUCGUGAGCUCGGUCUAGCAUUUUCCGAACUGACUUGGGAGGCUUUUUAACGAACUAGGUUUAAAGUUUCUGUGCGCGCAAUCCGUUCAUGAAAGCGGUCAUGACAACUUUGUCGUCCCGAUCUCGGACCUGGAAAUACACGUUGUUGAACCGCACCAUGUAUUUGUGCAGUGACUCCUCGGACUUUUGCUAAAUUGUCAUCAGCUGAGCGGUGCUCUUAAAGAAGGUUCUCGAUGAAACGAACUGAGUUGCAAAUAGGCUCGCGGGCUGACCAAAGGACCGAACUGAUCUGGGGGCAACCCUAGAACCAUUGGUGCAUCUUCCCUUCUAAGAACAUGAGAAGGUUUUACACCUGACUGCAUUGGCAGCCGUUUGUAGGCGCAUGUGGGUUAGAAACAAGAAUACAUAAUCUCCCUAAUCCGUAGUCGCGUCGUAGGAUUUCAUAGUAGGGAUUUUGAACUUAGCAGGCGGAGUGUAGUUCUCGAUGUCUGGUAUGAAGGGGGAGGCAAAAUAUUUAUCCAUCUUCGAAUCUAGCAAUAGAUCCAGUUCGUCCUGUAUCUAGUACUCUUCUCUCCUUGGAGAGUGCUUCCUCCGCGGGAUCCCUCGAAAGGGCUCAGGGUGCUCUGUUCAGGAGUUUUCGUGAGAGGGCUCUAGAAUUUCUAUCUAUUCACAUGAGGGCUCCUUCUGUGCUUGCUUUUGUCGGGGGUUGGGGCUUUCCGUUCUAGAUUCUAAAGGCACCAAUCUUCCCAACUUCUUGCCCCUAGACUCCGAAUCUCGCAGAUCUCGGGUCCGACCCUUCAAGUAGUUCACAAUAGCCUCGAAGGUGGGCAGUUUUCCGCCAUCGCAUGUACCAGCUGUUCAGGCGGGAUUCGCAAGGGCUCCGACCCUGUUCACCCGAAGUUCGCCCCUGAUAGGGAUUUUAAGGGUCGUUUCGUUCGUUCCCUUUGGAUUCAUCAGCAGUCCUCUGAGAUCUAAUUCUCGACAUGUUUUGCAAGGGAAGAAUUACAUUCCUACAGACAGCGCCAAUUGAUGCGACUGCCGAGAGCACGAUCUGAACAGAGCAGUAGCGAGCUGAGCGAACUGAGAGGGAACGAAUUGGUGUCAGCGAGGGGUAGCUCGAACUAACCUGCAAAGAGAUGAACAGCGGGACUAGCUCCCCACUGUUACUCCGACGGUCAAGUCAGUUAUGGUUACAAGUAGAGUAAUGGUAUUGACUACUGUAAAAAACGUACCUUGUCUUGUCUUGUUGUGCUAUAUUUUAUAGGGCUCUUGGUAGUAGUUUUCUUAUAGGAUUAUGAGCCAUACUAGAAAGGGUUUUCCACUUAAGGCUCUGUCUGCUGGCUUCGAAAGGUUCGAGAGCUGCGGCCCACUAGGCCCAUCCACCUAGGAGGCGGUGGCCAUGAGCGAACGAGCAUCCAUACCUGUCCGAGCUAAUCUAGCCAAGCUGACAAGUCACAUGUCCGAACUGACACGUGGCUUCGGUGGAUUGGCCCCAUUACAAUUGACAUUAGUGUCAUCUUCAACUUUAAAUAUGAUGAAUCCUUCCAAGUUCCAAAGGCGUAUCAUUGGCUUAUCCUGCAUGUGAGAGAUAAUCAGAUGAUUAAGAGACCAAAAAAUUUUUCAAACCAUUAUGAUCUUUGCGUAUACAUGUUGUUUAGGAAUAGCCUAAAAAGUGAUAAAUGUCAUGUUUUUGGUUAAAUAUUUGCAUGUACAUGGUCAUCGACGAUAGAGGUAAAUCUGGUCUUAACAAUACCUGAAAGGCACUAAAUUCGAAAGGGAUGCGCUUUGGAAACGUUCGAUCUUGGUUCAUCUGGUAAAACUUCAUCUUCCAGGAUGCUCUUUGAGAUCCUACAAAAGGCCAAAUACAGGCCAAGAAGGCAGCAACAGUUUUGCCGAUUUUCAGUAAUAAAAAAUACAAAAUUGCUAACCGGCCUGAGGGGCACAGGGAUAUAUGAUCAGAGGCAAAGGAAGGAAAAAUUAAACAAAGGGAACAACUAUGUUAUAAUCACUUACACGCCAGGAAGAGCAAAGCUUCAGUCCACCACCAACCAACCAAUGAAAAUUUCUGGGGUGUUUUCCCCACAGAAAGCUCAGUCACCUCAAGAAACAAAGCGACUAGGAUAUCCAAGAAUUGGCAACGUUUAUGAAUUUACCCACCAAGAGAAAUCAGUGGUGCAAAUACCCAUCAUAUUAUUAUUUGCAUCUAACUAUCCAGAGAAAGCCAACCAACCAAAUUCCCACUGCCGCUAUGACUAAACCAUCACGAAAGCUAGCAUUGAGAGCGCUAGAGGACCGUUUUUCUAAGUUUCCUAUGAAGCAUAAUGAAGAAAAUGGCACUAAAGUCCCAACAAUUACUGACCAAGAUUCGGUAUUCAUUUACACUGAUUUAAGCCUUGGCUUUUAUUAUAGUUUGGAUAAGAAUAAGAUGUGCCCUUUUCCCAUAUUGCUUUUUCGAAUAUCUUUGAUUAGUAUUUUUUUUGGUCACGAGUCCAGUUACAAUAAUUAGUUAGGUCACAAUAUAAUUUAUGUCCUUGACGCAGUUAUAUUUAUUGCCAAAAAUUAAGUAAACAACAAAAAGAACUGGAGCAAAAAAUAGCCAUUAAUUAAAAUCACACUUGAUAUUGUCCAUAUAGUAGCAACCCAAUUAAGAACAAAGUUACUAAAUCUUAGACCAAAUUACUCAAAAUAGUUUCUUUUAUUUUUUCUUCCUAAUAUAGGUGCCUACUGGAAACUCCACCAGCCACACUUGCUGCAAGAAAACACAAGAACAGGGCAUCAAACUUUAACCAAUAACACCAAAAAUAACCAAAAAAGUCGCAUUAUCUUAAACGGCAGAAUCCGAAACUUACUAACUUUAGUCUUCACCAGCUGCUUCACCAGCCCCACCAGCCGCUCCAGCUACUGCACCUUGUCCAUCCUGGAGAAAUAUAAUUUGAUAAGAUUUUCAAUCCACAAGAAUGAGAAAGCGUAAGGUAUGUAGAGUUGAUAUUAAUUUACCCCGCACAAUCACCAGCACACUUUGUAUUGGUGCAUAGUAGCCGAAGAUGUUGAACGUCGAACCCACCCCCACGCCAAGGGCAUCUCUCAUGUGCGGCCAACCAAAAAUUAUCUUGCACCUCAGAUCACCUCCCUCUUGCAUCACACAGUUGAUAUUUCCUACCAUCGUUCGAGCUAAAACAGGAAUUCCGGUGUCGGAGAGUGCAUUCAUAUCAAAGUUGGGAGAAGGGUAAGUGAAAAAUACUCUAGCCUCCCUGGGAAUUAAUAGUUCGUUUUCGUCAUUCAUGCGCACCGUCUUUCGGGCCAAAAAAUGUGGGGAUUUCCCACAUAGUCCCCCACUUGAAAGAGAUCUGUCGCGUCCCAUUUUUAAAAAAAAUAUAAUAUAAAUAAUUACGAUCAUGGGUUUAGAAAAAUGGAUUUUGAUUUAUCUUUGAAUGAAAAUGAAUUUUUUUUUUUUUAGAAAAUAAAGAAAAAGGGCCUAAAAAUUGGACUUAAAAAUGCGACGAUUUUGGCCCAAAACAAUAGUUUAAAAAGGAUUUUUAAUAAAAAGUAGAAGUCGUCAAUUGGUAUUGAAUUAAGGUGUACCAAGUCACCUAAAAUAAAUUUUGAAUAAAAAAAAUAGAAAAACCCUUUUUAAACAACUCCAAGUUUUCGAAAAUCAGAGAAAAGUGUUCGGGAGUCAUGUUUGAAGAAAGGAAAGGCAAGAAUAAAAUUCAAAACACCCUUUCAAUCUAGCUAAAGCUAGUUGCGUGAUUUAGUCAAAAAUUUUCUUAUUUUAAGUUAAAAAUUUAUCACAUUUGGAUGUCAUUAUAUGAAUGCAAACCUUGACCUAAUGGCUAUUGAAAGGGUCAAUAUGUCUUUUCAAAGCUUGAUUAGUACAAAUUGCAUUAAUUGCGAAGCCCAUAAGUGAUUCUUUGAAGAAUUCACGAAUAUGCAAUCAAUGAGACUUGGAAAAGAUGAAAAAUUAUAAUAUACAAAUAUACAUGAUCUAAGGGAAUGCAUCAUAAUGGGUGCGGGAAACUAACACUCGUGACUUCAAUUUUUCCUUUAAUAGAGAUAAUACGAGCGUGCUAAGGUUAGAAAAUCACACUCGUCCAUAUCUCAUAUUCGAGGGUAUUUCCUAUCUAGUCAAGCAAAUGAUCUAAUCUAGUUCUAAUUUUCUUAAAUGAAAUACAAAUCUAAUAUCAUAUUUCACACAUACGGAUAAGGAUAUACCUAUAGCGAAAUGUCAUGCAACAAUGAUAAAAGCCCUAAAAGUAGAAAAUAUGCAUGAAAAUAUAGUGAUUGUCACACAACAUGAUAUAACGCAUGAACGGUCCCUAAGGUCUAGCGUUGAACUAGCCCACAUCUAUAAGUUCCCACUAGCGUUGGAUUAGGAGAAAAUGGGAAAAGGAGGCCACAACUAGCGUUUGACUAGUAUGAUGAUGUCAUUCAUUUAUCAUAAUCAAAAUAAAUCAUAUAAGACAUAAUGAAAACAAGUAAACACAUAAUAUCACAUAAAAACACAUAGAACAUAGGCAUGAUAUCUAGAUGCAAGGUUCCAAAAAAGCGAAUAGCACGUAAACACAUAAGCAUGCAAAACACACAAAACAAAUAAAGCCAAUAAAGAUCUAGCUAUUACAUUUGGAGACCUUUUUUUUUUUGCAACGCCCCAAAUUGGGGUAGGGAUGCCAUCCCUAAUUUAUUUAUAUCGAAAAAGAGCACAGCAAAUUAGAGGGGGACCAAACCUGACCUUUGUUAGAGGAAUAAGGAAAAGAAACAGCUAAGGAUCAACAAUAAAAUGCACAUAUGAAAAAAUCUGGAAUUCUAAACACAUAACAGAUCAAUCGAAAGAAAUCAUCCACAUGAGGGUGCCCCACAUUUGUGGGAUUGUGAGUGAGCAUGAAAAUUUGGUUUAACAUCUUGAUGUGUUUGCAUUGUUUUACCUAUUUUUGAAAGCUGCUUCCUCGCUCUCUUUGAAAUCACUUGGGUAAAUUGCUCGUGAACUAGGUUCUGGUCUUGAUCUUUAUCUGUUAUGAAUCACCUUCUUUUUCUUCUUCAUUUUUGUCAUCAUUGCAUGUUGUACUUGAAUGAAGAAAAGGCUUUUGAUGUACAAGGGGAUCCUACCAUGUAAUUUCUCCCAUUUAAGCUCUUCAAAAACAUCUUUAAAUUGCGGCACAUCUUUAAACUGUGGCUUUUGAGGCAUAGAGGAUUUCGUUUCUGUUCUUGUACUUGUACCCACAAGGGGUGUGUCUCCAACUGACACCACAUCACGUGGGUCAUGAAUUUGAUCUACCUUUGUGAGCGCACCGUUUGCCACAUCAGAUGUAAUUCCAUUCCCUUGCUGUGAGAAGUCGCCAGCCUCCAUCGCCUUCUCUUCCGAUGCAGCCUCUAUGAAUGUGCCAUUAGCUGGUUGAAUGGAAUUGUCAUCCUCAGACUCCGGAUUAGUGAAUUCUCCGUCACUUUAUUUUUGCGAGUAUUAUGCUCCAUGCUUCGGCACCACAUCUAGGCUCAUCGGGUAUGCAUCCUCCACUCUAGGUGAUCCCUUUGCUGCCAUACCCAAACCAACAUCUGACCGCACGCCUGCUGCCCUUGGCUGCCUCAUCGAGUCGCAGACAGCAAGCUGCUGUUGCUCUAUUGCAUCCCCAACCUGCCAUACCCAGGACCCAUGGCCAGUCUCGUUCUCCCCCAUUUUGUCGACUAGCAUUACCGUAAUGCCCCUUGUGUCUGUCUCCUCCACUAUAGCCGCAGCCUUUGUUGACCCACUAAGCCCAUUAUGCGACUGAAUGCCUUCUGUUGCGUCAAUUUCCUCCACUCCAACCGCAUUGUCAAUUUCCUCCACUCCAGCCGCAGCGUUUGUUGACCCAUCCAACCCAUUAGGCCACAGCAGGCCUUCUACUUUUGACUUCACAGCAGGGUCGCCUCCAUCAGACUGCACUUUCUCACCUUCUUCACCCACCUGUGCGUCAUCCCUAACCUCAAGCUGCCCAUGCUCCAGUAGCAAUGAUGGCUGACCCGCCACCUUGUAAUAAGCUCCAGUCGAAGGAUGCUGAGCAUCCCGCCUCUGUCGAUCAACCACACCCUUCACCAUUGUCUUACCUUGCUCCUCUUUUGGCAGAGGGUCAUUGUUUUGCGGCUAUUGGUCCUGUGAAUUCCUCCCAAGCUUUAAUGCUGGAUACUUCUUAACACAGUCAUGUUGUUCGUGACCAAACCUCUCACAGAAGGAAUAGAAAGCUGGCCAAUUUUCAUACUCCACGUUCUGCCAAAAACCAUACUCCUCAUCUCCUAUCCAGAUCUGCUUCACAGGUGCAUGGGUUACAUCGAUCUCCACCAGAACUCUUGCGACCGAUGGCCUCCUCAGAUCUCCCGUAGCUGCGUCAAUCUUCAACAAUCGUCCCAAGAAAGAGGCUAGCUUAUUGAGUGUGUUCCUACCAAAGAACGGCAAUGGCAGACCCGAAAAACUUACCCACAUAGGAGCGAUCGAUAUUUCUCUGUUGGCCUUGAAAUCCAAAGACCAUUUGGAGAUUGUCAUAGGCGAGCUCGUGAUGAACCAGGUUUGACGAACGAAUAAUCUAGUAUAGUCCUCCUCCACCAUUGGUCUGAUGAGGACAUGGUUCGCGUCCAACAAGGCAACCGCGCAAUCUCCUUUCAGUCCUAGCGACAGGAUAGGAUAAACUUCCUUACCAUCUCCAUGGGCGGUCUACUGUAUGAGAAUCUUCCCACCAGGGCGUGCUGGAAUGGGUGUGCUAGUUCAAAAAUUUCGCUCUUCGCAAUUUUGAGAGCCGGUUCCUCUCGAUACGUUGAAACAGUUCCUGGGUUGAACUCCUCAGCAAUACUAUUGGCUGAUAGCAUAGCCGCAAAGCUCGGGGAGCGGCGCAUCCACAGCCCCAUCCGGUGGCUAAAGUGUCGCCAUAGGACUAAAACUAAAACUAUAGGACUAAAACUCUCAAAAAACUACAUUUGGGGACCCUAACUACAAUCUAAAUGGGAAAGGAAUAAAAUAAAUAAAUAAUAAAAUAAAUACCUAACUAUUAUAUAUUUUUUAAAUACAUGUCUUGAACCCCCUAACUAUUACAACUUGGCAUUUAAAUGCCCCUCAAAUAAUCAACAUUAAAUAAAAAUAAUUAUACAAAAUUAAAACAAAUAAAGCGAAUAAAUAAAUAAAUGGAAUACAAAAAAACAUUCAAGAAAAAGCAUGCAAUUACACACAUAUGACAUAACAUCACAUAGGAGCACAUAGGAUCAAGUAUAAUCAAAAUAAAGGAGUAGAGUGUACCUUCCUUGAAUUGGUGACAUAAUGAAAUGAAAAUUUUCAUUUACCCUCCAAAACAAAGAAAAAUGUCAAGGCAUCACUUUAAUUAACAAAUAAUCACAAGAAAUAGAAAUAAACACGAAAUUGAAUCAAUCAAAACAUUCAAAUGAAAGUAAACAACCCCUAUUCAAGAAAUUAAAACAAAAAGGACCCAAUUGAAAGAACUAAAUAAGUUUGAGGGGCCAAAUCGUUAUUAUUACAAAAAUUAAGGGUUUAAAUUAAAAUAAAACAAAAUUAAAGGCUUAAAAUGAAGCAUACUAAAAUCAAAUGCUAAAAUUCACCAAAUGAAUGAAAACCCGUUUUUUAUAGUUAAACAACAAAAUUACCCAAAAUUUUAAUGAAAACGAAAUCAAAACUAUAAAUCUAUCAAAAAUUAUUAAACCUUCAAAAUUUAUCCUAAAAUUCACUAAAAACCUAUCCAAAAAUCACAUUAAAUCAUAUCAAAGAAAAUUAGCAUUUUUAAGGGUAAAAUUGAUUAAAUUUUCUAUUUUCUAGGCCAUAAUAGCAUUAGUUGAAAAAUUAGGGGUUAAAGUGCAAUUUUCGGAAGUUUCAUGCAUCUUGUUCGAAGGAGUCUUCUUCCUCACUGGUUUCUGCAAUUUUUCUGGUUUUUGCAGCUAUUUCUCUUCGCUAAACAUGACAAACAUCAAGGCUUUUGAUCUUAACAACAAACAUCAGAGAGAUUCAAUCAUUUCAACAUACACAAAUUUCAAUCACCGAAAUGUAAUCUUUUGGGUUUGCUUGUUCAGCACACUCAAGCAGCCAUAAACUCAAUCAAAAAAAAAAAAACUCACGGCAUCAUCUGAUAAAGCCCCAUAGAAAAACCCCAAACUUCUGUCCCCAAAAACCAAGCCAAACCCCAUGAAUUCCUCAACGAUAAACCGAAAGAACAGGAACAACAGGAAACCCAAAACUCAACAUGAGUUUUGGCCUGUUAAAGAUGCAACAGAGAGAGUCGAAUAAGGAGCAACAAAGAACAGACGGAACAAACUCUCUUUACACUAAUUAUGAGUCAUUAAAACUGACUUCCUGGAAACAAUAGGAAGCACAAAAAGAAAAAUAAAAGUCCCAUAUGAAAAUCAUUUAUCAGUCCAAAGAAAUUUCAUGGAAGAUGUUAAACUAGCUAAUACAAGAAACUAUCGUUACCUGUAAGUGAUUGGAGAUUAAUUCAACGUGAAAAGAUGUGAAAUGUUUGUCUGAAAAUGUUGGAAGACGAAGUAAGAGCUCUCUUUUGCAUCUCCUCGAGUAUAAUGAAAGUAGCAGAUUUGGGUUCCAAGUCAAGGAUACUGCAACCGUUUUUCCCAAAGAUCUCAACACCAGCGUUGUUCAGCAAUGGAUCAUCAGCCUUGCUUUUCCUUUUUUUAUUCUUGGCCCGAAGCCAGUUCCUUUUCCUCCCCAGUUUCUUCCCUUCUCUCUCUUUUUCUCUUCUUUCUUUUCUGGUCUUUUGCCCGCAGCCUUCCCAGAUUUCCCAGGCUCCUGGUUUCCUCUCUAUCUCUCUCUAUAUUCUCCUCCUACCUUUCUUGCUCUCUCUUUUGUUUACCCACGAAACUCUCUUCCCUAAUUUUCCAGGUUCCCUUGCUCGAAGACCACUUUUUUUUCUCCUUUCUUGCUGUUUCUUCAGCCCCUUUUUUUU